rnacentral:lncRNA from 1 species
AAUGACGUAAACGCCGGCCGGCUUCCGGGAUACGGUCUAACCACAAAUAUAAUCAACGGUGGAAUUGAAUGUGGCUACGUUGGGAAUGACGCUGUACGUAACCGUAUUGGGUUCUUUACCACUUUCUGUGGCAAGUUUGGGAUUCAGCCUGGUGACAAUCUUGAUUGCUCCAACCAACGGCCUUAUGGCCUUAAUCUGAUGGCACAAUCUAUGUGAUCAUCAUGAUCAACGUUUUAGUAAAAUAAGCUUAAUAAAAGCUACUUAAUAAAAACUUUAGAUGUCACACUUGUAGGUGGACAACUAAACUGUUACGCUCUUAUUGUAAGUAAAUUAAAUAAGACUGAUCCAACAUGGAUCAAUGAGUCUUCUCCAUCUUUCAUCGUUUGAUUAUUUUAACAUGACAAUUAUUUGCAACGCAAAAAGUGCCGUUGACACUUAUCCUGCCUAUACAGAUAAAGGCAAUAUCCAAUUCUGUAAGCCACAUGCAUAUUCAACGGCAUUGCUAUUCAUCAUCAUGAUGCUCAUUGUGGUACAGAUUAUAAAAUUUUGAUUAGGUCUGCUAUCCAACGUGGCUUGUCUCUCACUUGGAGGAAAUGCCUGGCAAACGAGUCAUGCAUGCAUCAAAUCAUUAUGAAGUUAGUACGCGUAUUGCUGCAGAAAUCACCCUACUACAAAGACAGCUAGAACAUUUUUGGAUACCUAAGCCCUGGGAAGUUAGUCUACCAUGUGGAUCUCAAUAAUAGAUAAUACUUUAUCAUCUAGUAGGCGACAAUAGGAAACUUCACAACAAUGAUUUCUAUUUUAAAAUUGGAUACAAUUUGCCAUAAACAAAAAUAAGGGGUUCUCUAAGAUGUUUGAACCAAUGAUUUAAUGGGGAAAAGAAUCUGAAGAAUUUACAGUUAAGUUUCACCUGUUCAUCCUACGCAUUCAUUUAUUUUUACUUCAAAGAAGGCGAAAUGAUAAUCAAGUAUCAUCUAGCAAUAUUUAAGAGUGAAAGCAACCGAUACUGAGAUGGAAGAAAGGUGAUAUACCAGACAAACAAUUUGUUUUUUGUAUAUAAUUUCAUUUCUAUAGGAUGAUACAGGUAUAUUUCAAUCAUUUACAAGUAUGACAAUAAAAUUUGUAAUCUAAUUGUUGAGGAUGUUGAGAAAGGAGACUCUAGCUUUGAUCAAACGCCUAGACAAGGAUCAAAGGCCUUCUUCAAGAUCUUGGAUGCUGGACUCCAAUUCUUUCAGCUGGUUUUGCAAAUAAACAGUGUUAACAGAUUUGAGUGUCAAUGCGGCAUCCACCUUCUCAAACUCAUUCGUUUCUAUCUUGACUUCCUCACAAGCUAUUCUUUUGGGGCGGAUGAGUUUGGAAGCCAAUACAAACCCACUUAGCUUUGAUGGAAUCCCAGCACCCGAGAUAAAGGACAGCAAGGAUCCAAAUGCAGCUAAGGUUACUGCUUCAACCUCUUUCAACGCGCUAACAUGUUCCUCAUUGAUUAGAGAAGAGCAUUUGUUUCCCAUGCCUUACAAACAAUAACCAAAAUAGCACACGUAAACAACACAGUUUAUAAAUGAUUCUAUCCAUAACUGAUUUUAUGUAAUAUUCAUUUGUGUAUGCAGGCGAGCAGAUCAACACAGAACAAAAGGAAGACUACCAGAAAUGAUCAAAUCUAGGAAGUUGCUGUGUUAUCGUAAUAUCACACUAUAAUUAAAAAUGACAGCACAUUAAUUCAGAAUUAACAAACUUCAAAGUGAAAGCAAAAACAGGCAUGUACCUCUAAAAACAACAUUGUGAGGAGUUUUAGUACAAUGCUGUUGAAGAAUGUUAGCAUCAUCAUAUGCAGGCGGUGAAUUACUGAAUUCUGCAACAGUGAACAACUUUUGAUAAGCUUAACGCAGAAAAGGAAAAAGAGAGGGCGAAGGAGAGAGAGAAGUGCACAUAAAAUAUGAAAAAACAGUGAUAGAUAUUGAACAAGAAGUAUAACUUCAUGCACCUGAAAUAUCAAUUUGUAUAUCAGAUGCUCCAGAGAAGUCCCUGAGUCUAACAUGAUAAACAAAUCAGAUUAUAGUCAAAUGGCAAUCAAACUAAAAAGCAAUAGUCCAAAGAAACAUACAGCUCAUCAGUGCUAAAAUUCAUCUCAGGAUCAUUAAGGCAUUCGGAAAUCCACCCCUCUAAUGACUGAUCUGUACCAUCACAACUAGAGGCAGAUACACCUGCUAAGAUAUGUCACAAUAUGAUUAGAGAACUCGAAAAUAGACAUUCAAGUUCUUGACUGUAUCAUAAUGUAGUUGCAAAAUACAAACCUGAAAACUCAGUAGUCCACUGAGAUGCUUCAGGUAAUACUUCUUCGACUGACUCCCCCCUCUCCUACACAGAAUGAAGAACAUAAAUAUUAGCAAUGUUGAAAGGACAAGCAAGGAGCAAUUUAGACAUAUGAUCAAAUAACUAAAACGUGCUCCAUAAUAUAAAGACAUGAUGCUAUUACAGAAUGAUCACAAAGAAGAGAUGUGGCCCGCACUGACAUUUGAUUUAAGGAACGGAGAUGGCAUUUCAUCACUGCAUAGGGAAGAAUCUACCACUUGAGUGUCAAAUUGUAACAUUCGUCGCCUCUUUAUUUGGGAAUAAGUCUCCCUACAAUCUUUUGGUUCCUUGCUCAUAUUACCUGAAAUCAACUCUCUCAAAUAAAAAAAAAACAUUGUCCAACCAGCAUGAUCUUUCAACGCAAGAAAAAGAAAUUGUGAGAGUCAAUGAAUGCUAGCAAAACAAGCCCCUACCGUUAUGAGUGGCAUGGUAAGCCAAAUCCCCACAUGCCUUAACCGGGGUUGUUUCAUCAUCAAGCAUGUAGGAAAGAUCCUCCCCAUUCAGAGCCACUUCAUUCCAUUGUGACCCAGACAUGUCUGCUAAAAUAAAAAAAUGACACAUACCCAGAUAUCACCACUCUCAUUCUACACGCCAAGCUUGGCCAAAAUCACUAGUUUCUGUAAAACACUUGAAUAACAUGCAAACUACACAUCGAGUCCUUUCCAAUUCCAAGACUUACGAUAACCAGUUUAACAAUCACCAAAUACACUUCCAAUGCACGAUAUAUAAACAAAUUUUUAGAAAUACAAGUCAUGAAAUUUCUCCGAUAAAAAAAAAAAAAUUCCAAUUUGUAUUGAGUCAGCCAUUGUGAAUAAGCUUUCUAAAUUCUAAUAGCAUUUGAGUCAAUUAUAAAAAACAAUAUACCAGAUUAAAUUUACUAAAAGAUUAAAAAAACAAAACAAUAGAAAAUCAAAUUACACACGAAACCCUAGAUUGUCUAUUUCAAGCAAAGUAUGUAACUUAUAAUAAAAUUAAAUGCAGAUUUGAGAACCCAAAAAUACCACAAUUGAAUUAGAGAGUGUUAUUAGUUAGGGUUUUAAUGAGAAUGAAAAACACUGAGGAAACCGGGAACGUGCAGGAUAAAAAGCAUUACCAGUGGAAGCGUAAGAUAGAGAACGGCAAGUUAAAGUGCGCCUCGAGGAAUAGAGACACAGAGAGAGAGACGAGCACCCCAAGCACUGUAAGUAACUGGGAGUGGAAAAUAAAGGGGUCGUUUGAUUUUGUCGUCUUCUACUUCCUCCUCUUUGUUAGUUUUUGUUUUUUUUUUUUAAAUGAGUGUGGCAACGUGAAUCACCCAAUUUUUUUUAUGGGUCCCGUUACCUUACAAAAUAUGUAACAAACAUUAAAGAAAUUGACAAACAAAUCAACAACAUUAUAAUUUGGAUUUUACCGAUUGAAGCGGUCUGUAGCCGGUUGAAAAAAGUAAGUCGAAAGAUGAAUAAUUUCUCCUAUAGCGUGUGCAACCCAAAGCGACAUGAUUUCUUUGAACUCUCAGGCUGAGGAAACUUCCUACUUGCGCAUAUCCGCCCGCCCUGAGCGAGAAAACGAACAGAUCGAGGUCGGAAUGGGAUCCGGUGUUUUCACGUCUCACCGUAGUGCCCGGUUUGGCGGUUCAGCUUGCUUCUAUGGCUCACGCAUGAACAGCAACACUCAUGCAGAUUGACAUGGAUGAUCCUUGGGGUUACUUUUUUUAUUUUUAUUAAGAGCUUUAUCCGAUUUGCUGCCAAACGCUUCAAAAAGAGAGUUUUUGCUGUCCAUUUGAAGCCGGUGAAAGAUGCAGUCUCAUGUGAAAGAUGCAGUUUCAUGUCCUGCUCGUAUUGGAUGCAAAAAAUCGAAAGUUUAAUUAGAUUCAUUCUAGUUUUUUUCCUGAGUUGAUUAAAAAGACUGGACAUAACUUAUGGAUUUUAUGCAUUAUGCUGCCUCUUCAUCAAAUAACUCAAAAAUGAAUCCUUUGUAAUUUUGAUGUGGACUAAUUGGGGAGCAAGAAAGGGUGUGCUUUUUAAAAGAUGAAGAUGCAAAGAAGGUUUUUUCUAAAGCCAAAGCCACUUCACCGUUUGUGCUGAGAGUAGUCAUCAAUGAGGUAUUAAUUUUUAACUCCAUUGAUGCAAGCUCCAAGGAACUUUUCAUGGUCGCCUGCCCCUGAAUAUUUGUAUAAAUUAAAUCUUGAAGAUGUAAUGUUUGAUCAUAAAUCAAGGGGCAGGAGUUGGUGCUAUUAUAAAAAAAAAAAAAAAAAAUUUCAUAGUUGCUGUGAAAACCAGCUUUAAUGGCACUGAAUCGAAUUACAAAAAGGAAAAUUUCUUGCCUCCUGAAUCGAAUUCAAACAGUAACCCUUGCUUUGACCCGGUGGCCCAAGCGGUUUUCUUUCACCAGUUUUCCCAGUUUCCCAUCACUUCUUUUUUUCUGUUCAUUUCAUUCCCAUUCGUUCGAUUUUAGUGUUCACAUCUAACGGCCCUCAUUCAUGCAAUGUUUGUUACAUGAUGAUGUAACUUAACCUGACCUUUUUUACAUUCUAUUUAUAAAAAUAAAUUCAUUAUUAAAAAUUAAAAAUAUCAAAAUUACUUUUUGCUAACUAUUUUUUAUUUUGUAAUUACAUAUUCUCUCUCUACUUUUAUAUUAUAUAAAUUAAAUUCCCAACUUUACAUUUUUUUAAAUUUAUUUUUUUGACAUUUCUUAGUAUAUUCUAAUCUAUAUUCAUACUUUAUGUAUGCAAAAUAUUUUUUUCUUGAUACUUACUAACUUUUGUGUUUAGUAAAAAUUAAUUUAUUGAUAUUCAUUAAUUUUCAUUACUUAUAAAAUUUGUUAAUAUUCAUUUUAAAAUAGUGGAUUUUUUAAACUAAUGAUAUCAAUUACUUGCGGUUAAAAUAAUAUAUAUAAAUAAAUUGAUGGAAUUUAUGAAAUUGAAAAGAAAAAGAGAAGAAAUAGUUAAUUAAGUAAUUUUUUUAAAAAUCAUUCAAAUAAUAUAAUUUUUAAGAGGGGGCUAUUUGAACACACCAGUUUUCUCUCUACAUUCUUUUUCUAAUUGAGAAUUUUAUUAUCUAAAUAGUUUUCAAUAAAAUUACUUAAUUAACUCUUUCUUCUCUUUCUCAUCUCAAGUUCACAAAUUCCCAUCAAUCCAUUGAGAUAUAUUUUUUUAGUCACAAAUAAUUGAUAUCACAAACUAGGGAAAACAAAAUCCACAGUUUAAAUUAAAUGUCAACAAAAUUUUAUGAGUCAUGAAAGUCAAUAAAUAUCAAGAAAUUAAAUUUUAAUAAACAGGAAAUUAAUGAACAUCAAGAAAAAGUUUUUAUAUAUAAAAAGUAUGAAAUAGAGGUCAUGAUCUAUUAGAAAAGACCAAAAAUGAAUUUAAAAAAUAGUGAAACUUGAGUCUUUAGUUUAUAAAAUGUGAGAAUUUGCAAUUGUCAGGUAUAGAGAGAGAUUCAUGAAAGGUAAUCUUGAUAUUUUCAAAUAGUCCCAUCUAAUAUUUGAUUGGAAAGCGCGUGUGGACAGAAAAUUAGCGGACUCAAAUAGCCCCACUCUUUCUUUAAUUUCGCAUUGACCCCGAUUAUUUUGUGAUUUUCUCCUUUUAGUCAAUAUUAAUUGUUGUUACUGGAUUUUCCCCUGAGACCUAGAGCGAGCCCAUAACGUUCAUGCUCGAGGACUUCCCUGCCCCGAGAACCAAGCCCAAUAAUCUUGAGGCCUUUGCAGGUUUAUCCAGGAAAGGUGCCUCUGCUAGGAUAAGAAAAGUCAAUUCGGGUUGUGAGUCGAUCCUCAGCCUAGUAAGUGAUGACAGCGUACAGUAAUGAUCUUUGACAAACACCAAAAGAUCGAUUAAUAUGAAAAUGACGAUGUGCUCGUUUUGCAUUUGUUAUUCUUCAGUCACAUCCUCUUUUGCUUCUGUCUGCCUUUACAACAACAAUUUACCAUCAACCUUCAAGCAUUUUUGCACAAACAGCCAAAAAAACACCAAAUAUCAUCGCCCCACUUGCCCUUGUUUAGUUUUUUUCAAGCUCACAGCCAAUCUCAGUACACUGGGAUAAAGACUAGAAGCAGAGAACAGCCGCUGCCAGCUCUAGAAGAUGUGAAAUAAAGAAGACCAUCAAAAUCCUUAAUUAUUGCUUGUCUAUGUCAAGGUUUUAAAGAUAAACAAUCUUGAUAGGCUUUCUUACGUAAGACAUAUAGAUCCAACGAAAAUUAGAUGAAACGUUUAGACACAAGACUUUUAACUUUGAUAUCGUAUAAAGAGUAUAUUUAUAAUAUAAUCUAUUGUUUGGCACAUCGUCUCUGAGUCUCAAUAAAAAAUUUUUAAGUUUUUCGUUGCUAGCUUCUUAAAUUUUCAUGUAUUAUACAUAAUAUAUUAUGAGUGAGGAGUCAUAAACUAAUGAAUAUGGAAACUUAGGAUAAAAAGUUUGAGAUUUUUUUAAAUAAUUUAUGUAGGUAUUUUAUUUUAUAGAAGUCCAUGGACUUACUCAAAUGCUAACUAAGACUUGAGGGUUGCCUAAACUUUUAUAUACCUAACCAAAAAUUUAUUAUCAAACAAUGUGAGAUAUUAUCCCUAACCCUUAACGGUGUGGAGUACAAUCCUUAAUAACAUAUUCCUUUGAAGAAAUUAAAAGAAAAAAAACUUAGUUCGGUAUUUCAAAAAGGGGAGAUUGCCAAAUUCUCUUUAUUGUUAUUGAUAUAUAUCAUUUACCCUCUUAACGGUUUUUAUAAUAGCCAAUAACCCCUUAACAACAUUAGUUUAUAAUAUUAUUCAUAUUUUCAAAUACACUUUUAUUUUUAUUUAUUAUAAAUUAAAUAAAUCAUAUGAAUAGAAACUGAAUAAAAAAUAAGUAUUAAAAACAAUAAAUAUAUGUUUUGAUGUGAACAAAAAAAUUAGUAAUAAAAUUUUUUCUUGUACUUUUUUAUUUUCUAAACAUUUUCUUCUAAUAAAUAUUUUGUAAAUUAUAAAAUUAAAUGUAAAAAGUACAAUAACAAUAUUUUAUUAUUUAUUUUAUAAUAAUUUUUUAUUUAUCAUUCAAGUUUUCUUAUAAUAAUUUUUUUAUAAAAUAAAAAGUAUAAGAAAAAUAAUUUAUUAUUAAUUUUUAUAUCAAAAUAUAUAUUUCUUAUUUUUAAUACUUAAUUUUUUAUUUUAAUUUCUAUUCAUAUGAUUUAUUUAAUCUAAAAUAAAUAUGAAUAAGAGUGUAAUUAAAAAUAAGGAUAAUAUUAUAAAUUUAUACAAUUAAGAGAGUUAUUAGUUAUUAUAAAAAUAAUAAGAGACAAAUGUUAUAUAUCGAUUACAGUAUUGGGAAAAUUAGCAACCUCUCUUCAAAAAACCUUGACAUAUACGUUCUAUAAAUAUAACCCUCUAGCCAAAGCUGUGACAUACACCAAGCAGAGGAUAAUUGAUAUCAUAACUGUUGCUUUCAAAAUGAGGCUUAUUGGGUCCUUACUAAUUUUCUCUCUAGUUUUAUCUUUUGUACUAGGAGGCUCAGCACAGAACUGUGGAAGCGGCGUUGUGUACGGUGGACGUGAUACCGGCCAUGGGACGCAUGGCGGUGAACUGGGCAAGAUCAUCUCAAGGGAGAUGUUUGAUGACUUGCUUGAGUAUAGAAAUGAUGAACGAUGCCCUGCCAGAGGCUUCUACACUUAUGAUGCUUUUAUAGAGGCAGCCCAAGCUUUUCCAGGCUUUGGUAACUCUGGAAAUGAAACCAUGCGUAAAAGAGAAAUCGCUGCCUUUUUUGCCCAAACUGGCCAUGAAACUACUGGUUUGUUUCAAUUCCUGAUCAGCUUAAUUAAAUUUAAAGAUUCCUUUUUCCGGUGCACUAACAAGCAAUGUGCAAGUAUUAAAUUAUAAAUAAACAGCAUCACCCAAUCUCCAAUCGAUAUUUUAAUUUGUUACUAAUCAAUUUUUGCGGUUAAUAAACUUACAGGGGGAUGGCCCGAUGCACCUGGUGGCGAAUAUGCUUGGGGAUAUUGCUUUAUAAGCGAAGUUAGCCCUCCGUCCGACUACUGUGAUCCUAACUAUCCAUGUCGAGGGAAGUACUAUGGCCGAGGUCCAAUUCAACUCUCUUGGUAGGCUGAACAUUUUGAAUUAGUAUAUCAUUGUCUGAUCUGAAUGAGAAAGUCUUGGCCUCUUUAAUUAAAAACUUGUUAAAUGUGUAUUUACAUUCUGUCGAACAUUAAUUAUUAACUAAUUUGUUGGUGUUUAGGAAUUACAAUUACUUACGGUGCGGAGAAGGCCUAGGGCUAGGAGAGGAGUUGUUGAACAAUCCAGACCUUCUUGCUACUGAUCCAGUACUAUCAUUCAAGUCAGCAAUCUGGUUCUGGAUGACUGCACAGCCACCAAAGCCAUCGUGCCACGAAGUCAUUAUCGACGAAUGGAAACCAUCAGCAAAUGACGUAAACGCCGGCCGGCUUCCGGGAUACGGUCUAACCACAAAUAUAAUCAACGGUGGAAUUGAAUGUGGCUAAGGUGGGAAUGCCGCUGUACGUAACCGUAUUGGGUUCUUUACCACUUUCUGUGGCAAGUUUGGGAUUCAGCCUGGUGACAGUCUUGAUUGCUACAACCAACGACCUUAUGGCCUUAAUCUGAUGGCACAAUCUAUGUGAUCAUCAUGAUCAACGUUUUAGUAAAAUAAGCUUAAUAAAAGCUACUUAAUAAAAACUUUAGAUGUCACACUUGUAGGUGGACAACUAAAUUGUUAGUUUGUUACGCUCUUAUUGUAAGUAAAUUAAAUAAGACUGAUCCAACAUGGAUCAAUGAGUCUUCACCAUCUUUCAUCGUUUGAUUAUUUUUUUGAGUUUUUUUGUUAAAAUUUUGUACGUUUGUGGUUAGUUAUUUUAACAAAAUAAUUAGUCGAGAAAGGUAAAUGUUUUGGGGGUGAGAAAUACCACGAUCAGGCACACGAGGAGAAUGUGCUCCCUCUGCCUAGAAUGACUCCUUGAGGAAGAUUAGACCCGAUGAAGUGUGUGGCUGGUCACACGAGUAGAGUUGGCUCGAGACAUGCAAGGAGGGACCAGAACCAAGUCAAUUCGAAGACUUGGUCAAAGGUCAACCCGUGGGUUUCCUCCAAAGAAUUUGGGCACAAAGCUCACUCACCAGCAGUUACACUGCCCAUUCGCCCAUGGUUAUGUAAUCAACCCAUCAACGAAGUCGAGGGAGAAGAGGCUAAUAAUUCUGGUUGGAUAUGAAAGCUUCAGAGAACAGAGUUAAGGGAGUUAGACAACUUUUCAUUUAAUUUUCUCAUACUCUCAAUCUAUUCACAAUUUUAUCUUCUCUAUCAUUCUUUCUUUCUGAAAUAAAACCUUUCUUUUAUUUAGAGCAGUUUAAUUACGCCAUGGGAAUCGUGACCUAAGUUUUUCUAGGCAAACCCAAAUCGCUGACUUGAGCGUCGGAGGGAUUACGGUGGAAAAACCUCUAGCAUCUCCUGACUAGUUGUUGUGAACACAUGUGUUCUUGGAGGAAGUAUUUGAGGUCACAUGAACUUGUUCGAUAGUGGGGAAGCUAGGGGCAGAUCCAGGAUUUUAAAGUACCCCGAGCUAAAUUUUUUAUAAAAAAAAGUUAUAUUGUAAAGUGAACAUAAAAUUUUAUAAGAAAAAAAUAAAAUACACAUAAUAAGAUGAGAACAUUAGAAAUCUUACACUAAAUAAUAAUUACUUUAAAUAAAAUAAUUAUAUAAAAAUAAAAAAUAAAAAUAUAAUUCAAAACAAAAAUAUAACUAAAGUUGUAUUUUUCGCAACUUCAAACAAUAAAAUUCAUCAAUUAUGGAUUUUGGAUCAAUAGUAUCUGCAAUUUCUCUUUCAGCAUAGACAACCAUACAAUUAGAAAGAAACUCAUUUUCUAUUUUAUUGCAAAGUGAUGUCUUGAUAAGGCUCAUGGUUGAAAAUGCAUGCUCUGUUUGUGGCUGCAAAUGAAAGGAGUUUCUUGACUUGGAUUUAUCGGACACAUUAUACCUAUAAAUUACCAUAACAUGAAACUACAUAAGAAUUAAUAAAUUAACUAAUAAUUACAAGCUUAAUUAGCAUGCUUAAAUAAAUUAAACAAUUCAAUUUUUUUCAUCUUUUCUAUUUCUAAAAAAUAUUAUUAGUAAAAAAAUGAGAUGAAGAUUACACGAAAUUGCAGAUACUAUUAUUAGUAAACAAUUCACACUUGACUAACAUGCAAACAACACAUUGAGUCCUUGCCAAUUCCAAGACUUGCGAUAACCAGUUGCACAAUAUAUAAACAAAUUUUUAGAAAUACAAAUCAUGAAAUUUCUCCCCAAAAAUUAAAAAAAAAAAUCCAAUUUGUAUUGAGCCAGCCAUUGUGAUUAAGCUUUCUAAAUUCUAAUAGCAUUUGAGUGAAUUUUAAAAAACGAUAUACCAGAUUAAACUUACUAAAAUAUUAAAAAAAUAGAAAAUCAAAUUACAUACGAAACCCUAGAUUGUUACUUCAAUCAAAAUAAGUACCUUCUAAUAAUUUUAAAUGCAGAUUUGAGAACUCAAAAAUACCACAAUUGAAUUCGAGUGUUAUUAAUUAGGGUUUUAAUGAGAAUGAAAAACACUGAGGAAACUGGGAACGUGCAGGAUAAAAAGCAUUACCAGUGGAAGCGUAAGAUAGAGAACGGCAAGUUAACGUGCGCCUCGAGGAAUAGAGAUAGAGAGAGAGAGAGACGAGCACCCCAAGCACUGUAAGUAACUGGGAGUGGAGAAAUGGCACGAGUGGAAAAUAAAGGGGUCGUUUGGUUUUGUCGUCUUCUACUUUUGUUUUGUGUUUUUUUUUUUUUUUUAAAUGAGCGUGGGUAUCUGAAUCAUCCAAUUUUUUUUUAUAUUCUAUUUAUAAAAAUAAAUUCAUUAUUAAAAAUUAAAAAUAUCAAAAUUACUUUUUACUAAUUAUUUUUUAUUUUAUAAUUACAUAUUCUCUCUCUACUUUCACAUUCUAUAAAUAAUUUUUAAGUAAUUUUUUACAAAUCAUUCAGAUAAUAUAAUUUUUAAGAGUGAGGUUAUUUGAAUCCACCAAUUUCAUCUCUAUAUCUUUUUCUAAUUGAGAAUUUUAUUAUCUAAAUAGUUUUUAAUAAAAUUACUUAAUUAACCCUUUCUUCUCUUUCUUAUUUCAAUUUCACAAAUUCUCAUUAAUUCAUUGAGAUGUAUUCUUUUAACUGCAACUAGGAAAAAUAAAAUCCACAGUUAAAAUUGAAUGUCAACAAAUUUUUAUGAGUCAUGAAAGUUAAUGAAUAUUAAGAAAUUAAUUUUUAGUAAACACAAAAGUUAAUGAAUAUCAAGAAAAAGUUCUUAUAUAUAGAAAGCAUGAAAUAAAGGUUAUGAUCUACUAGAAAAGACCAAAAAUGAAUUCAAAAGAUAGUAAAAUUGAGUUUUUAAUUUAUAGAAUGUGAGAAUAAAAAGAGAAUAUGCAAUUGUAAGGUAUAGAGAAAGAUUAAUCGAGGAUAAUCUUGAUAUUUUCAAAUUUUAAAAUUUUAAUAAUGAAUUUAUUAUUUUUUAAAAAUAGGUAUAGAGAGAAAUUUGGUGGGAUCAAAUAGUCCCACCUAAUAUUUAAUUAGAAAGAUGGUGUAAGGAGAAAGUUGGCAGAUUCAAAUAGCCCUACUCUUUCUUUAAUUUUGCAUUGACCCCGGUUAUUUUAUGAUUUUCUCCUUUUAGUCAAUAUUAAUUGUUGUUACUGGAUUUUCCCCUGAGACCUAGAGCGAGCCCAUAAUGUUCAUGCUCGUGGACUUCCCUGCCCCGAGAACCAAGCCCAAUAAUCUUGAGGCCCUUGCAGGUUUAUCCAAGAAAGGUGCCUCUGUCAGGAUAAGAAAAGUGAAUUUGGGGUUUUGAGUCGAUUUUCAGCCUAAUAACAGCGGACGGUCAUGAUCUUUGACAAACAUCAAAAGAUCGAUUAAUAUGAAAAAAUCCAUCACAAUAACCAUGUGUAUGAGUGUGAGUGUGAGUGUGAGUGUGAGCGUGAGCGUGAGUUAUUUUAAUUUCUAGGCAUUUAUUGAAUGAAAUUGACGAUUGCUCGUUUUGAAUGUGUUAUUUUUCAGUCACAUCCUAUUUUUGCUUCUAUCUGUCUUUACGACAAAAUUUUAUCAUCAACCUGCAAGCAAUCAUGCACAAGCAGCCAAAAAAAAACCUAUUAUCAUCGCCCCACUGGCUCUUAUUUUCAAGCUCAAAACCAAUCUCAGUACAUUGGGAUAAGGCGAGAUGCAGAGAACAGCCACUGCCAGCUCUAGAAGAUGUGAAAUAAAGAAGACCAUCAAAAUCCUUAAUUAUCGCUUGUCUAUAUCAUGGUUUUAAAGACAAACAAUCUUGAUGGGCUCUCUUACAUAAGACGUAUAGAUCCAAUGAAAACUAGAUCGAAACGUUUAGACACAAGACUUUUGCUUUGAUAUCAUAUAAAGAGUAUAUUUAUAAUACAAUGUAUUAUUGUUUGGCACAUUGUCUCUAAGUCUCAAUAAAAAAAUUUAAGUUUUUCGUUGUUAAGUUCUUAAAUUUCAUGUAUUAUACAUAAUAUAUUAUGAGUUGGGAGUCAUAAACUCAUGAAUAUGGAAACUCAGGAUAAAAAGUUUGAGUUUUUUUUUAAAUAAUUUAUUUAGGUAUUUUUUUUAUAGAAGUCCAUGGACUUACUCAAAUGCUAACUAAGUCUUGAGGGUUGCCUAAGCCUUUAUAUACCUAACCAAAAAUUUAUUAUCAAACAAUGUGAGAUAUUAUCUCUAACCCUCAACGGUGUGGAGUACAAUCUUUAAUGACAUAUUCCUUUGAAGAAAUUUAAAAAAAAAAAAAACUUGGUUAGGUAUUUCAAAAAGGGGAGAUUGCCAAAUUCUCUUUAUUAUAAUUAAUAUAUAUCAUUUACUCCCUUAACUGUUUUUAUAAUAGCCAAUAACUCCUUAACAACAUUAGUUUAUAAUAUUAUCCUUAUUUUCAAAUACACUUUUAUUUUUAUUUAUUAUAAAUUAAAUAAAUCAUAUGAAUAGAAACUGAAUAAAAAAUAAGUAUUAAAAACAAUAAAUAUAUGUUUUGAUGUGAACAAAAAAAUUAGUAAUAAAAUUUUUUCUUGUACUUUUUUAUUUUCUAAACAUUUUCUUCUAAUAAAUAUUUUGUAAAUUAUAAAAUUAAAUGUAAAAAGUACAAUAACAAUAUUUUAUUAUUUAUUUUAUAAUACUAUUUUAAUUUCCAUUCAUGUAAUUUAUUUAAUCUAUAAUAAAUAUGAAUGAGAGUGUGAUUGAAAAUAAGGGAAAUAUUAUAAAUUUAUAUUAUUAAGAGAGUUAUUAGUUAUUAUAAAAAUAAUAAGAGAUAAAUAAUAUAUAUUUAUUACAGUAUAGGAACCUCUCUUCAAAAAACCUUGACACAUACGUUCUAUAAAUAUAACCCUCUAGCCAAAGCUGUGACAUACACCAAGCAGAGGAUAAUUGAUAUCAUAACUGUUGCUUUCAAAAUGAGGCUUAUUGGGUCCUUACUAAUUUUCUCUCUGGUUUUAUCUUUUGUACUAGGAGGCUCAGCACAGAACUGUGGAAGCGGCGUUGUGUGCCCAGGAGGGGAGUGUUGUAGUCGAUUUGGUUGGUGUGGCCUAACAACAGACUACUGUUGUGAAGGCUGCCAAAGUAACUGUAAUCAGGUUGUUUGCGGUGAAUGUGAUCCCGACGACGGGACGGCUGGCGAUGGCGGUGAACUGGGCAAGAUCAUCUCAAGGAAGAUGUUUGAAGACUUGCUUGAGUAUAGAAAUGAUAAACGAUGCCCUGCCAGAUGCUUCUACACUUAUGAUGCUUUUAUAGAGGCAGCCAAAGCUUUUCCAGCCUUUGGUAAUUCUGGAAAUGAAACCAUGCGUAAAAGAGAAAUUGCUGCCUUUUUUGCCCAAACUGGCCAUGAAACUACUGGUUUGUUUCAAUUCCUGAUCAGCUUAAUUAAAUUUAAAGACUCCUUUUUCCGGUGCACUAACAAGUAAUUAAAUUUUAAUUUGUUACUAAUCAAUUUUUGUGGUUAAUAAACUUACAGGGGGAUGGCCCGAUGCACCUGGUGGCGAAUAUGCUUGGGGAUAUUGCUUUAAUAGGGAAGUUGGUGCUGCGUCGUCCGACUACUGUGAUCCUAACUAUCCAUGUCGAGGGAAGUACUAUGGCCGAGGUCCAAUUCAACUCACUUGGUAGGCUGAACAUUUUGAAUUAGUAUAUCAUUGUCUGAUCUGAAUGAGAAAGUCUUGCCCUCUUGAAUUGAAAACUUGUUAAAUGUGCAUUUACAUUCUAUCCAACAUUAAUUAUUCACUAACUUCUUGGUGUACAGGAAUUGCAAUUACUUAAGGUGCGGAGAAGCCUUGGGGGUGGACUUGUUGAACAAUCCAGACCUACUUGCCACUGAUCCAGUACUAUCAUUCAAGUCAGCAAUCUGGUUCUGGAUGACUGCACAGCCACCAAAGCCAUCGUGCCACGAAGUCAUUAUCGACGAAUGGAAACCAUCAGCAAAUGACGUAAACGCCGGCCGGCUUCCGGGAUACGGUCUAACCACAAAUAUAAUCAACGGUGGAAUUGAAUGUGGCUACGUUGGGAAUGACGCUGUACGUAACCGUAUUGGGUUCUUUACCACUUUCUGUGGCAAGUUUGGGAUUCAGCCUGGUGACAAUCUUGAUUGCUCCAACCAACGGCCUUAUGGCCUUAAUCUGAUGGCACAAUCUAUGUGAUCAUCAUGAUCAACGUUUUAGUAAAAUAAGCUUAAUAAAAGCUACUUAAUAAAAACUUUAGAUGUCACACUUGUAGGUGGACAACUAAACUGUUACGCUCUUAUUGUAAGUAAAUUAAAUAAGACUGAUCCAACAUGGAUCAAUGAGUCUUCUCCAUCUUUCAUCGUUUGAUUAUUUUUUUGAGUUUUUUUGGUAAAAUUUUGUACGUUUGUGGUUAGUUAUUUUAACAAAAUAAUUAGUCGAGAAAGGUAAAUGUUUUGGGGGUGAGAAAUACCACGAUCAGGCACACGAGCAGAAUGUGCUCCCUCUGCCUAGAAUGACUCCUUGAGGAAGAUUAGAUCCGAUGAAGUGUGUGGCUGGUCACACGAGUAGAGUUGGCUCGAGACAUGCGAGAAGGGACCAGAACCAAGUCAAAUCGAAGACUUGGUCAAAGGUCAACCCGUGGGUUUCCUCCAAAGAAUUUGGGCACAAAGCUCACUCACCAGCAGUUAUGCUGCCCAUUUGCCUACGGUAGUGAUGUCAAUGGGGCGGGUUCGGGAGAUCAUGAUCCUCGAACCCGAACCCGAUUUAGAAGCUAUCCCUCAAACCUGUCGCAUACCCAAAAAUUAUAUCCCCAAAAAUUCCCGAAUUGAGCGGGGAUUAAAGCAGGGACCCGAUCCCUAUUUCUUUAAAUAAUAAUUUCUAAAUAUUUCAAUUUCUUUUUUUUAAAAAAAAUUAAUAAUUCUAACAACCUCUAUAUUUAGAAAUAAAAUUACAAAUGAUCAAAUUUCAUAUUAGAAAUAAAAUUACAUGUGAUCAAAAUUUUAACAACCUACACAUAAAUAAAAACAUAAUAAAUCUAAACCUUCAACAUAAUUACAAAUGAUCUAAUUUUAUAUGACAAAUCAAAAUAAUUUUAAGUAUUCAACAUAAACUUGUAGCCAUCACCAUUCAUGCACGUUCUAAGAUUCUUGAUAAACCUAUAGCAACAUAAACAAAAAAUAAAUAAAAAAUAAAAUCAUAUUUUAACAAUUCAACUUAAUAAAUACUUGACAAAAUAAUAUAAACUAAAACUAUAUGAGUUACUCAUGCACUUCAAAGUGAACAAAAUUUGGAUUCAUUACAACAGAGUAAAUAACUUUUUUUAGUUAUUUUUUUAUUUUGAACUAAAACUUUAUGCUUGUAUUCAAAAACAUAUUUCCAAAAAAAUAAUAAUAAAAACUAACCAAAUGCAAUUUUUAAGAAUUCCCUGUUUUCAAUAAUAAUAACAAUAAUACCAAAUAGUUGGAUCCACCUAUGUUGCAACUGUUGCAACAUACAACAGUAUUUGUCUUCACUUAAAGAUACCGUUGGAUGUAAAGUAACUGAAUCUAACGGUUCGAAUUAGAUAAGCUUUAAAUGAGGUCUUGACUGGCAACCGCUGAAAUCGGUUAUGUAUUUAUGUAAUAGGGAGUAAUGGUUUCAUGAAAUGCAUCCAAAAGAGAACAGCUCUGUUUUAUGUAACGCAUCACGGUUGAGAAUUAAUCUGGAGGCUCGUAAAUAGAAAGAAGACGAUCGUAAACUCUUAGGAGGAAAAGAUUUCAUUGAUUCACUUGUGUUGCAACCAAUUAUGUAUAUCAAUUGACGAUCGUAAUUACAACUACUCUUUUUUGUAUUCUCUCUGCUAGUAGGCCAACCAAUCAUGUACGGACAAUAUUGGGGUUAUGAAUUGUUUAACUUCUGUUAAUGACCUGCACCUGGUUGAUGAAAAAAAGACUUGCUUGCUUAUCAAAGGAAGCACGUUACUGGGCUUUGCGGACGCGCCCCCUUAAAAUGAUUUAUAAACUCACCAAAACAAGGUAUAUGUUGAUGAAAACAAAUAAAUUUCCUUUUGCAUUUUAUUAUGAAUUACCGAUUUUUGUUUUUUUUUUAAAUUUUUGGUGAAGUACUACUAUGUUUUGACAGAAUUCCCCCACUUUUCAUAUGGAUUUCUUAUGUGACAUGCAUGGGAAUUAAUGAACAGAUGCAUUUCUGUGCACGUGACUUGGUUGAUACAAUGUUCAAGUGUAUGAUAUGAUGCACAUGUUAUCAUGAUUUGCUGAUUAAACAUUUCUAAUAGUGAUUCACUCUCGUACUGAGUACAGACAUUUGACACAGUUUUGUAAUUUCAGAUUUAUGAUGAAUUGAUUAAUGAUUAUUUUUCAUUAUCAUGGUUUGAUGAUUGCACGCUUUCGAAGAUGAUUUUGGCUUCCUCAUGCUACUAUGUUUCCUUAAUUUUUAUCCUUGUAGAUACUUAGAAUCAAGUGCUUAUGUGCAACACAUACUGAAAUGCACACAAACCGAGGAAUUCCCAGUUGGUUACUAGAUCGUGAAGAAUCAUAAACGCUAUUUUUUUUUUUCAAUAGUCAUGACCUCAUAGAUGCAUAUUCUACUAGAUCAAUGGUUAAUAUCAUUCAGUUGGUGCAAAAUGAGCAUGUACUUUAUAAAAUUCAAUGUAAUAAUGUAAGUCCCAAUUAUAUAUAUCUGAUUGUAAAUAUCAGUGUAAUAUCUCUGCUACAAUAGCAGUUGUUGUAAAUAUCUGUGUAAUGCAGUAAUCUGAUGAUUAAUCAGUAUUCAAAAAAAUAGUCAUGACCUCAGAGAUGCAUAUUCUACUAGAUCAAUGGUUAGUAUCAUUCAGUUGGUGCAAAUUUGAUGCAGAAGAUCUUCCACCAUGACCUAUUGAAAAGAAUAUAUUCUGUAUUCUUUUCAAUACAGAAUAUUUGCCAAUGGAAUAUGUGCAUCGUGCAGUUGGAUUGGAUAUUGGCUUUUUUUAUUUUCUGGCUCCCAACUUCAUAUUAUGUAAUUGCCUUAACACAUGAUAUCCUGGGAAGUUUUGAAUUACAUUGUACUCUGAGAUGAAAAUAUUCCAUUUGUCUUAAUAGCGACUAGAGGCAUAACUUUACUCCAUUCAAGAAUGGAAUAAUACAAAUUCUCAUAAUGCAAUAGAAUCAUGUUAUAUGUUAUUAUUAUAUGUUAUAUUACAGAAGUUAUAAUAAUAAUUACUAUUCUUUUUCUCUUUUUGAUUAUCUAUUUGUUGCGGUUAGCAAGAUUCAGAAUUUGGCAUCCCUAACCCUUAAACUAAAGCAAUACAUUUUUUUAAUUUACUUUUAUACUUGAACUCACCUUCAGAAUAAAACUUAACUUUUUCUUCUUUUUUUAAUUUUGGGAAUUGCGUGCUGCGUCUGCUCCAAGGCCACAACAACAGCUCAAACGAACGCCAUAUUCAUACUAUUUUCACAUAAUGAGAUGUGCUAUUUCGUUAUCUUCCAGCACUGCCAAAUAUUCUUUCCAGUUGGUUGCCACAUCCACAUCUUUGCUUUCACGAUCAGAAUCUCUUUUUGGUUUAAUUAACAUCGUUCCUCACUUUGCACACAGCCAAAUUGAAACUUCGCAAUUGCAAUAUCUGAGGGAUGUAAAAGAUAUCGAUGAUCGGAAUUUCCAAGGGGUGGAAAAUAUUUAGAUGCCCACAAUUUCUACAGUGUAGAAUAAUUUCCGAUGAUUGCUCCAAAACAGUCAAUAGCAAUGUGAUUGUGGACCCUUAUUUUAAUAUAUUGUUUUGUACAGAUUCUUUUACCAACCGGCUCUUCCAUUUACCCAUUUUUUAAUUUCAACCGUCAGAUUCGUACACUUUUAAUCGAACGGUAUCUCCAAAUGAAGACAAAUGGUGUUGUAUGUUGCAACAGUUGCAACAUAGGUGAGUCCCAAAUAGUAUAUCAGACAGGUCGUAUAUCUAUAAACCAAUACUGAACCAUCCAUUAAUGAAAAUAAGAAUAAUAUUGAUUGGAAGUUUAGAGUUAAUAUUGAAACAAGAUCAAGAAAAUCAACAGUUCUACAAGAGUAUGAUCCAACAAUAACCUUCAUUUACUAGCCUCCUAUCUUCAAUUUCUUGUAAAACUUCAAAAACAGGUUCACGAAAAAAAUCAAGCAAAAUUCCCUCUCAAGAACAGGAAAAGAUGAAAGAACAUUUAUUUUAUAUGAAAUCCUCCGAAGCAAUUCACUUCAGAAUAAAAUCCACAAACCCCUCUUUGUUCUUCACUUCUUGCUCCUUAAACAAGGAACAAAAAGUGGGAAAAAAAAAAAGAUUGAUAGAUAUUGUGGAUAGAGAUAACUGCAGCACAAACUCAAAAGCAAAUGAUUACAAAAUUAAUAUACCAUGCAGAAAAUAGCCACGCCUAACAAAAUUCUACAGCCCAAUACCAGCAACGAAAUAGUUUAGAUGAAGAAGAAAGAAAAUACCUCUACAAGUCUAUAUGGUCAUUCUUUAAGAGUAUUUGCAAGAAGCUGGACUCCAAAAACUUUGCAAUGAUUUCUGUGAGAGUUAAGAGCAAUUAAACAAAAAGGAGAACACCAUAAUCACAUAGGUAGUUUGUUAAUCCACAACAGAAUGGCUUCGUCAACACAUAUCCCUACACAUUAUCACUUCUAAAACAAAGCUUCCUAUAAAACAUAUAUUUGGAUAGAAGAAAAAGAAACCACUCACUCUAAUAUUGACUUUAUCGAUUGGAAAUAAGUGCAUAUAUAUAGAAACAAAAACUACAGAGAUUACUAACGGUAGGUAUACAAAACUUACACAAAUGAUCGAAACUAAUGUACAAAACAUUGUCAACAUUAGCAAUAUUGGGUAACUGAGAUUUUGACUCACCAAUUUCCUAAACAGAAGUCUACAUAAAAUUUCAUGGACUACAAGACAUUUGAUGUAUCUUUGCUUGGCUAUAUUCUGUUCAUUUUCAGCUGCUCGAAAAUCCAUAAAUGGAUCCCAUGCUCAUCACUUUGUUUGCAUAAAUCUUCCAUUAAAUUUAUAGCUGCAAGGCCAUACAGUUGCAUGCUAGUUAUAUGGAAAAUACAACAGAAGUAUAAUGGAGGGCCUAGCCUGCCAUCCGCAUGUUUAAGUCUGCAGCUACAUGAAGUUUACAUAAACCAAAACUUCGACCUUGGAAAUUAAAUAAAAAAACAUGCAUAGGAAAAAGAACUUUAGAAACAAAGAAGGUCUCAAAGGCCCACACUUGCAAAAAUCCUUUCUUAAGUUUCUUCUAUCCCACAGCAUUCAGACUCUUUCCAAAACGUAAGGCCAUUUUCCCAUAAAACAUAAUAUCCCACUUAGAGCUGGCAAAUUCAAUAAUUCGGAAGCAAUCAAGAUCUAAAUAUUUUUUUCCAUAUAACUAACUUUUUAAUGAAAGCAACAAGUCAUUUUUAAAACAAGAUCUAAUUAUUUUAAACACUCAUUUUCCAACUCAAUAGCUAAUUAAGAGUUUAAGAUCAUAAAAACCCAAAAAUCAAAAAAUUCCUUUUACCCUUCUACCGGACUGAAACUAAAUGACCCCCCUUUUUCAGUUUUUCCACAAACCAAACAGCACACCACUAAAAAAAUUAAAAAUUAAAAAACAAAAGCUUUCCUUCUCUCCCGAGAAAACAAAAAUUAAAAUUCCCAUAAUAUCAUCAUUGAAAAAGAGCAGAAGAACAGAUUAGUUUGUUAACCAAGAACAGAGUAGUUUGUUAACCCAGCACAGAACAGAACGGCGUCAUCAAGACAUAUUCCACGUUUCGCAUUAUCCAUUAUCACCCAUAAAACAAAGCUUCUUAUAAACCACUCACUCUAUUUCGUCAAAUUCUUCCUUCUCUGGUUUCAUGUUUUCCAUCUCUACUUGAAACUUUUCAUUCUUUUCUCUUUUAUUAGGCCCAAAGCAUGGCUGUCAGUAACUCAAAUCAUGGCUGCAGCCUCUGUUUCAGUGAGCUCUCCAUGGCUGCAGUUUGUGCUUAAGGCUAUGUGACUGAGAAUGAAAUCAGAAGAAGAUGAAUGAAAACACGCAAAACGUAAAAUUGACUCAAAUCAAUGAAACCAGAUGCAAUUUCAAAUAAAUAAAUAAAUAAAGAAAAAUAGGAAAAGCAAAAACCUUGCAGCAGGAGAUCCAACAGCGCGGCUGAGUGUUGGUCGCUGACGACAAACGGUGGCGACCGACCAGCUGUUAGCGACGGCGGCGACGGCGGCGGCGGCUAACGAGCUCUUAGGGUUUCUUUUGGGGGAACGAUCGAUUCAAUCCAAAUGGAUUAAAGAAUAAUCUUUUUUUAGUUUUUAUUUUUGGGUCGGGAUAGGGGACCCGAACAAUCCCCGAAUCCAAACCUGAAAUUUUUUUGGGCUUAGACCCAUACCUGAAACUGACCCGAUUUCAUUUUCAUAUUUUUCUAGGGCCCCAUACCCGCCCCAAAUUAAUCGGGGCCCCGCGGGUAUUGCUGCCAACUCUAGCCCACGGUUAUGUAAUCAACCCAUCAACGAAGUCGAGAGAGAGAAGGCUAAUAAUUCCGGUUGGAUAUAAAAACUUCAAAGAACAGAAUUAAGGGAGUUAGACAACUUUUCAUUUAAUUUUCUCAUACUCUCAAUUUAUUCACAAUUUUAUCUUCUCUAUCAUUCUUUCUUUCUGAAAUAAAACUUUUUUUUUUAUUUAGAGUAGUUGUAAUUACGCCACGGGAAUCGUGGCCCAAGUUUUUCUAGGCAAACCCAGAUCGCUGACUUGAGCGUCAGAGGGUUUACGGUGGAAAAACCUUCAGCAUCCCCUGACUAGUUAUUGUGAACACGUGUUCUUGGAGGAAGUAUUUGAGGUCACAGGAACUUGUUCGAUAGUGAGGAAGCCAGAGGUGGAUCCAAGAUUUUUAAGUACCCCAAGCUAAAUUUAAAAAAAUUAUAUUGUAAAGUGAACAUGAAAUUUUAUAAGAAAAAAAUAAAAUACACAUAAUAAGAUGAGAAAAUUAGAAAUCUUACACUAAAUAAUAAUUACUUUAAACAAAAUAAUUAUAUAAAAAUAGAAAAUAAAAAUGUAAUUCAAAACAAAAAUAUAACUAAAGUUGUACUUUUCGUAACUUCAAACAAUAGAAUUCGUCAAUUAUGGAUUCUGGAUCAAUAGUAUUUGCAAUUUCUCUUUCAGCAUAGACAACCAUACAAUUUGAAAGCAACUCAUUUUCUAUCUUAUUGCAAAGUGAUGUCUUGAUAAGGCUCAUGGCUGAAAAUGCAUGCUCUGUUGUGGCUGUAAAUGAAAGGAGAGUUUUCCUUUACUUGGAUUUAUCGAACAUUAUACCUAUAAAUUACCAUAGCAUGAAACUACAUAAAAAUUAAUUAAUUAAUUAAUAAUUACAAGCUUAAUUAGCAUGCUUAAAUAAAUUAAACAAUUCAAUUGUGUUCAUCUUUUCCAUUUAAAAAAAUAUUAUUAGUAAAAAAAUAACAAUAAUAAAUCAACUCAAACUAAUAAAUCACAAAACUAAUUACAAAAAAAAAGCCAAUCAAACAUUCAAAAUAAUAAAUUAAAAUAAUAUGUAAAAUAAAUCAAUAAAAUCUAUCUAAAAAAAUAAAUAAUUUAUGCAAGUUCUAAAAGUAUAGUAACAUACCAGUAGAAAAAUGUAUAGAUCGCAAAGAAAUUGGAAGAUGUGAACGGAUGAUGAAUUGUGAUUUGUGAAGUAAUGAAGGUGAAUUGAUGAAGAAUGAAGAAUCAUGAAGGGUUUGGAAUUUUUUUUGUUUUUUUCUAAUGAUAUCGAUAGAAGUAAAGGAAAAGUAAUAAUGAUGGAUGGCAUUUUUCGUAAUUUUAAUCAAACUAACUAUUUUUUUUUCUUUUUCUGUAUCGGGCUGCAGCCCGGUAUAGCCCACUAACAGAUCCGCCUCUGGAGGAAGCAAAACAAAACCAUCUCCCCAAUAACAAUAAAUUUAAGUGUUGACGUGAUUGUCUGAUCACUAUAUAGCUCGAUCAAAUUUCUGCAUCAACAAUAAACUUGGACAGACCUAAAUAGGUAUAUAUUCAUAUACAUAGGCGGACCUUAAAGGAGCUUCAGCCCCUCCAUUAUAUUUUUCUUCUAAAUGUGCUCCAAACCCCAUUUGAAAAAGAAAUAAAAAGAAUUUGGGCACAUAUUUUAUAUAACAAAAUAUUUGUAGUUUAAUUGUAAUAGUGUUAUUUAGUGAUUUUGGAAACUUGUGCCGCAUUUACUUGUCAGUAAUCAAAAUGGAUUAGAAUUGGAAUGAGUUGGAAAAUGAAUGAGUUGGAAUGAGAAGGGGAAAUAAGAAUUAUAAUAAAUUGUUUACUUAAACUACAAGAAUCGAAAUGGAAAUGAGUUAGAAUCUUAUUGAUGUGUUUGUUUUAUCUUGGAAUCGAAAUAGGAAUAAACUGAAUCAUUUUAAGUUACUAAAAUGCCCUUAGUUAAUUAUAGUAAUAAUAAUAAUUAUUAUUGUCGUUGUUGUUAUUGUCGUCGUCGUCGACAUUAUUUGUGAUUUUUAUUAAUAUAAAAAUGAUUAAUAAUAAUAAUAUUAAAAAUAAUAUCAUUAAUAAUUUAUUAAAAUACCCUUUGUUAAUUAUUGUCAUUUGAUGAUGAUGAUGAUAAGAAUAAUAAUUAAAAUAAUAAAUAAAUAAAUAAUAGUAAUAAAUCAUAAAUAAUAACAAUAAUAACAACAAUAAAGUUUAUAAUAAUAUAAAUAAUAAUAAAAAUAACAACAACAACAACAACUAAAUUCCAUAAUAAAAAUAAAUUUUCAGUUUUUUUCGAUUUAUAUUCAAGAACUAUAAUUAUUAAUAUAUUAUUGUUAAUAAUAUAUUAACAUAUUAAUUAAUAGUAAUAAUUAUAUUAAUUAGUUAAUAAUAAUAUAAGAAUUAAUUAUAAUAAUAAUAAUUAUUAUUAUUAUUAAAUAAUAUAUUUAAUAUAUUUAAUUAUAAUAAUAAUAAAUUAAUUAAUUAUAAAUGAGGACAAAAUGGGUAUUUUUAUUUUUUGGGGGGGAAGGGGGCAAAAUGGUCAAUCUCAAAAAUGGGAGACUCAUUCCCAACCCUCUCCUUGGGAAUAAUUCUCUCAUUCCCCCAUUCCCAAAUUAUGGUGGGCCGCAUAAUUCUAAUUUUGAUUUUUUAUUCUAUUUUAUGAAGUAAACGCUGUUAAUAAUUCUGAUUUCGAAUUCCGAUUCCCUAAUCGGUAAGUAAAUGCAACAUUGGUUCAAAUCCUAAUAGCCACAUAAUUCAGCAUUUAAGAUAAAUAAUUUAUUACAAAAUAUUUAAAACAAAUAAAAAAGCACCCCAAAUUAAAUUAAAAUCUUUUUAACUAAGCUCUCUUAAUUUUGGUGUGUGUGUCCACCAUUGUUCAUGUAUAGAUAAAAGUUUAAAAUACGCUUUCCAAUAUUUGAUUUCGCUAGGCUUCCGAGGAGGAGGAGUGGCUUUGCAUCUGGUGAGUCAUUAUUUCUUAUUAAUUUACCAUAAAUUGUAGUAGUAGUCAUGUGCCUGAUACAGAUGAACAUUUGCAUUACCAGACACUAAUUACAGAAACUCGAUAACAAGCCUAGCAUUGCUGUUUCCAAAAUGUACCAUAUACGUAUUUUAAACAAUCAAUUACGUUUACAGAUUUAACUUUUAUUUACAGGCUGAGGACUUACUAUCAAAAUAUUUUAGAUCCUGAAAAUGCGUCAGCAUUAUUGAACAAUUUUAAAUGCAAAAUGUUAACUACGGGGGGCUAUGCUUAUCAAGUGAAUUAAAUUUCAGAAUCCCAGCUUAGACCAAUGCUGAUCAAAAACUCUUGACAACUAAUUAGUAGUUCUCAGUUCAAGCUUUCUCAAUGAGCAGGAAAAAAGUCACCAAUAGGAUGACAACAAAAUCUAUCUACAGGUUACAGACCAAAAUUAUUGAAAGAAAAACUAGCUGGGCAUAUAAUAGUACUGGUCUCAAUUGAGAAUACUAGCAUAAGGGGUCAAAUUUUGUGCAAUGUUUUGAAGCCAGGGACUAAGCUGUGACCAAAUGGGAUCCUGGCUCCAAUCCGUAUUCAUUUUCGGAACUUGAAGCUCUGGCAAAUUUAUUUUCCCUUGUGGCAAUUGCAAAGAUGUGGCUGUUGACACAGUUUUCUCCUCCGUAUAAGUUCCUUGUACCAUUGACACUUCUUGUUCUUCUUGCUUGAGCAUCACAUGGGGUAGACUAAUCGGUCCCAAUAAUUCUUCUGGUUGGCCGCAAAAAGAGCUGGUAUCCAACGUCGGUGACGGUGGAGAAGGUGAAGUGAAACUUGUCUUCAUUUGAUCUUCCUCCAUUGCAGCUCUUUGUUCCAGGACCUUUAGAGAUGUUGCCUUCCUGUAUAUCUUACAAAGUACAAUAUCCUGCAUUUAAAAAUUCCUGGUGUGAGUAGAAUUCAAAUCCUAAAACAAUUCCUGAUGUGAGUAGAAUUCAAAUCCUAAAACAAGUAAUGGAAUCCCGAGAGAUUUUAAGUAUCUGGUGAAGCAACUAAAACAAAUUGAAAAAAACUCGGUACCUUGGGCAAGGGGCAACCGUCAGGAAGGCGAUAUUCGUUCAUGACCCAGUCAGUUUUGUGACCUUUUGGUGCUCUGCCUUCAUAGAAAACAAGAGUUUUCCUCAGGCCGAUUACGCGUUUCGGAUCCGAUAAGCUCACAAUUUUCCUGUCAGAACCUGUAGCUUUCCAGAAUCCAUGUUCAGUUGUCCUGUUUGGCCUUCCACCACUUCCAUGCUUCCUGUCUCUUGGGACAAAAAAGUACCACUCCCUCUCUCCAAUCUUUGACAAUCCUGUAAAACAAAACCGAGUGAAAAAAAAAAAAUUGUUUCAAUGUAACUAAAUGAAACUUUUCAGAAUUGUUUCAAUGUAACUAAAUGAAACUUUUAAAAAAAAAUUGUUUCAAUGUAACUAAAUGAAACUUUUCAGAAAUGUAACAGUAUAUAUAAUUACAUGCAUACCAGGCAACUCCCAGGGAUCAUGGUGAUAUAUGUUAAGGAAUCCGAUAAUAUCGAAAUGUGAUUUUUUUCCAAAAACAAUGUUCCUGAGAUAGAAAUUGAGAAGUUCAUCUUCUGUAGGAUGAAACCGGAACCCUGGAAGCUCAAGCUCUGGUGUCAUUUUAUCUACUAGAGAGUUCAAAUUUUGUCUGAAACUGGAAGUGUAAGUGAAUGUAAAUGCUGAUGAUACAUGUAAAUGUAAGCACGUAUUGAAAGGCUAUAUAUAAGUUAGAUAUUUUAAAGACACAGAAGACUAAGUCAUGAAAGAGCAGGGAACUUGGAAAAUGAAGUCUUGGAAAUUUUGGAACUAUGUGGGGGAUUGGAAAAUGGUGGAGUCCACACGCUUAUUAAAGUCUGCAGUGACUGAAAUUGAUUUCAUCCUGUGAUGUGGACAAGAGAACACGUUUUCGUUAGUUUUUGGUGUUUUACUUGGAAAUUCCAGGCAGUUGGGGUUUUUUUUCCAAGUAAAUUUCUGCCACAUAAUUUGAUCAAAUUUUUUGAACAAUCAAGUAUGCCAUAGGAAUUAAGAAACAUGUAAUGAGGACCUCAUGUUGAAUCACCUCUUUUCUCUCUUGUACGGGUAGGAGUUCAAGUCUCAUGGAUAUCAGAAAAAAUAUUGGUAUAUUUUCAAAUGUAAGGGUCAGCGAGUCUUGUCUGCGCAAUACUGCAAGUAAUUUCAACAUUGAAAUGGUCAUAAUGCUUAAUUUUGCAUCAUUAUGAGCUUCUAGGUUUGUAGACUCCACCUCAAUCUAUCGAGAGAAUACAUAUACAUACAUACAUACAUACAUACAUACAUAUAUAUAUUAGAUUUUAAAGCGUGGGAAAAAUUCUAGUAAGUUAUAAAACUGUGGGGUUUGAGAGACUUAAAAAUUAAAAUGCUUAAACCACAAGAUUUAUACAUUUUUUCGAACUUUUACGCACUUUAAAAUUCUAAAUUUGAAUAUAUAUAUAUAUACGUGUGUAGAAAUAUUUCAAUCUAGAAUUUUAAGAUGCGGAAACAUCUAGAAAAAUGCAUAAAUCAUGCGGCUUAAUCGUUUUAAAUUUUAAACCUUUAAAAGUAUGAGGUUUUAAAAUUUUUUCGAACUUUUCUCACACUUUAAAUCCCAGAUCAAAAAGCUACUGCGAGGUAAGUGGCAAAGGCAAAUUAGAUACUUCCAUUGUUGGUGGGUAUUGAUUACUAAAACAAAAGUGGACCUACGUGACAAACUUAUUGGUGCAUCUCUGGUUAGGCUAGUCGUUCCUUAAAAAACUUACGUCCUCUCCAACUCUAUUAUGAGCUAAUUCGAAACUCAAAUCCUUGUUUUUGUUUUAAUAGAUUUUAUCGAUUAAACGAAUCGCUACUUAUGAAAAGCAUUUCAAUAUUUUAUUUCAAUGUGAGUAUGCCCAGGUUGGUCUAAUCUCAACAAGGCUCGAUCUUAAUUUCUUCACUUAAAAAAUUAGAAAAUGAGAAGAACUCAAUCAAAUAAAAAAGGAUUUAAACGUACGAACUAUUUGAAUAAACUUGGUAGAACAGCUGUACAAUAUGUUGACAUAUUUAAUUUUUAAAUGGAUUUAACCUUCAAAGCAUGUUCGAGAAACUCGAAGGUAGAAGAGAUUGGUGAACAUAUAAUGACACUGAGAACCCCUCUUUCGUUUUUUUUGGGACAAUAUGUUUUCUUUAAUAAUAAAUUAUCUUAAAAUGAAAUUCUCCACGGGAAAUAAAGUAUCUUACUUAUACCAUAUGAAUAUGGUUUCAACCUCAAGCUUAUUUUAACAAUCAAAAUAAGAUCUUCCUAAAAAAGUUUACUAAUUAACACUUUUACUCUAUCACCAACUCAGAAGGGAAUGCCUGUUUAAUGAAUAAAUUAAAGAAUCGCAUAAUUGGUGCAAAUCAUAGUUUUAAAAGAAUAAAUAAUUUGGAAAGUGAAUGUGAUCGAUGUAUCCAUCAGAUAUACUGCAUUGGGUCAAUUUGUUUAUAUUUCUCAAAGUCUUCUAGUACAGCGACCACAACCAACAAGAUAAUGCUACAAAAUUUCAAAAGCAACUCCGCGUUGUCAGCAAUGUUUUGUUUUGUUACAUUUAGAAAUCAAAAAAUUAAUAAUAUUUUUCAUGGUUUUGAUUAGUGAUUUGACUUGGAAGUCUUCUCCGAAGACUUAAAAAAAAGAAGUCUUCCCAUUCUAUCUUAAGGUGAAUGAUAAUUGAUUGUCAUAUGUUUAGCCGUAGACUUUCUAUUUUAUUCGAGUAAUUCUCUCUAUUUAAGUCUUUGCCCUCCCCCCCCAAAAAAAAGUUAAUAUUCUCUCGAGUUUUAUUUAUUUUAAACUAAAUCAAUUCAUUUAUAUAAUAUAUAACUGUCAAUUAUCAUAAUGCAUGUGAUUCAGGUUUGUAUAUCUUUUUUAGAUAUAUAAUUAACUAAUGUUUACAAAGUUUAAUUUAAUUAUGUUCGAGGAAUUAAAUUUUAUUUCGAACAGAUGUGGGAUGCCCUCUUGAUUUUAAGCUUCUAUUAGUUUGAGCAAAGAUGGCGAAUAUAAUGAAUCUUUACCUGGACAGUAAAAUAUAUACACAUUACACAAAACUUUUGAAAACUUCAGAAAAAUUCGGAUCAGAAGAAAGUAGAACAUAUUCUUCUUCUAUCCUUCUUAUUUAUUAUUCCGGGGAAAAAAAAAUUCUAAGUUUUCUUCCAAUUUAUUGUCGUUACUUUUAAACUCUAAUUUUGGUUGAAUUGAAAUAACAAAACGGUAGCUUCUAAGAAAUUUCCAUGCAAUUUCUUGGAGUCUUCAUUAUUCCUGUUGCUCUUGGCAAAUGGCAAUGUUACUUUCUGGAACUCAUAUCAUGAUACUGCCGGUGGCUUUUUCAUUAAAAAGUGCAGUUACUGGUAUUAAAGAAAACACGGUUUCCCUUUCUCGAGCCCUAAUCAAAGUUCACGGUUUCUAUUUUAUAAUAUCAUGGAUCAAAGCAACUGUGUAUUAAAUUAAUUUCAAUUCAAUCGACAAUCGUUAUCGUAGACAUUUCGCGUUGUGUUUCCUUUGCCCUCAAUCCUCACGACAUUGAUCUUGUGAUUGUAUUUAGGACAAGGUGAUUUGCAUGGGUUAGAAUUGGAAGCGAAAGGGGAUUUUUGGAUGGGCCAAGCUAGCUCAUGUUGAUGCGCAAAUUGUGUCGAAUCCACCAACUAAAUUGCCGCUUAGGAGCCCCAUAUUUUCAACCUUGAAAAACCAUUUCACAUGUCGACGAAAAUGACACAUUGGCAACAGAGAAAAUGAUGGCAGCUUCCCCCCCCCCCNNNNNNNNNNNNNNNNNNNNNNNNNNNNNNNNNNNNNNNNNNNNNNNNNNNNNNNNNNNNNNNNNNNNNNNNNNNNNNNNNNNNNNNNNNNNNNNNNNNNNNNNNNNNNNNNNNNNNNNNNNNNNNNNNNNNNNNNNNNNNNNNNNNNNNNGUACCGUACAUCCGCCUUGGCCGUACAGCAGUUUAAUGGAAACUAUCAUAAAUCAUGUCGUCUAAAAUUUUAAAGAUUACAAGUAAAGUGGAAUGAAAAAAUUUUCAUCCUUUAAGAAAAAAAAUCAGAACAACUCAAAAUUCUCAUGAUGAAUAUCAAAAUCUUGCUUUUGCACCAUGCAUACCGAAUCCAAUUUGACAACCAUUACAGAUAAACUAAUCUUACUAGCAUGCAGCAAGGUAGCUUCUUCAGCAAAAUCAAUAUCAUUCGAAUACUACCCCACCAUUAAAAAAAAAAAAAAGCAAAUAAGGAUACAAAAAAGGAAAAGAAUAAGCCACCUCUACAAAAAUUCUCAUUGGAAAACCUAUACAAAAACCAUCCCUACAAGACCAUGAAACCUCUAUGCACCAAAAUUAAAGUUGAUAUAACAACUUCCAAUACUCUUCCAAUCUAAACGCCGGAGUGGUCUUAUCAAGAGAUCCAUUGGAAAGAGCCUUGAAGAGUUGAAGAAAAAUUUAAAAAGAAACUUAAAGAUAGGAAUGAAAAUGAAAAGACAUUGGUCGAAGAUGGGAAUUCCCUCCCCAGCCAGAAACGGUUGUUGGAUCUGAGUGAUAGAGGAUGAAAAAGAUAGGGACUUUCGUUGGUUGAUUUACUUACCAAUGCGGCUAAGCUUUCGGAAUUGAAGAUUUGGAAUCACGACAAAAAGAAGUUGAGAAUUUGAUAAUUAUGUCGUAAUUUCCCAAUUUCAUAAACUGUUUUUAGCUUUAAUUUAAUUUUAGGAACAAAGUAGAUAAAAGUGUUUAAUUAGUGAUUGAUGGUAAAGUAAUUUUAUAAGUUACGAAUCUAACAUCCACUAGAUGAGUAAUAUAUAGUAUAGAGACUCAAGUGAAGAUUCAAAUAUUGGAAUGUCUAAUAUUAUUGAUUUUAGGAAAAAGCCCUUCAAUAUAGUCAAAAUAAAUAAAUAAAUGUGAAACAUGCAUUACUAUACAAUUUGAACCUGUCGUUCAGUGAAAUAUAUUUGAACCUCGUAUGCUUGGUAGAAUAACUUAAUCGUAUGGGCAAAGUAAUAUAUUUCUUAGUACGAAUGUGCGGAGCACCUAACGAGAAGAGCACACAUUUAAUCACUUGCAAUAUCAUCUCAUGACAUCAUAAAUCAUAUAACAUAUGUACAUUUAAUCAUAUCAUGUUACUAAAUCAUUCAAGCAAACAUCAAUACAUCACAGAAUACAUAAUAGUAAUAAUAGUAAUUUACUCACAGAUCCUGGUUCAUUUGCUAGUUCAUUGGGGCUCCUGUUGAUUCUUAUAUAUUUUGAUUUCUCCUAAAACAUAAGGUUAAAAAAAAAAAAACUAUCAGAACUAAUAUAAAAACUAAUUGUCCAAUUCCAUUUCCAGUAACUUUUCAACUUUGGCUUCCUUUUCCACUCUCAUUUUUCAAUUUCCUCUUGUUUCUUUUCUUUUCUUUUUCUUCCCUUUUCUCUCGGUUUCUCUCUUUCAAUUGUUCUGCCUGGGCUUUUAAUUUUGUGAAACAAUGAGACCUGAUUCAAUUUAUUCACAUUAUAUAUGCUCACCGAAGCCAAGCAAGCAUGAUAAGCACACAAGUAAAGCAUGCAUGUGGUUUAAAUGAAGUAAACAGCUUGCUGUUUCUUUGAUCAUUAGCCAUUUGCGGCCUUGUAAGCAUGCAAGUGCGUUAGAAUUCAACACUAUUUGAAUGAACAUUAAAAGAUUUCUUGAAUUCCUCACGAAGGAUGGUAAUAGACACCACCCGCAACGGGUUUGUCAUCAUCAAACCUACACCUGCAUAAAAUUUAAAUUACCAAACUCACUCAUAACUCGUUGCGGGUUUUGACAAUUACCAAACCCAUAAUGGUACUUGACGGAUUUUUUGCGGGUUUCUACAUUUAAAAUCACAAAUGUUCAAUAUGUAAAUUUAUAAUAAUAGCCUAACAUUUCAAAUAAUAUAUUCAAUUCUAAAUUUAACUAAUGUAAAUGGAAAAUUAAAAUUUCAACAUCAAUCCAAUACAAAUUCUCAAAUUUAAGUAUUAAAUACACAAAUCUAAAAAAAAAGAGCCACAAACUAGUAUCUAAAAAUAACAAUUAUCAUUUUAUAUAAGAGUAAUGAUACAGCCACAAACUUUUGUACAAACUUAUUUUGUACAAACUGAUGUGGCAUGAUAAGAUUGGUUGAAUUAAAUGAGUAAUGAUACAGCCACAAACUCUUGUACAAAUUUAUUUUGUACAAACUGACGUGGCAUUAAUUCAUUAAUCAUUCAACACAAACUUCAACAGAAAAUCUUCAUUUCAUUCAUCACCAUUAGCACCCAUCCAACAAGAUUCCUAUAAUAAUAAUUAAGAUUAAUAUUUUCUAAAGGAUAAUAAUUUUUAAAUACUAAUCCAAAGAACAAAAUUAUAAUAAUGAAAUAAUUCAUGCAUUAAGCUAAAGAAUAAUAGUUCAUACAAAAAUUCAUGCAUUAAGUUAAAGCCUGUUAGGACCUAGGCACUUUGCAACUUACACAAAUAUUUGCACUUUACAUUAUUUAUUUUAUAUAUAUUUUUAUUUAAAUAUUUUUUAAUUAAAAUUAAAUUAAAGGUUUUUAAAAAAAGCUACAUGUUGGCAGAUACCCAUAUGGGUAUCCGCUGGAUAUUUAACUAAUACUAAAUUCACUUAUAACUUAAUACAUAUUUCAAUUUAUAAUACCAAAUAUACCCGCAACCCACAAAAUAACCUGCAGUGGACCGAUUUGGACGGAUUUAUUGAUACCAUUGUCCUCUCUUUUCCUCACCCUCCCCGCCUUGUAGCCUUGUAUAUACAUAAUUACAUAUCAUAGGUCUUUUCAGCCCAGACUUGCUUAAGGUCAGAGACCCUUACGACAAUUGACUUACCACAAGAAGAGAAGAAAGAAAUUAAAGUAGAAUUGACUUGCAACUAAGAGUGUACGAGAAUCGAAGACCUCAUGAGAUUGAAAAUUUACAUCUGUUGACGGCCCAAAUGUAUCAGUUGGGCUACUUUUGUAAAAUCUAAAGCCUGCUUUAGAUAUUGGUAAUGGCCUCCCAAUAAUUUUUGUAAACACCUUCGAUUCAAAAAGAUAAUCACAGAAAAUAUUUUUUUUUUUUAAUUUUCAAGUAAAUAAGAAGUUUGAACUUUGCACAAUCAAUAACUUACUCUUAUUACCUAAUUAAUUUAAAAAAAAUUAAAAUCCCUGCAUAAAAAUAAAAUUAAUCUAAUUUUCUUAGACUUUUAAGAUAAAAGGACCAAAAUUACCAUAAAAUUAUUUUAGCUUCAGCAUUUUUUUUAAUUUUAUCCAAACGUGUAUAUUUCUAAUGAUUAUUAGUUUACAAAUAAACUAACAAAAUGUCUUUACAGCAUAAUUUCUCAUGAAAUUUUUAGGUUGUCGAACUUCUAUCACUAUGGAGAAUUAAAAAUUAUUGGCUUCAUUUUAAAAUAUUUAUAUAGGCCAUACAAUAAAUGCCUAAAUUAUUACAAUAAUUUAGGAUGAAAAUAGUUUUAAAAAAAACACACGUCCUUUUUUUUUGGGGUUGGGGGGGGCUGCUGUAACGUAAUCCGCCUUGGCCGUACAGAAGGAUAUAUCUGUUAAAUUAAGUUUAUUUUAAAAUAAAUUUAGUGGUGAAAUAAAAGAUGGCCAAAACAAAUUGAGUGGUGAAAUUAAUAGGAGAUGGGUUUGGGUAGGCGCCUGUGGGGUGGUUUGGAUUAGUGGCUUUGUCGUUGACUUGUUGGAUUGAAAGAUCCUGAACUGAUCAAGCAAGUGAUACAUGCCACUUAAAAUGUUAUAGCACAGAUAAAGAAUGGAAGAGACAGUGAAAGCUACCAAUUCCCUCACCUUUCUGAGCAGCAGUAUUGUUGUUGAAUCUUUUCACAUUUGUUAGCUACAUCCCUCAUUCAAUCUGUCUGAGGCAACCAUUCUUUCAAAACUAUUUGAGCAUCAUCAAAGCUUUUGAGUGGUUAGAAUCUUAGGCUUCUACUAUUUGAGCAUCAUCACCACCUUGACUAAUAGAACUGUUUUCCUUUUUGUGUUCCACAACUUUUGGCUUUGAUUCUGACUCACAUAGUACCACUCCACUUCAAUAUUUGUUCAAAAUUAGUGUCUGCUUUUCCUAGACGCAUCGUUGUCGAAAGAUAGGGGCAAAAAAAAAAAAGGCUGCACUAAUUUAUAAUCUGUGACCUCUAGUUUGAAGCUUUUUCUCUUUAAACAACUGGGGGAUAUUUCCACUUUCUGGGCUCAUAAUUUUCUGAAGUUUUUCUCCAAGCAAGGUCACUUGUUCCACAUUCAGGUUCACGUAACCUUGGCACCUCAAAGUCAAGUUUCGAAAAUGUUGCAAGAAAUAUUUCUUGGUUCCUGUCCCUAAAUGAUUACAAAUUAUUUGUGUUCUCCCUUAUUUUAAAUGAGUUUAGGGUGCGUUUGAGGUUAAUAGUUGUAACUUAAAAAUUACAGUGUUGAAUUAUUUGGUAGAUACUAACUGUUGUAACUUAAAAAUUAUCUUAAUAUGAUUAUUUAUUUGUAUUAUAAACUAUAUUUUUAAAAAAUACAACACCACAAUUUGAAAGCGUUAAUUUAAUGAGCUUGGUCAGCUGGUCCCUACUAUUCAGUUAAAAACGACCGCCUGCCCUUCGGCCAGUUGACCUAUAAUCAUAAGAGAUGAUAAAGCUUUCAAGGGGCGGCACUCUCUGUGUCAUUAUUGCCUUUAUCAAAGGGAAGGACCAACUAGCAGGAGAGGCCAGGCCACAACCACAAGGCUAAAAAGCCAUACAAAACUACACAAAUUUCUUAACUGGUCCCCAAUUGUUGUCACAUUGCCCCAAAAUCCUGGACAUCCCAUAAUUCUCAUGCCUCUCUCUUUCACUUGGUGAAUGUUUUAUACAUGCUAUAUCUCAACUUCUCAAGUAUGUUGCAUGUUUUGUUACAAUUUUCCAUUACAAGCCCCAAAUUUUCUGUUUUAUAACCCAUAAGUUGAUAAAUCUAAUUGAGGGUAGCCUUAGGCACAUAUGCUUUAUAUAAGUUUCUUCAAGCGAGUAGAGAAAGUAGUACUCAAGAACUCGUUAAUGAUUCUCGAGACAAAUUUAAGACCUCAAAUCAAGUUAUUAAAAUAGGCGUGUGAAAUUUGUUAGAUCAUUGUACAAAUGUUUUGAUAUAGCGAGAUAUCCUAAACUAACUAGAGAAAAUGGUAAGAAAAGACUAAAGAGGAGAAAAUUUGGGGUUUCAAAAGUUUGUCACAACAUAUCAAACGCAACACCAACUUCCAUUUUUGAAAUCUAGUUAGCAACUAUCACAUCAAAUCAAGUACAAAAUAAAUAUGAAACCUUCCUUUGGGCAAUAGAUUAAGCAAUGAAAGGCCAAGUGGGGGCGUGAAAAAUGACUCUUGCCUUAAGCAAGGUCUUUGUCAUACCAGAGUAGUAUACUGAUUAUUUGAGUAACAUUACUAAAACCAUUAAGGUUUGCCUAUUACGGAUGUGCUAUUUUUGUGAUAAUAAAAGAUGAAAAGUUUGGUCUGGGGAUUGUUGACUCAACAUUGAUUGAUCAGUUCUCUCCAUUUUUUUUCCUUGAUCUAAUUUUCCAGGUCAUCAUCUCUCUCUCUCUCUCUCUCCCCACAUUUGCUUUUCUGCAGUAGCACCAAAGCAAACAAAAGUCCAGGCCGCAGAUAAAGUUCAAAAACUCAUUGGCCCCUGCUGCAGCAUGAGCUGUAGCAGUACUCUGGUAACACUCAACCAUGAGUCCAACCAAAAACAAACACGAGUUUGGUAUAAGAAAAAGUGAGUAUAGUCCAUACACCAUAACACCUAGGCCUCAUAAAAAUUGAAUGUUGCUAAAGUGAUGCAAUUGCAUACAGCAUCAAAAUCAAUGACAGUACCUUAAAAAACUGGCAGAGGAAAGAGAGAACUUGAUAACACCAGCAAUAAGCAAUGCAUCGUGCAUGAUGCUGCGCAAAGAAAGCACACUGGAAUCUGGAUAGAGAAUAAAGCUGCUGUCUUUUGGAUUUAAGCUUCUUGUUGUUAGCCAUAAUUCCAGAUACCAAAGUACAAGCUUAAAAAUGCUUAAUGAUCACAUAAUUCAUACCCACCUAAAAAAGCUAAGCUUUUUUGCCUUCUUCGAGCUUCUUUUAACAUCCCCAAAAAAAUAAAAAGAGAGGCCCACUUUUGUCACUUUCUAGUCUCCUUUUAUCUCCCAAGUCAUUAAUUCAUUCAAACCUUACAUAUACCAUUAUACUACACUUGGUAUAUGACCCAAAGCAUCAAAAUGAUAAAAGCAAAAGACCUAAAAUCAAUUUUCCCCCAACUUUUUUCUUCAUCUUUAGAUGUCUGUCUCUCUUUUAUAGAGCGCUAGCGACCUCAGUCUGCAAAGUUGUAGCCUUGAACCCCACUUGCUGCUGUGCUUGUUGUUUGUCAACCUCCCAGCUUGCUUUGGCUAUCACUCCAUCAUGCACAGGCACGUACUCCUAAUCAAAAUUAACCAAGAUAAUUAAACAACUGUUUGAUGAAACAAAAAACAAAAAAAAAGAAAAAAAAAAGAGUGAAACAAGACAUCCCCACCUCAAGUUUUUGAACAAGUUCUUUAGCGUUUGGUGCUGAGACAAUGAUGUUGCGCUGAGAAGGCUUGAUAAAGCCAUCAUCAACGGCUUUGUCAAUGAAAGUGAGAAGAUAGUUAUAAUAACCAUCAACAUUCAAUAAACCCACCUGCUCAUAUCAUUACAAUGAACACAAAAAGUACUCAAGUUAUUUAACCAAAAGAUAGGAUUUUUACAGAUUUGGGUUUGUUUGCAACACAUACAGGCUUGUCAUGGAUACCCAGUUGAGCCCAUGUGAUUACUUCUAACAACUCCUCCAAAGUUCCAUAUCCACCUGAACAAAAGCAUAGAUCAUAACGAGAACAAAAAAGCUCCAAUGUUGUGUCUGAUGAGGGCAAAAAGGGAGAAAUAUGGGACCUGGAAGGGCAAUAAAACAAUCAGAGUGGCGGGCCAUUUCUGCUUUCCUUUGAUGCAUGUCUGCUACCGGCCUCACUUCUCCAACCGUUUCACCAGUUAUCUUUGUUAAACAUCAUCAUAUUAGUUAAAGGGCCAAAAUUUACACCCGAGAAUCAAAUAUUCAAAAAACCGGGAAAAAAAGGAUUUUCCCAAUACCUCUUUGUUCAUCAAAGUUCUUGGAAUGAUCCUAGAGUGAACAUUAGCCCCCCCAGCCCAAAAAAAAAAAAAAAAAUACUCAAGGGUUAGCUGAUGUGAUGAGAUGGAUAAAGAAAAAAAAAAGUCGCAUAACGAUGAAAAAGCAGUUUCUUUCAUGAACGUUUACCCAAUAACAUUUCCUCCACCAUGAUGAACAGCUUUAGAAACCAACCCCAUCAACCCAAUGCUACCACCACCAUAGACAAGAUCCAGCCUCCUAGCAACCUUUGCACAUACCAAAAAAAAUGAAAAGAAAGUACACAAUGUUAGAGAGAAGAAGAAAGUGUUAAGCCUUGAAUAUUGUUUGUGAAUAGGUGACAAGGGUACCAGCUCAUGUGCUAAGUCAAUGGCAGCAUCACUAUAGCAAUUUCUCUUGCCAGUGCUGCUGCCACAAAACACACAAACCCUCUUGAAUCUCGAAUUCUUCUGGAUUUUCCCCUCCAUUUCCAUUGUUUUCAACAAAGAUUUUUGCUUUAGUGGGUUUUGUUUUGUUUUGUAUUCCCACACUACAGAAAGGGGUUUGAGAAAAUCUUUUAACUUUUCUUGUUUCACAAGGAUAAAGCUCAAUGGUACAGGCCACUAUUUAUAGACUCCAAAAAUAUUUUAAUACGCAUAUUCAAAAUAUUGACUUUCUUUUUGUUGAGUUGAAAAAGCUAAUAAAUAUGGAGGAUAAAAGACUUAACAGUGAUGCUUCUUCUUUUUUUCUUUUUUUUUUUUAAGAAAAGCGAUGCUUAGAUAUAAACAACUGUUGUGUUUUAUAAAGAUUUUUCUUAAAUUGUUAUAAAAAUCUUAAAAAGAGAGAAAUGUGGAUAGAGAUGAUGAAGUAAGACAAAAAGGCCAAAGAGGGAGACAAAAUAGGAGCUCCUGCACAAUUAUCCCAUGGCUUACACGUGUCUUAACAUGUUGCCAGAAUCAAGGAGUUUCAUUUAAUGACAAUAAUACUAGGCCUCGUAUACUGUUAGAAAAUACACGACAUAAGAGAUCCAGAAUCUGAAAUACGUAUUAUAGCUGAUUAGCUGGAACUAUACAAAAUCAUAAAAAUAACAGCUAAAACAGAAAUAACAACAAAGAAAUAUUAAGAUAAAUGAUGUGUUUGAAAUUGAGAUGUUGUAGUUUAAAAAGUAUAGUUAUUGUAGAAAAAAAAGUAUAAUUAUAAAAUAAAAAUUAAUAAUAUAUAAUAAAUAUAAAUUUUAAAUAAUAAUUUUAAUAAAAUUAUUAAAGAUAUAAUAGAUUUUUCAUUAUAUAAAUAAAAAAUCAUAUCAACAUAUUCUUCAAGCUACAGCAGCUAGUGUUUAUUAAAAAUUUUAGUGCUGCUGUCCAACCUCAAUCCCAAACGCACCCAAAAUACAAUAAAAGAAUGAAAAUUAUUUUUAACAUACUAAUAUCUCCUACCUUUCGGCUUUAAGAUUGUGUAAGGUUUAUUUUUUUAAAAAAUGUCAGUGUAAAAUAAUUUUAACGUACCAUCUAAUUAGUUUUAGUGAACUUCAAUUUUUUUUUUAACUCUAUCAAAUCAACUUAACAUUAAGAAAGAGCGUUUGCCACAACAAUUUACAUGUGUUUUGGGUUGUAUCUUGUUUUAAAUCUUUAAAUGAAGAGAAAUAUACCAAUUCAUAGCCAUUUGUGUGAGGCAAUGUUUACAAGGCAUGUAAAAGCUUUCGUAUAUGCUGUACGCGAAGUUGUUAUUAAUCGUGGAGAUGUUUCCAUUAUAAGAUCAAACUGUUAUAGAGGACUCGACUAGCUUAUAGAAUCAUCAUGAAUAUGGAUUCAAUUUAUUAUUAAUUUUUUAAUUAUCGUCCUAAAUCGCGUCAUCCAUCUGGCUGGAUGCUAUAAACCAGAUUCCUCGUUGCGGAAUGACGUGGCUCCAGUCCCAUUAUGAAUUUAUUUUUUCCUUAAAAUAUAAUAGGGGAUGAAAGUAUCUAUCAAGGAUACACAAGUCUAGGUUGCUUUCUAGUUAUUAAAAAACCAUUAUUAUUGCGAAAGCUUAUAAGAAAGCUGAGGUAAAAAGUUUUCACGAACUUUUUUUUAUAUUAAUAACAUUGAAUUUUAUAAUUGCAAUUAUUUAAACAAAAAACGCAAUCAUUGGUGGCUAAGUACACAUGCAAUGCCUUUUUGGUUCAAAUCAACACUAAAAUUAGUAGAAAUAGAUAAUAUAUAUACUGAUGCUUUGUCAUAUAGGCUGAAAAGUGCUAUGCUUAGCCUAACUUUGAGUGUGGAUUAUUUAUGUAUAUGGCAUGCGUGCGGAUUAAUUGAAUUGGGGCUGUGCAUGUUUGAUAUAUGAUUGGUCUUAGCGAUUCCAAUGAGCUCUUAAUCAUGACACGGCUUGUCUCGGCGGCAUGUGUAGGAUAUUAGCGUAUAGCCAUUUCUUUAUCACUCCCAAAGACGACCCAAAAAGCCUAUUUUAUCUACUUCGGCUACACCUGUAUUUUGUCCACACAACAAAGCAAUGCUCUCUUGCAAGUAAUCUCUUUGUUUGCAAGAAAAUCAUGAGAAAAAUACACCGUCUUGAAUUAGCAAAAGCAACUUAAAGUAUUUAUAGAUAGUGAACAUUAGUUAGUUUGAUUUCCAGCUAAUUUAAUCCUGUUACAAGUGCCACCCACGCCAAAGAGGUCCGAUGAUGAAGCAAUGUUCUUGAUUAGAGUUUAAGAUCCCUUUUUUCUAAUUUAUUUAAAAUCAUCCUAGGGUAGGAGUUCGACAGAAUUCCCUUACCAAUAAAUUAUUUAAAAAAAAUACAUAUGGAAAGGAAUAUAAACCAAAACCUUCAAGCAGAAGAACAACACAACUAACAAAUAGAAAAAAUAACAAAAACAUUAUGAGAACAAAUAAGAAGUUAAAAAUAAUUAAUUAAUGCAAACGCUUAGAGAACCACCUAUGAUACUUGUGACCAGUAACUAAUGGGAAACCUUUCUUCAAACUAGAGGAAUGCGGGCCAACAACACAUAAGUCGGGGUCAAGAUCAUGCCCUCCAAAACCCUACGCAAAAUAAUCAUCAUCCACAUGAUUCCCAUACGAGCUAAGCUCCUCAUCCGAUUGAAAAUAGAUAUUUGUAUAAUGGAAUUAAAACUCAUGGCCAUGGAUCGAAUAUCCUUCAUUAUAGCUCGAAAAAAAGUAGUACCAAUGGAAGCCCUCUGAAUACGUAGAUCAUCCUAAAUAGAAGAAUGAGGGUUAACUACCUCAGCACAUCCAUCUUUAUCUCUCAAAGCAAUAGGAUCCGUCAAACCAUCAUUAUCUGAGCUAUCUGCUCAGGAAUAAGAUCAAACCCAUCCUUUAAAGUGUCCUAAGAAACAUGUGGUCGAGCAUCUGCACCCUUAUUACCAUUAGGCCUCAAAGGCCAAACCUUCUCACAAUUUGUCCUUAGGUGCAUAGCAACAUUAAGCAUAGAUGUCUUGCCUUUAUCAAGAGCAACAAAUAUCUUGCACCUGGCCAAUAGGCUGUUGGGACUUCCAGAGCCUGGGAUUGAAAACAAAACAAGUAUCAGCAAAGUGCUCAAGAUGCUUACAUGAAGCACAAUAUGAAGGAACACACUUAAAAAUGGCAUCCUACCAAAAACCAUCAUUAUCCCUUGCUAAGCAACAACGGCCGCAAAACAUCAUACUCAAUCAGAACUCUAGCGAUUGAGGGCCUAUUAAUAGCAGCAGUAGCAUGGUCAACCCGUGGGAGGCUUUCCAAUAGCAUUAGCAAUAGAAAAUAAGACAUUUUUGUAACAAAUAAAAUGUAUUGGCAAAUAAGGCGAAGAAAUCUAGACAGAAACAACAUGAGAUUCUUUAGAGAUUGAAAAAAAGUAGUAGAGUUUAAGGUCUUUUUUUAUAUUGAAAUACUGUAAUUUUUAAACUAUAAAAACAGUAGGACAAAAAUUUUAAUAAAUAAAAGUUAAUAGCAUGUAGUAUAUAUGAUUUUUAAAUAAUAAUUUCAAUAAAAAUAGUAAUUAUAUAAAAUUUUCAUUAUAUAAAUGGUAGAUCAAAGUCACAUGGUUUCUAAGUUACAAUAGAUAAUAUUUACAAAAAAUUUUAGUGUUAAGCUAUAAUUAUAUAACUUCAAUACUAAAUAAGACUUUAAAUCUUGUGGGAUUCGUUCAUCUCUUAAGAAUAUCUAAACUAUGAAGUAAAUUUCAUUUUAUUAAACAACGUAGAUAUUUUUAACUCUUCUCUAUAUAUUUUAUGGAUUAAACUCAAUUUUUGAGCUAUGCUCAGCAAAUGAGCUCAUCCAUGUCUAUGCCGAGCCAUAGUUGAUUGUAUUUUAGACUCCAAAUAAUUGUAAGAUCAUUUGGAAGGGGGGGGAAGAAUACAAAAACAAAAAUCCAGAUGAGAGAGUUGAAUCCAGUCGCCAUGCAUUGUUCAUCAAAUUGCCUUUUCACGCGGAGUUGGUGGAAGCAAAGCAACAAUUUUGCCUUUAAUCAGACACUUGUCAAAAGCAAUAAGGUUUUCAAGCUGAAGUUUUACCAAUUCUACUUGAGUUUAUCCCAUCAUCUGAAUUCUUUUUGUUAUCCCAAGAAAGGAAGUGGCAUAUUAUUAUUAUUAUUAUUAAUUUGGUUUUAUUAUGAAGCUUGAGCUUUGCCCAAAGCCAGCCACACGAGCCAAACGGGUGCGUGAGAAACAUUCUCCAUUGACGGAUGAAAGAUGAAACGUUCAUUCAUUCCCUGCCCAUCCCUCACAGGAAUAAAUGUCAAGUCAUCAAUCAGGUCUUUUCACCGAUUUGUCCCAGCCAUUCAAACAACCAACCAUGCCGCUGCCUAUGCUCUUAAAGAAAGCGCCUACACCCAUUUGCCCAUUUGCAUUCACACAAGAGCACAGAUGAAAAUCAUCAUCAAUUCAAUGGAUCCUCCUGGAACAGUUGGAUGAGCCAUUAUCAUCGUGACACAAUUACAAUAGUCCUUUAUUUCGAUUCAAUUAAGAACACUUGUAUAAAUCGACAAAUUAAGUUGAAUCAAUUACUUACUUCAGUUCGACUCAUUAAUCAAGACUAAUACUUUAAAAUCUUUUUUUUUUAAUUCAAUCAAAAUUUCCUAGUUUAGGACUUCAUAAAAAAAAAAAUCCACCGAUUACUUCAAUCGUAAUUGAUGCGUUGUCAGCUCCCCUAAAUAAUCACUCACUCAAAGAUUAACUUAAAACCACACGAAAACUAAUAAUGCUUUUUGCCGAACAAGAUACAUUCAGUUAUUGGAGAAUGUGAUGUGACGUUCCUCUGUGGUGCCAGGUGGAUUCAUUUUCUUUGUCUUGAAGAUCAUUAAAUCAUUGACACUUACAAUUGGACAUCGGCUUGGAUGGAGGCUAUGCAAUUUAAAGCGAGGGGGCUACUGCACGUUCACAUCUCAUUUAAUGCUGGAACUGAUCCUACUACAGCUGCAGUGCUUUUCUUUCGAACAUGCCUCAGCAUCAAUGACCCCACCAAUUCCCAGAAUAUGCAAAAAGCUUGAUUUGUUGAUCCCGGGAUCCUCUUCCAUCGGUAAUUACUUAAAGAAGGGUACGCUUAUGCUUAUGCUUGCUUGGUGUCUUUUUUUUUUUUUUUUUUUGGUGUUUUGUGUUUUAAUGAUUUGUACAUUAUUUAUACAUCUUGAAUUUGAGCUCACGAAGCUCAAUUUUAAAGUAAAAUUUCACGGCCGUUGAAUGCAUUUUGCUAAAUUCAAGUAAUAUUGAUUUUUUUUUUUUUUUGUGUGUUUAAUUAGGAAAGUUUCUCAACCAUUUUUCUUUUGAGAGAAAAUUUUCCUUCGCCAUUACAAGUGAGCGAAAUUGAAAAGGCUGCAAAGAGAGGGUUCUUAAUUAAUUAAUGUUGGUAACUAUACAUCUUGCUUUCUAUUCUAAUUUCUAACUGUUGCUUCAAUUACAGAUUAUAUAUAUUAUUAAUUUUCUUCUGAAAGAUAUAUAUAUAUACUAUAAAUAAAUAAAGAGAAAAUUAAUUAAUUAAUUAAAGAAGGCAAGAGAUGUAACUGAUGAAAUGUGAAAAUGUUGGCAGUUGCAAUGAUUAUGCCGCGCCGUCUAUCGAUCUCAUCCAUUUAAUUGGCAUCUGCUUGAGCUGUUCCGUUGUUGAAUUUAAUUUAAUUUAAUUUAAUUUAUGGCGCUACUGAACUUUCAGGCUUCGCCUCUAAAAAAAAAGAAAGGAUCAGACAACGUAGUAAAACACGGGGACCUCUCUAGCGUAAUUUACCUAAAAUGUUAAUAUUAUUAUUAUAGAUUAAAAAACUAUAAGUUAUUAUUAUUGUACAAGGCAGCCCUUUUGCAGAAUCACGGCGAUGGAUGAUGCAGGAAAGAAUGUUUGGUUAGGCAAAGGCUCGCUCACCAGUCGUUGUUCAACACCCGGUUCACUCAUAUAUACUUACCCUACUCCUAUUAUAUAUACUACUACUACUACUACUACAUCGCCUUUGCUAUCUUUUAGGGAUUUGGUCUGCUCUGGCGUCUGUGUAAAAAGUUGAUUUGAAAACCUUUCAAUCAUAUAAAAAGCAUAUGGAUAUUGAGACACCGUUUCUCAUUAAUUAUACUUUCGUUGCCGGUGCAGCAAUAGGGAUAUGAUAAAAGAGAGGGUGGAGUGUGGGUUUUGGGAUUAGGGUUGGGUAAUUGUACCGUAAAAAAUAUAGUAGUAAAAUAUUUAAUAAAUAUUAAUUAUUAUAAUUUAAAAUUAUGUUGAUAUGAUUUUUUAUUUGUAUAAUAAAAAUUUAUUAUAUCUUUAAUAUUUUUAUUAAAAUUAUUAUUUAAAAUUUAUAUUUAUUAUAUAUUAUUAAUUUUUAUUUUAUAAUUACAUAUAUUUUUUCACGACAAUUAUACAGCACCUUAAUUUCAAACACACUCUUAGAUUCAUGCUUUUAUGAGCCUAUGGGCUCAUAACCCAUUAGCAAUACAAACACUUAAGGAUUUGAGUUUUAGUUAUUGAUGGGAUUCGAUUGGCGAUAUUCAUACUACUUAUUUCUUAUAAUUGUUGUAGGCUAUGUCUAUGAUUAUAUUGGUCCUCACAGUAACAUUUUAUUCUAAUACUAAUGUGACAUGCAAUUAUCUCGAAUUCGAUCUCUCUUUCUCAACUUACGCUUGUGACUUGUGAGAAGUGAGUAGUGGCUUAGUGUGGUCAAUAUUCUCCACGUAAACAAACACAAAUUAUUGCAUGCUAAAAGAUACAACUUGAAAAGAAACCUAACUUUGAAGUGGGUUUAUGUAUUAUUAUAAAGAUCUUUUUAUCCAAUUGCAUUUUAUAUAUGUGCUUUCAUUCGUUCAAAAGGUGUUAGAUUAUAUCUAUUCAUGGAAUUGUGGAAAAAGUGAAGGAGUGUGUAAAUAAUAUUUUGGAUCUUCAAGUUGUGUGUGGUAUGCUCCGGAUCAUUGAAUAAUCAAUAGAUUCACCUGAAAAAGAAAACUUUGAAUGAUCAAACUAGAUAUCGAAGGUACUUAGGUGGAAGCCUUUUAAUUUCUUAAUUUGUGAUUUAAAUAUUCAUAAUGGGGCAUCUUUUGGAUUGAAAGCAUGAGUGUCCCUUUGUAUUAAUUGGCGUGUUAAUCAUGGUGAAGUCCACGUAUAUGUGAUUGAUUAUCUUCUAGAUUUUGAAUGUGUAACUAAAAAUGAAUAUAUAUAUUCUUCUCUUUCACUUUAAUCGUAGAAUAUUUUGAAAUUGUUAAUGGUAUCAAAUGGAAGCUCGUGUGAAUAAUGAAAAGCAAAAUAUUAUAAAAGAGUAACUAAGCGAUUCUGCCUACCAAUAUUUACAUAAUACAUAUUCAGUUUGUCACUCAUCCACUAAGCUUCCCAUUAAAAAAUAAAAUAGGAGUUAGCUUGUUGACUUGCGAAUCAGUACCUAUAAACUUUGACUGAGUCUGAGAUUCGACAUGUAUCCGUCUUAGCUCUAGCUACCAGCCUAAUUAUAAGUAGGAGAUGAGAAAAUAUUCCCAAUUGAUUAAUACUUAUAUAUGUUCUUAAUUGUUAACUCAGAGGCUGCUAGUUGAAGCUUUGAUUUGAAAUUUGGAAUCAGAAUGUGGCCAUAUGCAGAGUUUCUUGUGUCUUUUUCACUGAAUAUUAUAACCAUGUUUUAGGUAUGUAUCAAUAUCUAUUGUUGCACAACAUGAAAGCCAAUCCGCAACAGUGAUAGUUUGAAACUUCAUCAGAGCCCGCAAAAAUGACUCGAUCAACUCUUCACUUCGCGGCUGAGGUUAUACAUUUGUAUCUUGAAAGAUAUAACUUAAAAAUUAAGUUGAUUUGAUUUUUAUACUUAUAUAAUAAAAAAAUUAUUAUAUAUUUACUAUUUUUUUUAAAUUAUUAUUUAACUGCUGUACCGUACAUCCGCCUUGGCCGUACAGCAGUAAUUAGAUUUAAUCUGAUUAUUUUUUGUCAUUUUUAAGGUAAAAUUGUAAUUUUCGUUUUGGGGGUAAAAUAGUCAUUUUUUUAAGUUUCCGUUAGUUUUCUUAACGGAUUUCAAACGGAAGUGAAAAAGUGAAACAAAAUGUAACUUUAGGUGGAUUCCAGCCAAAAAAUGAAGGAAUUGUGUAUUUUUAAAAAAUGUGUAAAAAACGGGUGAACGGUAGAUAUUUUUCCUUAAAUAUAAGGGUAAUAUUAUCUGGGUCCCUGAUCUUUUAUAGUUUCUCAAUAUUUUAUAAUAACUACAAAAAAAUAUAACUUAAAAAAAAGACAGUACUUUAAUAUCAAACAGGUCCAUGUCAAAAUUCCACACUUUUAGGCAUGCACUGAUCAGCAUCAGCUUUCAAUUUUGAUGGUGCAUUUGCAUUUCUGAUAUGUCCCUUCUACUGUUGAAAACUUUUGGUGGGUACCUUUCAAAUGGUAGUCGCAUUGUUGUUAAAUUCUGUUCACUUGAAAUGUCAACUGCCAUAAGAUUGAUGUACCUAAAGAUACAAAACCACCUUACAGCAUUAUUAAGUUGAAUUUUUUGUAAUUGGUCACAAAUUUUCAUUACAUUUAACAACUUGUGCCUUAACGUGCGAUGUGUGAUGCAAAAAAAAUUGAGAAUUAAGACAGAAACUUUGUGUUGAAUAGUGAAAAACUUGUGACGUUUAUAAAUAAAUUGUUGCAAGAUAGACGGACCCCAAAAUAAAGUCACUCCCUAAUCCAAAUAAAUAAUGCUAAGGAUUCUAAUUGAUGGUGUCAAACGAAUGGGUUAGGAUUGAAUCAGGUUUGUUUGACUUGGGUUUGAUAAAGCCCACAAGAAACAAAUUGAGCCCAUUAUAAUUGAGAUAAGGAACUAUGACGAGAGUUUUAUUUAUUUUUUUAAUUAAAAAGCCCAUGUGAAGCAAUAAUUAAUGCUACGAUGACAACAACAAAUGAAAGAAUUUGUUCAAAUGAGUUGAGCUUUUAACACCCCUCUAACCUCUUUGUGACACCCCUACUGAACUUUAAUUCCUAAAAUAUUUUCAGUUUAAUUUAUAAUUAAAAUUAAACAUCGUCCCAUGAAUUUUUUUAGUUAAAAAUAUAUAUUUUUAAAUUCAUUUUAUAAAAUAUAUACAAAACCUAUAAUUUCAUAUUAUUUUCAUCUUAUUAUAUGGUUUCUAUUUUCUAAACUCUAAACUGUCAUAACUUUAUCAAUUUUUUUAUAUUACAAUUAAAUACAAAUAUGAAUUAUGAAAUGGGGUCGGUAUAAAUUUAUUUUAGUUAAGUUUUUGUCUGAAAAUAAGAAUGAAUUAAUUUGUAUUUAGUUAUUUAGGUAAUUUCAAUUGAAGGAGAGUUUUAUAAGGAACUUUUGAGGGGUGUCAAAAGCCUACUCUACUCAAAUUGGUGUGUUUUUGUUUAGGGAGUGUAGUCAGAAUGCAGUACUGUGCUUGUAGCAGACUCUUUGAAUUGGGUUACUUGAUCCAUACGAAGGCCUUGUAGCAAAAAAAUUAAAUCUCUCUGCUCAGCCCAAAAUAAUCCCAACAAGAACCUUUGAUUUUGGGACACUUCAGUAACGGAAUCCUUAAGCCUAAUGUAAAGCGAAUUAUGUUGCUCCCAUUAACAAACGAGAGUGAGAAAGAGAGACACAGAAAUUCUGAACAAUAGGGCAUUUUAUUACUUUAGCAGCAAAAGAACAAUGUUACAUUAAAAAAGUUGAGGGGGAGAAAAAAAGAAAAAAAAAAUCUAGUAUAGACCUUUCCAAUCUAUAUGUCUUCACUUUCUAAUCCUCUAAAUUAUUUGAUUAUACUGAUUGUAUGUGAAAGAAAUCAAAUCAAAAUUUAUGUGUAUUCACAUAAAUAAGUAGUGGUGGCAAUCAAACUCUUAUCUCUUUCAUUUCCAGCUUCCAUCACCACAUUCAGAUUCGGAGCAUCCCUCUUUGGCAAUAUCAGUGAUCUGAACUCCAGAGUUGUAAAUCAUUCCAGGUUUCCAAUCAGCUGGAAGAACAUUUUUUGCCCAAAUCCACUUGCCAUCAUAGCCUGAUGUUACCACAAAUCUGAACUGCAAUGCCCCAUUUGGCACUCUACUUGUAUCCCAAACUGCCCCAUAAUUUCUGCUCAUGUAACCCCAGUUUGAAGAACCAACCUGCAAAAUUUGCAACAGCAAUCAUAAUCAUCAUCGGUUUUUGAACUACUUUUGCGCCAGGCUUUUGGGGCCGUGUAAACUAAAUGAUGUGCACUUAUCAUGUGUGUUCAUUUUUUUUUUAAAAAAAACCAACCUGAGCUACAUCCAUUGCUACCAUUUCUGUUUGACCACCCUGAUACAACACUUUAACUGCUAAAUAAUUUGGUUUUUGACUUGAUUCUUCCACACGCACAGCCAAGUUCUGGUUUUUAUAUUCACAUGGAACCCUGAAACAUCAACCCAGAAGAGCAAAUGCAUUUAUUAGUAUGAUUAGUCUACGAUAAGAUACAAAUUGGGACCGUUAUAAGCAAUUAAUGUGUGCCUGAUAUUUUGUCCCGGGGUAGGGAUAGAGGCAAAUCAUGUGGGGCAAUAUAUAUAUAAUUAUGUUGCUAUUACAUUUUUUCUUUUUAUAUGUGGCGUGUGUGACAAAACUGUGAUUAAAAUAAUAAUAAUAAUAAUAAAUAAGCUAUGCUGCAUUAACAAUUAAUAUAGAGAAGUUGAGAAUAUUUGCUUGCCUUUUGUAUUCUACAUCGACAACUCCAAGUUUUAAAAUGUCUUGGCCCUUGCCCUGGUUGGAUAAGGCCAUGAAAGCUCUGCUGCUGAUAACAAAAUCUGUUUGGUUGCUGUGAUUGAGAUCAGUCAGAAUCACUCUGGUUCCUCUGCCGCUACACAGAGUUGGGUUCUUGCAUCUCAUCUGAUCAAAACAAAUGUUGGUACCCAAAUUAAGUUCGAAAAACCAAUUUUGAUAACACAAUCAAUAACAAAAGAAUGAAAAAUGAAAUUGAAAGCUAAUAAUACAUACUUGAAAGCAUGCACCACAACCAGCUCCAUCUUUGUAAAGGGAAGGAACACCAGCAGCAAGGUGUCCACCAUUGAAGCUUAAUGCUAAUGAACCAUAUCCACAUGCCCCGGCUGCAUCAAUUUACCAAAAAAAGAUAUUACCCAUUUAAAUUCUUACAAAAAUACCAUCUGGGUCAAUGCCAAAUUUGAUUUUAAUAAAGUACGAAAGAGUGAUCAUAGUUAGUGCUUACAUGAAAGUGCAGAGGCUUGGGAGAAAUAAGCAACCUUGGUUUGGUGCACACAGCGAUCACAAGCAGUAGCAGAAGAGAAGAGAAAGAAGAGAAAGCAAAGAAACAAAACCAUUGUUUAAUGGGAAAGAUAGGAUACAAAUGCAAAAAUUUGACAAGAAAUCAAUAGAAAGGCUUGAGCUAUAUAUAGAAUUUUUGAAGCGUUUAGAAUGGACUACAGGUCAGCAUUUCCCAAGAAGCCUUUGAUGAUUUUUUUUUUUUUUAAUACAAAUCUUUAGAAUUGUUUAUUCUGCUCUGAGAAGAGAGAUGUGUAUUUGCGGAAACGCGGAGGGACAGAGAGAGAAAAAUAGUGGGGCCUGUCACCGACUCUUUGCCUGUACACCAACAGCUGUGCUCCGUGUGACAACACCACACUUGGUCUUACUGCCUCUUUUGGUAACUUCGUAUCUCCAUUUGAGUAAAUCUGUGUGUGCAUUGGAACUCUUACAUCAUAGAAUUAGUAACCCAUGAACUGAUAAAAUCGAAUGUCACUCAGGUGUCUGUGGGUUCGGAAUCAUCCAAUAUCUAUAGGCACGUAUAGCCAUUACAGUGUUAGAAAAAUUUGUAAUGUAAACCAAUUUAUGAUUACUAAUUAGUUUAAUUAACAAAUCUUGUAAUGUCAGAGUUUAGUCGGCCUCAUAAAUAAGGUUUUUUUUUUUAAUUUUAGUGGAAUGUUUAAUUUAUAGAGGGGGUUGGAGGAUCAAAUAAGAAAUUAAGAUGAUCAUACCUACUUAACAGAAAAUAAUUGACAUUUUGUGGAGUUCAUUAAAGGUGCUUACGUGUAUGGUCCCAAUAACAAAAAGGUUAAAAACCAAAGAGAUGAGCUCGGUGUGGAAAUUAAUGAUGAUUGCUUGUUAAUGAGUGGGAAGAUAAGAACAAAUUCUACACAGUUAACUCCACUUGCCGAGCAAAACAAGAAAGAAUUUCCAAAAAUUUUAACGGCAAGCCAUUCUUUCCUUCGCAGGAUUUGUUAAUUAAUUGAUCAAAUUUAAUGUUUUUUUAUCCAUUUCCUUGUGGAGUUGUUAGGAGGAAUCAAAUUAAAUUUUUUUAAAGUUAGGAGAAUAAAGUAAUGGUUCUUUUUUAAUUUAAUAUCUAUCGAAUGACCUUUUAAUAUUUCUUUGGCCAGUGUUAUGUUACGUUUAACGUAACAUACACACUCAUAGCAACAAUACUAAUGGUGGAUCCGUUACUGUUGCUGUGAGUGUGUGUACGUUACGUUAAACCUAACAUAAGGUGAUCCUAUUUCUUUUAGUCUACAAGUCAAAGCAUGCAUUUGGGUCAUUGUCAAUCUGUUGCCUUGGUGGAAGCCACUUUGCAUACACUUCGUGCAUUUGAAGCUAUUGCAUCCAGCUACCUUGACAUGGUGGGUGCACCUUUUGGGUCCAUCCCUGCCGAGCCUUGGUCCUAGGUUAACACCGCCAAUCAUGAAUUUUAGCAAAUGGAGCUUGGGACACGUUCAUAUUGGCCAUUAGUCUGGCUUCCCAUAAGUCAAGGGUUGAGAAUUCUCAGACACCAACGUUACACGUUUUAGAACACGGAUCAGUGGGAUUGUGUUGUUUAAUUGUAUUUUUAAUAUUAUAUCAUAAUUAGACAGUUUUGCUUGGUGCCUCAAAAAAUCGUAUUCUCAAAAUAUGAGAACGUCAACAUUGAAGCAAGACUGUAUAUAUGGCACAUAUGUUUAUGAAGCUCGAGUUGGAUCAACGACAUCUAUGUGCUAUUAACUCAUAAAUUAAUUUGACGUUUAAUAUUACUAAUUUGACAUUUAUGUUAUAAUUUGAAACUUCUAUUUGAUAAAUAUAACGUUUGAUAAUAUCAAUUUGAAGUCAAGCAAAUCUCUUGCAAAAGAUAGCAUGCACACAGCAAAAUAAAAAACCCGCGUGUAGGGAAAUCGGACCAGGCUGCAUGGAGAAUGAGAAAGAAUUUUAUAAUUUAUGACUGUAGUAUCAUUAAAAAAUUUAUAUUAUUACUUAAUUUUUCCAUUUUACACAAGUUCGCUGUCUAAUGUCAAUACAUAAUCCCACUAAGUCUCCGCACCCGAAACAUUCAAAUACAAAUAUAUUGUAGUUUCAAAGCAAUAAUGCUUGAUAAUGAUGAUGGGACAACUAAAAUUUUGUACAUACGUAACGCAUGGUUAUGCUGUCAUAUCAUUACAAUGUUUCAAAGCUUAAGCUUGCCCGUGUAGCAGAGUGGAGUGACCAGGAAAAUCAUUAAUCAUCCACCAUGAUAUGCAAUUAUGCACUGAUUUGUGAGCAAAUAAGAGAUCUUGAACGUGGAAGAUAAAACAAUUUGAUAAAUCAAAUCCCGUGAGAGGCCAUAAUUGCCCCCGUUGAAGAGCACCUUAUGCCGGGCGACCAAUGUUCUUGAUUGGUUGCAUCUUUUACAAAAUCUCCCUCUGAUUUUGGAAAACAGCAAAUCGUGAGCUUGCAGCUAUCAAGCAAGCCCCAUGAACUGAUGUCAUAUAUGAGAUCACGGGCUAUUGGGCUUUUAUGGCCUUUUUCAAUUGAGGUCCGUAGUUUAUUCCAAAAAUCUUCCGAGGCCUUUUCAGAGGAGAUGUGGAGCACACAGUGCACACUACUCAACCUAACAUCUAUAACUAUAAGUGAGAGUAACUUAAUGUAAAUUCAUAAUUGUCCCAAAUCUUAGCUUUUAUAUCAGUAACACACACGUGAAACAAAAAAAAUUUAAGAAAAUAGAGUAAACUAAAAUUAGGAGAUGAUCCUCAUUCAAUUUAAUUCAGUUUCCUAGAAAUCUACCAAAAACCGACCACCCAGCAUAGGAGUCACAAGUGAAAAUAUUGAAGGGUGGAAGUGGAAGAGUGUUCAGGCAAUUAAGUUGAGAAAGAAAUCAUGGUACUAGGCUACUAGCUGGAGUUUAGCAGAGUUUUAGAGAAGACUGAACAAACACUUGAAAACUAAUUAAAUUUCUUCAUAUCCAAAUGCGUUUGGUUUUCUUUAUUAGAUGAAGAAGAUGUCAUCUCUUGUAGAUCAUAUCAUCAUCAUAGUGAUAAAAAUGGCAAUAAAAUAUCGAGAUUCUUUGGCUUGUCAGAUGGCGUUUUCUAUAUUUCAAGAUCGGCUGUGUACGAGUUGUGGAUCUUUUUAAAGGGUUGGCUUGUGAUUGCGGUUCAGGGUCGUUUUUGUUUGAUCAGAAAUUAUUUAUUUUGAUUAUCCAAUUUCAGAAUACAGAUGCAGAUUUUUCGGUGUUCAUUAAAAAAAAAAGAAAAGAAAGGUUGAAUGAUCAUCAAUAUCAUCUACAAAUUGCAUGGUUGCAUCUACAAUGUACAAAGAGAAUAGUUAUGAGAGUAGUUUUGAACUUUCUUUGACAGGAAAUUAAAAUUAACUAGUUUCAAUUUGAAAAGAUGUCAAAGAAUACUACCGGAAGCUUUAUUUCCCUUUUUCCUUUUUCAGUGGGACAUAUGAAGAGUUCGAUUAAUCAGUUAUUAAGUAGAACUUGAAAACUCUUAAUUUAAUUGUACAUAUAAUUCCUAAUACUAACAGAAAACCGACUUUUAAUAUAGCUAAUAUAUAAAAACAUUUAGCUGCCCUUGUCUUCGUUAUAAGUCUACAGAAGAAGAUGUUUGAUUUUGUUUAUUAUAAGAUAAAAAUGAUGUCAUUGGCGCUGCGUUAUUCAGAUUUUAUGGAGACGAUAUUGCGGCGGCACAAAAGUCAUAAUAUUGAGGAAGCGAGAAAUUGGGAGCAACUUCCAUCAGAAUUAGUGGUCAAAAUUGUACAAAAAUUGGAUUUAGCAGAUUCUAUUCGUCUGAGUGUUGUUUGCAAACACUGGAGAUUAAUUGUGAAAGAAAAUAAACAGCGGAAUGCGCAGGUGCCAUGGUUGAUGCUUCCUCGCGAUCGCCAUGACACUAGCAAUUGCAGUAAUUUCUUGAGAUUCGUAGACAUGUCUGAUGGUGUGUUCUAUAAUAUCAAGCUUCCACCUAACAUAGUGCCAGGUGGUGGGUGGUGUUGUUGUGGAUCCUCCAAGGGUUGGCUUGCCAUUAUAAGUAUGGUUGAGAAGGGUCGUCCUAAAUCUAAAUCCAAAUCUAAAUUCGAUCCGAAAUUAUUUCUUUUUAAUCCAAUUUCAGGAAUACAAGUACCACUCCCUUCCAUAGCCACUAUUCCAUCGUUUGCAACUUUUUUGGAUAAUCUCGAAUUUGGAUAUGAUCAUAACAAUGUCACCGAGUUGGCCAACUUCAUUAAAAGAGUUGAAUUAUUACCAUCAUCAUCAUCAGCAGUUGAUGUAGAUGCUAGAAAUUGCAUAGUUGCAGCAGCUACUACAACUGCAUUGUAUAUAGACGAUGAAUUGGAAUUGGCACUGUGCAAGCCAGGAGACACGAAAUGGACCAUCUUUGAUAAAGAAACAGAAGAAGAAGACGAUGAUAAAUUCAUCUCCGACAUUUUAUUCUAUAAUGGAGAAUUGCAUGUCUUGGUGCUUUGCAAACACGAGGUAAUUUCCUUUGAAAUACAUACUAAAUAUAUCAAGGUAGGAGAUCAUGAUCAUCAAGUGAUUCUCAGAUUUAUCCCCAACAACUGGAUGAGCUUAUUACCGACUAUAGAUACGAUUUGGGUUCCAGAGGAUGAAUCUGAACACUUAGCCUGGAUUCUUCCAUAUUUGGUAGAAUCAUCGCAGGGUGAAUUGUUGAUUGUUCAUAAAAUAAUGGACACCGUGUUCAGCGAUGGUGAAGAUGAAGAAGCAGCUGAAGGUGAAGGUGUAAUGAUAUACGAAAAAUUAAUUAGAUUUGAAGUAUUCAAGAUUGAUCCGAUUAGCAGCGAUACAAUGGGGUUGACCAAAUUAAAUAGCUUGGAUAACCAAACAUUAUGUGUGUCAAAACCAAGUACUCCACUAUCUGUUCCUGUUGCACCAGGAGAUGAUGACAUCGGGAUAUUGAAAAAGAAUUGUAUCUACUUCGUGGAUGAUUCAAAUUAUGUUCCAAAUCCGUCUCGCGAAUCAGGCAUGUUUCAACUUGAAGAUGGAAGGAUUCAACGGUUUAUUCCUACCAGGAUUCCAAUUCAUUAUCCUACCAAUUGCAUGACAUGGUUCUCUCCCAAUUUAAAGAUAGCAAGUAUGAGAGAUUAAUCUUUUUUCUUUACUCACUAUUACUGUUUCCUCCCACCAUCUGUUAGACUUAUUAUUAUUUUGUACCCUAAAAAUAUACAAUAAAUAAUAAUUUAUCAAUUUCAUAAAAUUUAUUUAUUUAUUAUUUAUUUGAGCAUAAAUUGUUAGCUAACCUUUAUUUAUAAAGUAUGUGAUUAAUGUAUUGAAUGUACGAUGCUAAUGUUACAAGAUAAAAAUAGCAGGUUCACUAUAAAUAAAAAAUUACUCAUAGCUAUUAAUGAAAAAAAUUACUCAUAGCUAUUACUGAAAUGAGCAUUUGAUGAUGUAAGGUUGUAAUUUUUUUACUUCUAUUGUGAGUAAUUUUAUCUUGAUCACUAAAGUGGAGAUUUCAGCUAAAAUAUUGAGUAGAUAAUGAACUUAUAGUGAACCUGCUAUUUUUAUCCACUUGAUCACUAAAGACAUAAUACAAGAAUGUAAGUUCAUUAUCCACUUGAUCACUAAAGUGGAGAUUUCAGCUAAAACUUAUGAUUAACGGUAUUAUGUCUUUUGAGUUAUCGCGAAGUGAGAUCAAUAUAAACAAUAAAAAAAACUCAAGAGCUUGGAGAUGUAAUUUUAGGAAUCGUAAGAACAUAUAAUUUAAGGAUAGGAUCUAUACUAAGUUAUUUGUGAUACUUGAUCAUUUGAAUAUGUGGCUAGUUAUAAAUAGUAAAAUUUUCUUCCAAAUAGCAGAUUCAUCAUCAGUCUCUGGCUUUCCCCCUUAUAUUCAAGAAUAUAUAGUCCAGCAUCUUCAUUUCCAUACUAUGCAGUCGUAGUCAAUGAUGGACCUAGGAUUGUCACUUAAAAAUUAUUAUUCACUUUAGUUAUUUUGCUCGUCUUGAUGGAAGAACGUAAAAGAGAUGAAGGUCUAUUGCAAUUAGUAACAGAAUCAGAAUCUAUCUUUGAUGGUUAGAACUUGAUCUAACAAAAGUUCCAGAGAUAAGGGAACCAGGUGAAUUCUCUUAAUUUGAGAACUUAGAAAAUUGAAUGAUAAAAAAUAAGAAAAGUGAAAGAAAAAGUUUAAAGCAACAAAAUGAUUACCAUUCUCUAGAUACUCUGAGGGUCUGUAGGCAUGAUUAGGGCUGAAACAUGAAAGACGCGGACCACCAUCCUACAAGGUACAUGAAAAUAUACUCAUUCUAGAUGAGAAUGAAUGGUGAUAAGGAAGUUGAAGAAUAGUAUUAUGUGAUCAGUAAGCUUAUUUCAUAUCCUAGAAGCUGAUACCUCAUCAAAGAGAGCCUUAUAUGCAUUCAAAUCACGGUAUGGUGGAAGACCUUCAGUGUUAGAAUAAUCUAAUACUUCAGCAAUAUAAAAGGUUACUCUUAACGCAGCAGCCACUCAAUGGUUUGUUUUUCCCCUGCAAGGAAUGAAGAAAGACAAAAUGUAAUCAACCACAACACAAGAAGAAAUGUAUAUUUUCAUUCUCAAUCUGAAAGCAUAUCUAAUAGAGGAAAUUCUAAUUUUAUUAUUGACCCAAAGAGAAAUAAAAAAUAACAAUCUAUGGUAACAUCUAGCACAAUGGAUGGAGUUCAAUUCAUUCUUCAAUGAUAAAUAAGCUGAUGCUUCCAAAGCAUACUCAUAAAUUUCAAUCAAUAAACCAAUUCACCAAAUACUACCCGAGGGAUUAAUCAAAGCAUCCACUACUUCGUGUUUAAGCAUGUGAAUUGAAAAGGAAAACGUAAUUCACCCUCAGAGCACAUUUAACAGAGGCAAAGAGAAUUGUGUCCAUUAGCAUCAACCAAAUCAUGUUAUAAAUUUACAUUGCCACUUCACUGAAAGGAGAUAUAUGUCAAAACUCUACGAAACUAUCAAUCCUUAAGAUUCAACACAAACAAUUAUCAAUGUCAUAAAUUCCAAAGACGAUGAACCAAAAAGACACUCAUGGGUACACAAGUUGAAGUAUAAACAACAGAUUAAGAAUUAAUCAAACAAGAAACAGUUACCGGAAAGAGACUAACUAAUAUCAUUCGAUUAAUAAAUAAUAAUCAAUUUAUGCCGUUUAUCAAACAAUCUUGCUUCCAUUUUUGAUGCAUGCAACUUUAAUAUUUUACCAAACCAUCCAAACUUCCAAGAAUUUGGCAAAUCCAGUGAGCAACAAAACAAGAAAUAAACCAACUACAAAGAAAAAGAUUACGUACAAUGGAAUAAAAGCUUUGCAACAGUAUCACUAGGCAUGUUCUCAGCAACAAGCAACCUCUCAUCACCUUCACAGCAACACCCUAUCAAAUUUGCCAGCCUCUUAUGCCUUAACUUCCCCACAACCUGAGCCGCCUCAUAAAACAUCAGGCACAAGAAAGCCAUCACCACAUUAUUCACACAAAACAAAACCCACACAAGAGAUCAAGAAAACAGAAACCGAAAGAGAACAUCAAUUAAUGUUACCUUAAACUGUUCUAGGUCGUUGUCCAUCUUGACCACAAUCUCUAAACGAGCGAACGAGAGAGAGAGAGAGAUAUCGUAACCUAAUUCCUCCUACUCUAAAACAAAAAGAAAGAAUCUUUUAACUUCCAACCCUAAACCCUAAUAGCCUAGUUCCUCCUACUCCACGCCAGAUUAGUUCACUAAUGCAGUAAUCCUAAUUUUCGUGAAGAAAAGACAAACACUACCAAAACGGCUAUGAAGAGUAAUGUCUUCACUCUAUUUUCACGAGAAACUAGAGGAUUAAGACGUCUGUUUCUUCGCUUGACUCGUCUUCUAGACUUUUUGAUUUGUCUGACUGUUCGCAUCAUUUUGUUUUCCGGUUGAGGGAAAAUGUGUUAAGAAAAUUCUCUGAUCGGUUGAAAUGUAUCAUUAGAUCAAAGACUCCUUCCUUCUUCUUCCCUUUCUGCUUGCCUUUGCCUCGUUUUGUUUGAGCGCGCAGAACGUUGUCAAUUCUGAAAUUCAAACAAUGCCGAAAACGGCUCCGUUCUCACUUUCAAUUUCCCACUGACUUCUGCCCAAGAGUCAAACAUCAAUUCACCACCAAAUCAAUAAAUAUAAAUUUUGAUAAUUUUUCAGCGUUUAUCAAUUUACUACCAAAUCUUUACUAGAAUAUAGGGUAAAAGAAUAUUUUUCUCUUCAAUAAAAAAAUUAUUAAAUUAUUUAUCGAUAAAUAAGUGCGCUAGAAAAAAAUUAAACAAAAAAAAUGACUGAAUUAAAAAAUUAAUAGGUUUAGAGAUUGUUUGUUAAACAUCUAAAAUCUAAAAUUUUAUUAAUUUCAGAAUUUUUUAAAAUUUAAUAUUUUUAACUCAUGUAUGUGUUUCAAAUAUUUAUAAUUGAAUAGAAAAAGUAAACUUUGUGACUUAUUUAAAUGAGAAAAGAUUUAAAUGAGAAGUAAAUAUUAUAUUCUAAAAAUAUCUCUAUAAAAUAUAUUUAUUUCCUAAACUAUAAGAUCUAAUCUUUUUUUUUUUUAAUUUGCAAAGACAUAAAUGUCAAAUAACCAUAUUAAGAUGCCACUUAUAUUCAUAUAUUAAAAAAGAAAAACAAAUAUAUCAUUCAAAUAUUUAAACUCAGACUCAUUUAGAUUUCAGAAAAACUUAGACUUAUUCAGAUUUCAGAUAUAAAAAAAUAUUAUUUAGUAAUUUGAAUAAAUUAAAAUUAAAAGGAGAAAUUGAACGGGUAAAAACUAAAUUAAAAAAAUAAAAUAAUGGAGUCUUAAAACUAUAUAUAUAUUAAUUCGAAUAAAUUGAAAAUAAAGAGCAAAAUUUGACAAGUAUUAAGGCAGCAUUUGUUUUUUGUUUGGACUUUAAAUGGGUCUAAAUAUGAAAAUUUGAAAGAUAUGUUUAUUUUGUUUUUUAGUAUCUAGAUAUAAGUGGUAUCUUAUUUAUUUUUAUAAUAAAAAUCUUAAACUUGGUUGUUUGAUAUAUAUAUGUUCUUGUAAAUAAUAAUAAAAAAAGGAUUAGAUUUUAUAGUUUAGGAAAUAAGUUAUUUUAUAGAGAUAUUUGUAGAAUAUAAUAUUUACUUCUCAUUCAGACAUUUCCCAUUCAUAUGAAAAUCCCAAAAAAUUACUCUUUUUUUUUAUUUAAAUGCAAAUGUCUUAAAAUCAAAUAUAAGUUAUAAAAAAUAAACAAGCAAAUUUUAGAAAAUAUAUUAAAUUAAUAAAAUUUCAGACUUAAGAUGUUUAACAAACGAGAUCUAAGUGUCUUUGAUGAGUUCUUAUUAUUAAAAAUAUUUUGUUUUGACAUAAAAAAAAAAAAAAAACAGAUUGAUGAAAUACCUUAAAUACCCUUAUAAUGUAGCAUAUUCCUCAUCUCCUACGCCCAUUAUUGGAUCAAUCGCCAGUAGCAACAUAUCAUCAAUUUGCACAUUUAGUAUUACUAAUUUGAUAUUUUUGUAUUAUAAAUUCAGUGUUUGAUAUGAUCACGUUGGAGUCGAGCAAAUCCCUUGCAAAAGAUAGCAUAUGCUACAAAAAAUAAAAAAACUCAUGUGUAAGCGAAUCAAACCACGCUGCAUGGAGAAUAAUAAUUGUCAAUAUUUAUAUAAUGCAUAUUAUGGUAUCAUUAAAAAUUUUAUAUGAUUACUUAAUUCUCCAUUGUAAACAAGUUUGGUGUCUAAUGUUGACAGAAAAUCCCACAAAAUCUCCAUAUCAAAAGAAUUAGAAACACAAGUAUCUUGUAGUUGCAAAGCCAAUAAUGCUCGUUGAUGAUGAUGGGGCAACUAAAAUCUUAUAUACGGACGAUUAUGCUGGCAUAUCAUUGCCAAAGAUUUCGAAGCUUACAAACUUUGUUGCUUCUGGUAGAGUGAAGUGACAAGGAAAUCAUUAGCAGUCCGCCGUGACAUGCGAUUAUGCACUGAUUUGUGAACAAAUUGGAGAUUUUGAAUUUGGAAGAUGGCACAAUCUAAUAAAACAUAUCCCAUGACUGAACGUAAUAUUUGAAAUGUGGAAGAUGGGUUUUGUAAUAUUACACACUUCAAGCAACACGUCAGUGCAACUGACUGCAAUGUUUUAUUCUGAUGAAAUCCUUGGGGGCCUUUCUGGAUGCAACGUCAACCGGUAUGGUACAUUUGACUUGCUUUUAUUUGUGAAUUUUCUUGUUUUCUCGAGCACAAGCUUCUGACUUUCUGUUGCAUUUUUGUCACAUAAUGAUGAUAUGAUUUGCCUUAAGUUGUGAGACCGAAGAGGCACAAACCCACUUGCCUAACAAAACAAUUAGAAGCAAAAGAAAAAAAAAAAAAACUGAGGGGGUGUUGUUAUAUUUCCCAGAAGAAAUCAAAAUUUAAUUUACAUACUUUUACUUCACAGUACUUUUGAGCGGUCUGUAACAAAAAAUUAACAGCCCCACUCCAAAAGCAGUGAUUCUCUUAUACAUAACCAUACAAUUAAAUCUCAGAUUAACUGGUCCUUGCAAGCUUCUCCACCAUAAUCAGAAGAGAAGAGUUUCCUUCACAAGCUUCUGUUAAUAACCCAAAUCUCUUCUCAACAUCAUUUGAUGGCAGUGCUGAACCUCCAUUUUGCACUAGCAUUUGAGCUUUAGAUGGCUUGUUAUAUCGUAUAAGAUCCAACAUCAUUCUCUGCAACGACAAUGCACCAAAAACAAUCAAAAUUAACCAUAGAGCACAUUAUGUAUGUUUACAUUUGAUUUCUUGAAUCUUAGCCUACCCAUAUUAAGGGUUUUAACGUGCUCAAAAAGUUUGCAUACCUCGUGUCGCCGCUGACGCAAGUAGUCUCGCAGAAGAGAUUUUACUAGCUUAUUCCGCAGAAUUAACUUCUCACCAGCAUUCGAGAGGAAUAUAAAAGAUGAAAGGUGGUGAAGGACCAGAGUAUAUGCCAUUGAACCUCGUGUUGAAGCUCUAUCAAGAGCACCGGCAGUCCAAGACUUAACAUAAGCUUCCAAAAUUUCUUCGUUAUCCUGCACACGAAGUAACCAAUCUUAAGUUAUUUUCAUGUACGGUACUUCCUGUUAUCAUUCUCAAAUCGAAUCUUGUAAAUAACUCGAAAUGAAUAUUUAUGACCAGAACUUGCAGAUAAAGAAAGGAGCAUCUACAUGCUUAUAGAAGCAUGCUUACACAAAGUGUAAAACAAGAAAAGUUGUACAUUUAGCUAAAAAAGAAGGCAAUAGUUAGUUGACAUUACCUCAAUUGGUUCAAGGUACCCUUCAGCCUCAGCAACACAUUUAUCAAGAGAUGGCAGAAGUUCAAGAGCAUGAACAUUAGACAGUGCUUUCCAGGCAGAAAGCCGGACAGGGGCUUCAACACAUUGGUGUAAAUAAACAGCAACUUGCCGGCUAUAUACCAAAUCACCAUAAGAUAUAGCAGCAAACUGCUCUACAAGAGUUUCUACAAAUAAUGAAUAACUUUCAUUAACUUCUGAUUGAAACCUCAGAAGCUCUACAUUACAGCUCUUUCCAGUUUCAGGUAAUAACUUCGCAUUUUUCUCCAAAUUGUGCUCAGCAACUCUACUUGACCAUGCUUCAUGCAGUAAUAGCCCAUAGUGCUUCUGUAAAGCUUCAAAUAUAUCUUUACUCUUUUCUUCUUCAAGCACACCCAUUCCAGCAAGUAGUGAAACAGAUAAAGAAUGCAAUUUCCAAAAUAAUGGUACACUCUGAACAGGGGAGGGGACUUUAGAGGAUAGGAAUGAGGCCAUAGCUUCAAUUCCGAGAAGAAAGAAAAGUCCAGCUUUUGCAACCUCGAGCAUAUUGGGGUCCAGAACCAUCAUCUUGGGAAUUUUUUGAAGACAACCAUGGUAGCCAUCAGAGAUGGUUGCAAUUGGACUGAGAAACCAAUGCAUGGGAAGAGGCAGUCUCUGGCGAGCCCACUCCACUGUCAACGAACUGCAGCAAUGAUCUUGGCCUCUAAUAUUUGAUGAGUCCAACUCUUCAGGUAUGGUAUCCAGAGAAGUACUUCCUUUCUUAUUGCCACGGCUACUAUUGUCAUCAAUUGCUUUAGAUUUUUUCUUAAUGUCCAACCAUCUACUUUUGAAGUGAGAAGCCAAUAUGUUGCUGAAGUGCAGGUAAUCCUCUUCUUUAAGUUCCCACCCAAAUAAUUUCAUUCUCUCUUUAGACUGAAGAAAACUGUGCAUAAACAGAGCAAGAGACUUCAAAACAGGAACUUGAACCAAAAUAUCAAAUGCCUUCUCUACAAUAACUUUAUCCCUUGGCCCAGCAGAUAAACAUAUUCCAAAGGCAGAAUCAACAAUAUGUGAAGCAAAAUUCAUCUCAUCGUUUGUAGAUAACUCAGAGACAGGCAUCAUUUGAAUAAUUUCAAGCAAGUCGAUGAGCAACCGUGCAUCUGUUUGUGCCAAUAAAACAGCUCUGGACCAAAAACCACCACCAGAAGCACCCCAGCCAACUCCCACACCAGGAGCAGGGCCACCUCUGCCAAACAUUUCAAUACACUGCACAAAGUGACACUCGGAUGAAAACAACUCCACAGAAUUCUUCAUCAACCAUCGCAAGUCAACCAGUGACCGCUCAAGGAUCCCCUGUUCAAGUAUUUUUUCUUCUUUAGAGAGACUGUUCCCUUGGGAAGCAGUAUAAGUGACUGCAGACUUACCUAACCGAAUCAACUUAUCAAUAGAAACAAUAACCCGAACUAGUCCAUGAAGACAAGACAUGGAUGCCAAGGAUGUUUCAUAUUCAUUUUGUCGUCUGAAACGACAUAGUUCUGCAAUAAAUGAGCAGCCUGGAGCAAUAUAACUUCCGUACUCUUUCUCAUUUACAACCAAGGAACUCAAAAACCCAUUCUUAAUAAUUUCAAGUCCAAGCUUGGGAACAAAUUCUGGUAACAGUGACAAAUACUGGCCACUUCUACGCAAGGUUAUGCCAUCUUCUGCAAUCACCCUCUCAAGAACUCUUGUAAGAAAAUGCAUGAUAGCAGAAUGCACCCACAACAAUGGAGAAACAGAUAAGCCUUGAGAAACUGACUGACUCCUGAUACCUUCAUGCCUGUCAGAGUCUUCAGACACAAGUAGAGUGUUCUUCAAAGCUAACCACUUAACCGCAGAAUCAAGCAUUGGAGCAACAUUAGUCCAGGACCAGAUUUCCAUUUCAGCACACAUAGGAUGCUCCUGAGAAUUGAAGUUUGGAAGCCACAUAGCCAAAGCCUCAAGAACAAGGUAAGCCUCUGCUGAGAUGGAAGUAAAUUCCCUCAGAACAUUAUUCUCGAUCAGUUUUUCAACUGAAGGUGGAAUUAACCACAGGCAUAAAGCAGGAAAGAUAUCUGGGAAGUAUGAUACACUAUAGCCAUUCUGAAUGCACACUCUCCAAAAUCGAAGUUGUUCAACCACCAAGCCAGAUGACAUUACACAGUUUUCCCUUCCCAACUUUAACCAUUGCUCAAGGGAAGAAAAAGGCCGAUAUAAAUGCCAUGUCAUGGCCCGGAAAAACCCAUUUCUUAUGUACUCCAUACAAGUCUUCUUAUCAGACUGAGCCAACACCUUUUUCAGGAAUAUAAUAAAAACAAUAUGUAAGUUAUGAACCAUCCAAUAAGUUAUUAGGACUAAACACAUAUGAUAGUCACAGUGUCAUUCCUUAUGUCACAAUUAUUUUCAGAACACAGGAUAGAAUGAACUCCAAAAAAGAGUAAAAUAUAAUAGACUUACCUUUAAGAGGCAAACAGAUUUGAUCUUAGAAGGUAGAACUUCAGCACUGUUGUUAAUGGUAAAUCUGUGAAUAACUGUCUCGAUAAGUCUUUCGCAAUUCAGAAUUGCAUUUGCACCUAUUGGUGAAUGCCUUGCAAUAGCAAUAAAAAUAGAAAUAAUGAUGUCUUCUUCCAAAGCCCCUGCACGGCAUGUCUGAAACCAUUUGUACUAGCUUAAGUUAGGAAAAAUAUAGAAUCAAGUUAAUCAAAUGAUGAAAGAUAGAGAAAUAAAUAAUUAAAUAAAAGUAUUACCAAACUCAUAUAGCAUCCAAGACACGCAUAAAAAUUUGCAGGGAGGAAGAAGAGAAUGAACGUGUGAAUUAUUAAUUCUCAUUUACACAUCUUGUGAGGAAAACCAGUAAUAAUCAACAGAAGAUUAUGUUAUGUGGCUUCCUUGAUUCAACAAAAUCAAGAAGAAGAGAUUUUUUUUGGGUAUAAUUAGGCUCACCUCCAAUAAAUAGAGAAGCUUGGGAAGAAUUCCCAUCCGAACCAAACCUGCAGCAAAAUCUUGUCCAGCAAUAACAAUAUCAUCCUGAAUUGUAUGCUCCUCAUCAGUCUCGUCAUACACAGUCUUGCCGAACAGAAGAAUAUUAGAAGGUUUGGCACUGUACUUCCAGUAUCCACCAUGAAGAAAACCAAGGGCAAUCUCUGGUUUACUGCGGAAUACCGGGGCAGUAUAAAUGUCCUUCCCAAAAGUUCCUAUUUUCUGAAGCAGAAUACAAAUUAAGAUUCUCCACAGAAUCAUGUUUAUAUGUAGGUGAACAAAACAUAUAAAAAUAAAACUUUACCUCUGAGAUAUUGAAGAAGUACUCAUUCAAGUCACAGCUCAGAGCACACUGAACAACUUUUAGACAUUCUAAAACCACAGAAUUGUGGUUAUCAUCAAGUGAAAUCCUACAAACAAAAUUUUAAUUAAAUGAUGACAAAAUCACCAAAGUGUUGAAACUUCAGGAGGGGCAGAGAAAAACUUGAAGGCAACUGGGUAGCAGAAAUUGAGUUACAAUUCAACAUACUUGCAGAUUCUUUAAUAACAGCAAGGAACACAGUCAAGAACAGAAUUAUAUGUUGCAAGUUAUAGGCAGAUAAUACAAUCAUUGUGAAAGGUUAGUAAGAACCAGCAAAAGAAGCCUUUGAAUGCAUUCUACCUCAAUGAUAAAACCAGUUCAGGCUCUGGGCCAAGAGCAUAAGCCCAAACAGCCUCCCAAUCAGUAGAUUUGUCAACCUUAUUACCAUGUCUCAAGGUAUGCCUGACUUGAUUUUGAUAGAUAUUGUGUAAUGCCUUAUCAAGCACAGAAUGAAGGAGCUUCAAUCCAAAGCCCCGUUGUCCAGGAACCUGAAACACCCAAAGGAAGAAAAUAGUAAUACAUGAGAUCGAUACGCAGAAAAUGAGAAGCAUACCAAAUCAUUGUCUCCAGAGAACCUUGAAUAUUUUUUUUACCAUUGACUCAAAACUUCAACCAGAAAAAGAAAAGGAAGAAGACAGCUCAAAGCUAGAUAGAUAGAAAAACAAAUUAAGCCAAACAAUAAUAAUAGAAUUAGGAAGAAGACAUAAUAAACUUACCACACUUCUACUAAGAGCCACAGCUUCUUUGGUAGUGUAACCUGCCGCAUCAGGGUCACCAUCAGUCCUUAGGUAAUCACGCUCACCAACAUUAUCAGCACUAAGCCUAUUUUGAGCAGAUGUAUCACCUGUAACACAAGAAACAUAAAGGAUAAGUCUGAGAAUGAAUUGAUCAGAUUCAUUUGAACCAUAUCUUAUCCCCCGGGCACAGAGCAAAAAAGAACUACUCACUUCAUCAACUUUUUGACCAAGGAACAAAAUGUCCAACAUAAACCCAGAGAAAUUGCAAAGGAAAAGCAUGGAUCCUAUCCCUUGUGGCAUUCCAAACAUCUUGAAUGUACUUACACUUUGACUAAUAUAUAAAUCUUGAUCAGAAAUCUACAGAAUUUACUGCUUGGUUGCAUUGAUUAAAUGUCCCAUAUACUUGAAAAAGAAUGAUAUUUACCCAAGUAAAUUAUGUGUACAAGAUGUCAUUGAAAAAACUAAAUAGGUGCAACAGGAAGAUUAACAACAGAAACAAAUUAGGCUUACUGGUCAAAGAUUCUGGGACAAAGUCAUGGGAAACAACAGACCCAUCCAAAGAAAAUCUUAAUUCCCGUACAGCCUCUACCCUCUUGCUCCAAGCAUUCCACAAAAAGCUACCAGAUUUGUCUAAAUUCUGUGCAACAUUGUAUAGAUCACGUUGUGAAGGAGAGUUACCCCCAAGAAGUUUGUCCCUUAUAGCUUUUUGGCUCUCAUUAACAGCAUUGUGUGGUUCUACAAUGUUGCUAGCAUUAACUGGGCUUGAGCUCUUUUGCUGCUUCAAUUUUUUCUCACCUCGCUUUUUCAGUAAAUUUAGUAAUGUGGGGUUCAUCUUGUCCAUUAUCUCAGCCUGUGCUUGAGCAAUUUCAUCAGGAGACAUGCUCUGCAACCGGGCACGAUUCUCUACAUCAAUCUCACUCUCAAGAGACACGGACUCUUGUUCAUUUCCAAUAUUAUUUGACCUGGAACUGGAAACUGUAUUACCGGUCCAAGAUUUUUUAUCCCUUUCAUUCAGCACCCUUACUAUUCCAGCAUCCAUUUUCUCAAAAUGAGCUUCCGCAGAAGUAUCAUGUGAAGGUCUUUCCACAACAUGUUGGCUGCCUAUGGGUGCAUGAUUAGAGCUAUCAUCUUCUGCAUUCUCUAAAUAGUGAAGUCUACCACUUUCAUCAAUCUCCAUGCCAACAGCUGAACCACUAGUCACAGCCUCUUUAGUUUUAUUUACAGCUAAGCACUUACUUGGACCAUCCUCAACAUCCAUUUCCAUGGCAACAGAUACAUCCAAAUCGACUAAAGAUGGGCCAGAAGACUUUUUUUUUGUUUCUAUUCCAUCCUUCUUACAUUUUCCAGUUUUCAUUAGGCGUGAGACAUUUGAAUCAUGAUUCAGGGUUUGCUCUUUCCAAUUGCUAAAAUUUAAACCUUUUUUCUCUUUCCUCUCCACUGCACUAGCAAAAUCUGCAAGUGACCGAGCAUCAAGGUCGUCAUCCUCUUCCUCAUCAUUAUCAUCAUUCUUGCCCUUAUAACUGUCUACUGGACCCCAAUACUGCAAAAUCACAUUCUAACAUCAGUUUCAAGUACAAUUUUUUUUUUACUAUUUUAAUGUUUUCAAGAGCAAUUUUAGCAUUACAAAAAAAAAAAAAAGAACAACUUUGUUGCAAACCAAAAUAAGCCAGAUAACAAAACCGAAUUAGCGGCUUACGGGACCGUGGGAGCGGUGGCGGGCAACGGGGAAAGGCAAAACGGAGGGUUUCGGGGGAGGUGUGGGAGAAAAAGGCUUGUUUUGAGGCUCAUCGGAGAUGCCCUUUUCGAGUAUACUACCAACUACGUGAAACGCACCGUCUUGACUGAUUUGAGGCUUGUUGGUUCCGAACGACUUUCGGUUUUGGCUUGACGAGGAAGUGUUUUUGCCCUGCUGCUGCCUCUUCUCCAUUAGUCUAUGGGGUUAUGGGGGGCUUUUCGCUCUUUCGGAAUUAAUAGUUUAAGAGUGCAUAGAGGGCUUUUGAACGAAAACGGACUUAAAACUUUCAUCGCUACAACUUCACAAGCGGUUCACUUGCUUACUCUUACAAAUAUAGUUGCAAAGACAUUUAUGCCCUUAUAUAGAAACAGAUUGGGCUCAAACUGGAUUCGGCCACUGGCCCAAACUCCUGCACCACAGUUUGAAGUUUUUAGCCACCGGCUAGCUGUAAAUUGUAAAAGCAUCAGGCACGGUUCUUCCUCUUCAUUUCCAUUACUUUCCGUUCAAUUCUCCUUCACUUCCCUGAGAAAAAAAAAUAAAAAAUAAAACACAAAGAAACUCUCCUCAUGGCAGACUGGUCGCAGCUCCCGACAGACCUCCUAGGCCUAAUUGCCAAACGCCUGGACACCUCCUUCGACCUCUUCCGCUUCCGCCACGUAUGCUCCACGUGGCGCUCCUCCGUUACACCAACACGCCGCCGUUUCCCUGGUCGAUUCCCGCUCCUCCCGAACGAAAACAACAGUAAGAAUUUCUUCAGCUCCUCGUUCGGUUUCUCCCUUUCGAAACGCACAGUUUUCGUCAUCCGAUCGCGGCACAACGCGACGAGCUGGCUGAUCAAAGUGAAAGAAGACGAAUCUAAUAGAAAGCACUUGCUGAAUCCACUGAAACGACACCGUUUCGAUUUUGCUAAGGUAUUGGACAUCCAAAAUCUCAGCUUGCUGGAAAUUGGACAUGAAUAUGUGCUGAAUUACAUAAAUUACCCUCCGAAUUCAUUAAAUGAUGCUUGUACUUUAUACAUGGAGAAGCUAAUUUUGAUGCAUUUAGAUCAAAAAAGUGAUCUUGGUGGAUUUGUGUUGCUUACUAUACACGUCUCUGGUAAAUUAGCUAUAUACACGAGUGAAAACAAAGAUUGGGUUAUAUUAGAACAGAUGCCCUCACCGUAUGAUGACGUGAUAUUAUUCAAAGGCAAAUUUUACGCUGUUGAUAAUACAGGGAGGAUUGUUUAUGUUGAUCAUUCUUGUUUUGAUGUGAAUUUGGUUGCAAAUCCUGUGUUUGGUGGCGACAAGAAGUAUUUGGUUCAGUGUAAGGGUGAUUUGUUGUUGGUUGAUAUGUAUUUGAGCAUUGAUGCCACAGUGGAUUCGAGUUUCUCGAAUGAAUAUUUUGAGCAUGAGCCGCAACUUGCUUAUUGUAUGAGUGAGAGGACAGUGAUGUUUAAGGUUUUUAGGUUGGAUUGGAAGCAGAAGGAGUGGAUUGAGGUGAAGAAUUUGAGGGAUCAUGUGUUGUUUUUGGGCGAAGAUUGUGUAUUUUCAACAUCUGCUGAUGAUCUUGGUGUGAGUAAAGGGAAUUGCAUUCUUUUUGUGGAUAAUCUCUUUUAUUUGAGUGGUGAAGGUGAUGGCAGUGAUUGCGGUCAUGGUGUGGGCGUCUUUGAUUUAGAAAGUGGGUGUAUUAAGCCAUUAGAGAAUUGCCCCGAGCUCUCCAAGCUGUUUUGGCCGCCUCCUGCUUGGUUCAGUCCGACAGUGUUGGAAGUAAGUGUUAUCUUUUUGUUAUGGUUCUUUGUGAAUUGUUUUAGGUAUAUGUUGUUCAGGAACAACUGUGUGCAUUGUUAUUAUUUUUUUUUUUUCUUCAAAUUAAAGCUCCGCUUCAUUUUCUAAUCUGUACAUAAUAUCAUCUCAAAUAUGACAAUUUGGUGAUUGCAACAGGUGUAAAUCACAUCAAGCAACUGCCCUAACAAAAUAAAAAUGCUGUUUUUCCUGCUUCUUGGCCUUCCUACAUAGCCUCAACUGAUCUAGGACACAUGUAUUUUCAGUUCAGUGACAUUUCAGGAUUGGAAAUCAGUGCUUGCAGAUCUUGCAUCUCAAUUGGGAUGACUAGACUUUGAUGAUGAAGCAACUUGAGUAGUGAACUAUAUGACGUUUGGUUUCAGUAUGGAGUAUUUACAUCAGUGAAUGAUCACUGUCCACGUCUGUGGAUAUUGUGUUCUAUUUCUGCAUGGUAAUAUCUCUAACCAGUUUGAACUCAUCAGCUAAUUCUGCUGGACUGGUGAUUGCUAGAGUGCUUUGUAGUGUUUUAUCUCUCGCUUUGAGCAAGGCUCCCAGAAUUUAGUCCUUAUUCUAGUUCUCUUUUCUUUUAUCUUUCUGCGUUUCUGAAACUCAAAUGUCAGAUUUGUACAGAACUGGAAGUCUGGAACUUAGGCUGUAAAUAAUGUUCAAUUUUUCGCAAGUUACUCACUAUUGGUUGCUGCUGCAGAGAAAACUUUGUUUUUUCAGUGUGAUUUUGUGUAUUCUCAAAGCAUAGUUGUGCAUGUUCUCUUUUGAUGAUCAUGAACUGUGUUGAGCAAGGAAAAACGGUUGGUCGAAGCUAAAAAACUGGUAUAAUGUAAUACUUGACUUGAAAUGAGGAAUUUAAGUACUGAUUCGUCUUGAGGUUGAAGCGCAUUAGUUUUAAAAAUUACAGUAUUAAAAUGUUCGAAAAAUAAUAGUAAUUGUAAUAUAAAAAUUAAAUUGAUUUAAUCUCACACUUAUAUAAUGUUACAUUUAUAUUUUAUAAUAUCUUUAUUAUUUUUAUUAAAAUUAUUAUUAAAAAUUAUAUUUAGGCUGUACGGCCAAGGCGGAUGUACGGUACAGCAGUUUCACUUAUAUAAUGUUACAUUUAUAUUUUAUAAUAUCUUUAUUAUUUUUAUUAAAAUUAUUAUUAAAAAUUAUAUUUAGUUUAUUUUAUUAAUUUUUUAUUUAUAAUUAUAAAUUUAUAAUUUUUUUUUUAACACAUCAGCUGUGAUCUAAAAUCUGCGUCAUCUCAAUAAAAAGGGGCGUUAAUCUGCAGCUAUAAGGGUAGAUCUAAGCAUUAAUCUAAUCAAAUAAGCAUGUCCCACAUUGCCGACACAAGACAUCAAAUUUCCUUCUCCUUGUCUUCUGGUUGAUAGCAAGAAUAAUUAACUUGUCGUACGCUUGUAACUAUGUAAAAGCGUCUUGUCAAACGUUUAGAAGAGAUUAAAGAGAAAAUUUUCACCGACAUUAGAUAAUAUAAUAACAUAAGCAUAAUCUACAGUCCGUAACUACCACCAGACAAAAAACCAUGACCAAAACAUUCUUAACAUGAUAUUCCUACUGCUAAACAAUAUACAUGAUUCGUUAGUCAAAUUGUAUUUCCAGCAUAUGAUCAUAACCCUACUGAACAUCUGUGCAACUUCUUUGAUGUUGUAAGAGAAUGCUGCAUCAGUUCUCGUCAAUCUCGCUCUGGAGCAUCUCCAGAAACUCUUCUCGAACUAAGGUUUCCAGCAUAUGACCAUACCCUCUCAAAUUCAGCUGGACAUGGCUUUUCCAACUUCCUGGGGGGUGCCUCCUUAAGACUGCUCCUCUUCUGAGCAGUUGGCACCCUUCCUGGACUUCCACCCACAGGAGUUGAUGAACAGAAAGUUGGAGUCCCAAAUGGAGAGGCAUAAGGAGUGUGCUGGAUUGAGAAGGGGCUGGGAGACAUGCGCUUCUGUAUAGGAAGGCCACUCAAACCUCCUCUGCUGAAUAGUGAGAUUGAUUCAGCCGCAGCACACCUCUUGGUUGCAUCAUCAACGAAAAGCACAUCGUCUAUUCUUGCCAUGAUAUUGAAGGCCAAGCUCUCCAUCACCCUUGAGUAGCUCUCAAGUAUUGACUGCCCUACAUCCUUUAAAAAAAAAAGGGCAGUAAGAAGGCAAGUGGCAAAAUUGCCAAGUUAUAAAAAUAAUGCCUAAUACUCUCAAACCCAUAACGUCACUGAACUCUAGAUGCAUGACAUAGCAGCAACUACAGAACUCCACUAGCGCUUGGAGUCAAUGUUAUAACUCAAUUUGUGCUCUUCAUAAACAUUUAUAGUUACAACUUUUGUUGCAUGCACAGGUCUCAAAUGCUGAUAUUAUGGAGAUCUAAGGUGGUGAAAUUGCCCAAGUUUGUCUCAGUUCUAACAUUCUAAGAAAUUUCUAACUUUUCAUGAACAAACAUUCUCCAUAAAUAGAUUGUUAUUUGACAGUAUUACAUGUUAUAAAUAGUAAGAGUCAGUUAUAUGUAAUAUGCAAAAGGACCGGGCUAAUACCUUGUUGUACUGAAUCUUGUUCAUAUCCAAUGCAGUCUGUGGGAGGCCAGGAAAUCGAAGCCUUAGGCUGUGCAAUAGAGUCUCGGCUCGAUGGGCCAGAGAAUGAUUCUUUUCAGAGUCGGCAACAAGGCCCUUGACUUUGCCACCCCAUGACGAGCGCCUAGAUUUCGAGUGACUUAAAUGUUUUCUCUGAUCUUUCUGCUUCCAUACAUGCACUGCUGCCUCAAUUCUGUUAGCUACUUCCAAAGUGUGAUGCUCUGAUGACAAGUCGAGGCAAUCAAGAAGACACUCAGGCGAGAACUGAUCAGCAGUUAUGUAGCGAUAGAUGAUAUCACCAAGACAAGCUUUUCCAUUCUGAUAGCAGUUCAAUUAACAAAAAGAAAAUGUUAAAACUAAUCCACUUAAUGGAAACAUUGAGUUCAGCAUAUGUAAGGUGAUUCAAAGCAGAUGCUGAAACCAGUGUCAUGCUUGAAUCAUGUUGUAAACAGACUAAUACAGAAAGCAAUACCUUGGGCAAGGUUUCCAAGUAUGCAGCUGGUAUCUCCAUCUCUGCAAGCACACUACUAUUAAUUGCCAUGGCCGCCUUAAGUAUCUGAUUUGUGCAAUCCCUACAUUGCUGCAAUUUUUUCCUUACGUCCUCAGACAACCCAUUUUGGGGCACUUUCGGACAUGGCAACCACCACUUCUCUUCAUGCCUAACAGAUGGUCUUCCACUUGGAACCAUUGAUGAAAAUGCAUCACGGUCACCUCCAUCACCCACAACAAUCCCUCUAUCAACAUACCAAAACUCCGUCUCACAAAAUCCAUCAAGCAUACCAAUCAACAUAGCAUCAAGCUUCUUGAGCGCGGGUAGAUUCAUGUAUAAAUCAGACCGUGGCCUUGUUGCCAUUACUUCAUACGUACCCCCACCUGGAAAUUGCUGUAUGGACGGUACAAGCUCAACAAUCGAAUCACUAACACACAAUAGCCACUGCAUUUCUCUACGCCACAUUGCCUUCUUUUGGGGUGCUAAUGGCUCUAAUCUCCACAGCUCGCCAAACACAGUCGCUGAAUGUCUCGGAACAAAAUAUAUAUUAGAAAUUUAGAAAAAAAAAUACUUGUACAUAUUUAACAGAAUGUUUAAGCAGAAGCACGACAGCUACCAACAUACCCCAAGACUUGGAUACGUUGACUGAAAAUUGACCCUAACCUGAGAGAUUUGUGAUUGCGUUUGAGAUUGCAAGUGCAGUACAAACUCCUUUACCACCACCGGACAUAUCUUCUCCUAAAAGAAGCUUGGCAAAUCUUUCUUUCAUCAUCUCAACUUCUGGAAAAACAUAGAUGCAUUAAUUAGUUAAUUAACAAAUAUUAUCAAUGCUUAAAUAACAUAUCACAUACUGAGAUCUCCAAUUAUUUCGCAUUUGAUAAUUUAUUAAAGAAAAAAGAAAUAACAGACUAAAAAUAAUUGAAAUUAACACAUAAAUACUAAAAGGCGUCAAUGUGAGAUCUAUAAAAAAAAAGUAACAAAAGAAAAAUAUUUUUUCUUGACGUUUCUUUCCCUCACCUUCUCGGCAACCAAACAGAGCCUUAGUAUACACUCAUCUCUAAAUAAAAUUAAUAACUAAAAUGAAAAGAAAAAAUUACCGGACAAGUCAGUGUCAGAUUUUUCCGGCUUCUCAUCCCAAACAACAACAUCUUUCCCGCCAAUAACAGGUACCAUAACCGGCACCGGAAAGCCGAAUCCUCUGGCGACCGGUCGCGGGGAUGACGUCAUCGAACUUGAAGCGCCUUCAGCGUCGAAUCUCCUACCCGAGAAACUACUACUACUACAACUCUCAGACUCACUGACAUCAGCGCUCAAAGAGUAGCUUCCACACCUCUCGCUCUGCUGAUCAGAAACGUCGUCGUCCGACGACACGCUCCCCAUUUUGCCUUGGCAAAGAUCGGACGGCUGACAAAAUAUCAAAAGAUCAAAAGAUCUCAGUCGCGGCUAAUGCUGAGCAUUUCCAGAUGAGAAGGAUAAAGAAGAAAGCAGAGUACAAACUAAAGCAAAUGAAGUGUGCUGAUUGAUUAGUUCACUUCAUUGACAUUGUUCGCUUUUUUUUUUUUUUUUCUUCUCUUUGUUUAUGUAGUGAGUGAUCCGUUUGUUUUUUUUUUACUUUUUUUUUUGUUUAGAUUAAAAAAAAAGAAAAGAAAUUGCUGCGGCCUUUGCCUGCUGCUGUCUGUUGUGUGGUACUGAUGAUAGCGAGGAAGGAAGGUGUGGAAGCAAAAGCAAAAGCACAAGCAGACGGGUUUAGCACUCGACACGGCCCUUUUUUGUGGGGUCCGCUCUCGGGCAGCUAAUUUUCUUAUGAUUUUCCAUAAUAUAAUUUUAUAUAAUAAUUACUGUAUUCUGUUAAGAAAAUGAGAGGAGUAAUACUAAAAUAAUUUGGCCUGGAGGAUUAAAAGUGGUCCAAGAGCAUGUGGUAUUUAACGGCCGUUGAUUUUGGAGGGUUUUGGAGGGAAUGGCGCGUGGAAGAGACGUGAAAGCGGGCUAUCUCGCUGUGGCGGCAGGAAAAUCGGAAGCGGGAAACCCCAGUUUAGGAGCCGUGGUCUCGAAUCUCUAAGCGUUCGAUUGAAUUAUGGAUUAGUGAGUCAAAAUGGAAUAUUACCAUAAUUAAUACCUCUUUUUCAGUGCGAGGGUCAUUAAAUUCGUAAUUUUAAAAAUUGAUUGAAACUAUGAGAAUUGAGAUUACUCAGGCGGGCCAGUAUCUGCUGGUCUUCCGUUCAUUGAGUUGAGAGUGAUACGCAAAUAAACAGACGGUCAAGAUCUUGUUAAGGAUAGCAUCUUUUAGCGGCCAAAAGUCUGACAUAGUGUGGAGAAGAAGCAUACGGUGUUGGAUAUGAUUACAUUACGUGCACCAUCCACCAUAACAAUGAUGUGUAGGUCUCAGAAGAACACGCGAAAAUGUUUUUAUGGUGUAAUCCCAAAAGAGCUCAACUAAACACGUGGCUGUUUCUUAUUCGUACGACCUCUUCGAGACGGAUUUCACUUGCGUCAUAAAAAUCAUUGGAUCAGAUGGUGGUGUGUGAACGGCCUUGAUAAUUUUAAAAAAGAAACCAUUUAAUGGCAAUCAAUUUAAAUCACAGCCGUCAAAGUAGGUCCCACGUGUGCAUGAUUGGUCGAUAAAAGCGAGCAUUAUAUUUUUACGAUACGAGUGAGGACCACCGUAGAGUUUCGUGCACGUGAUUAACCUAUCAGUCAUUGGACACUCUAGGUCGGCUGUUUCGGUACGCUAUGCGGGUAAAGCCUAUAAAAUAGCUGUUAGUAAUGGACUGUUUGGUUUAACUUCAGUAAACGACACAAAGCUGCAGUGAUAUUAGCGUAACGACAAACAUGGCUUUAUUUUUACGAGUUGAUAGAUAAGGCAAAUGUGGACCCUUGAUCUGAGUUUGACCAUGGGGGAUUUGAAGAUUUAUUAACAAUUAAUUUUGUCUGACUUUGUAACAUGGAGUUUAAUGAGACUACUGGUUGUGAAGGAAAUUUAAAUUAGUGUAAUAAUUGAGAAUCCCACCAGCAUUUACGGGAUUUUUUUAAGCAUUUAUAUUGUUAAGUUGAUGCAAAUGCACUUGGCCGACGAUCAUCAAGCUUCUUGUGCUAGGAGUGAUUUUACGAUCUGCUAAUGGUCAAUAAUUAACAUGUACUUUCGGAAAACAAUAAUAAUUAACAUGUAAUUUCAAAAUUAACAUGUAAUUUCAAAAUUAACCUGAAGUGAGUUGUAUGUGUUUUCUUUUACCAUUUUUUUUCUCCUCGGUCUAAAAUGGAAAUCUACUCUAAAUCAUUUAGAGAAAUUUAAUUUUACCCUCGCAUGCCACUUCAAAAACUUGGACUCUUUUUUAUCGAGUUACGGAAAAUAUAGUAAAAUUUUAAUAAAUUAAUAGUUUUGGAACUAUAAAAAAUCUAUUAAUUUAGUAAAUAUUAAUAAUAUAAAAAUAAUAUCACGUUCAUAAUGUGAAUUUUUACGAAAUAUGGAGGUAGUAUUAUUAGAGUAGUGAUUAGAGCUGGCAAAAUUUGACACGACCCGAUUACCCGACACGAACACGACAUAAAUAAAUGGGUAUGGGUCGUCAAAUUUAACACGAUUAUUAAAUGGGUUGGGUCCGGGUCAACACGAUUUUUUUCCGUGUCGGGUUUGGGUUAAAAUUCUUGACUCAUUUACCCGAUCAAUGACCCGAUUAUAUUUUCUAUUUUAAAAUAAUUUACAUAUUCUUAUAAUUAAAACUCAAAUAUUAGAGAUGAUUUUUUUUUUUAUUCUUUAAAAGGGUGAAUAUAAACACAGUAUUUUAUUUAUAAAAUUUUACAUAUAUUUAGAGUUUCAAUAGUGUAAAUAUGUAAAAAUUGAUAGACAUGUAUAUUUUAUAAUAUUGAUAUAUAAUAUAAUAUUAUAUAUACUGGGUAACCCGAUUAUUUUUCUGUGUCGGGUUUGGGUCUCAAUAUUUUGACACGAUUAUUAAAUGGGUCGGGUUUGGGUCUACCUAAAUUUGACACGAUACGAAACUGACACGACACGAACACGAUCCGAUGACCCGUUUUGCCAGCUCUAGUAGUGAUUAUGUUAAGUUGUAUAUUACAAUUCUAAUUUUGAGUGACGAUCAAAUUAUUAAAAGUGUAAUGGAAAAUGAUAAAGAGGAAGAAGUUGAAAACGACAAUUCUGUUAUAAAUUAUGGCUUGUGAAAAGCAGCACUUAAAGUAAUAGUAACAUUGAAGGUUAGUUUAGGAUUAUUUUUAAAACUCUAAAAGAUAAUUUUAGUGUUUGGUAAAAAAAAUUAAAAUCACGUUUGUCAAAAUCAGCUCCUCCUACUAGAGAUGGCAAUGGGAAUGGGAGGGAGGGGAUCAACAUCCCCGCACCCAUCCCCGAUAUUCUCCAUAUAUCCCCAUCCCUUCCCGUCCCCAUCAUAAUUACUUGAGGGGAUCCCCGUCCCCUCUCCGAAUAAUAAGAGGGGAUCCCGAGGGGUCCCUGAUCCCCAAAUAACUGAUACGUUUUUAAUUUUUGAACUUGAUUUAAUCACAUUAAAAUAAAAAUUUAAACAAAAAUAAGGUUUGACAAUAUAUCUUACACUAACACUAAUCCCACUACAAAAAUCACAUUACAAAAUACAAAUCAUCAGAAUAAUUAUCUUCGUCAAUCUUCAUAAUCCUAUAAUAAAAAAAAAAUUACUUUUAUAUCAAUAAUGAAAUAAAUGAAAUGGGUAUAAAUACUGAAAUUAAUAUUUUUAAUAAAAACAUUUACUCUUGCACAUUGUACUCCUUCUGUUUUUCCUCAAGGAAUGUGACAAAUUAAAAGAUAGUAUCAGAUUUCAAAUCUAAAAUAAUAAAAAUAAUAUAAGCAGUAUAGCUCAUAAUCUAAAAUAAGGUAUGGUCGAAUAGUAAUUUAACACUACAACUUGUUAAGUAUGCUUGAAAUUUUUAUAACAGAUUUGUAGAAAUAUUUUUAUAUUUAUUAUUUAUACUAAUAUUUUAUAUUUUAUAAUUUAAAUUUCAUUAUUCAUUUAUUAAUAAUUCUAAAAAAUAAAAUAAAAAUUAAAAGUUAAUACAAAGAAAUGGGGAAAUGGGUAGGGGAUGUGGAUGAGGAUUCCACCUCAUCCCCGUCCCUUCUCCGAAUAAGAAAUUGAGUAUAAAAUUGUCCUCAUACCCUCCCCGAAUAGGAAAAAUCCCCAAGGGUUCGUUCCCAUGGGGAUUUUUGCCAUCCAUACUCCCAUACAACUGAUUUUGAAAAACACGAAAUGAGUAGCUUUUAGAUUAUAAUUUUAAGAAUCAAUUUUAUCCUUUAAUAUAAUUCCAUAAAUAUACUUAAAAUUAUUACCUAAAACCAAAAUUAUCCUUAUUCAAAUUGGAAACAAAAUCAAUAUUUUAAUAAGUUUUUGUUAUAAUUGAUCAAUAUAAAAUUGUUGGUUGAAUUAUUAUUAAAUUUGUUUCACUAUAUUAUAAAUUCAAUUAUCAAUUAUUUUAAGACAAAAAAUUAAAAUCAAUAUACUAUAGAGUUUAUGUUUAGUUAAAAUUAUUAUAAUACACAAUUAAAAAUAUUGUAUGUACAUGUUUUUAUAUGUAUAAGUAAAUUUUAUCCUACAUUAUGUACAUUUUACUCAUUAGUCUUCUCUCAACAGUUUAACAGUUUAAUUGACCAAACGUCCAUAACUGUUUUCAAAACUCACAGUACUUCUAAAAAGAAAAUUUACCAAACAUUUAACUAAUUCUCUUCACAGCUGAUUAUUUAUACAACAUAGCUAAUAGCAAUUAUUUUAAAAGUUACAACAUUCUCAAAGUGACCUUAAGUACUAAGAACAUCUUCCAAAAAAUUUUAAAAUGAGAAUUUACUUUUUAUUUAAAGAGUUACAUCGACAAUAAAGUUAUAAAAAACUCUUCAAAUAAGUUUGUUUAAAUAAAAUUGUCAUAUCCUUCCUUUAAUAUUGAAGAGCGAUUUCUCCAUUUUCAAAUAAUAUUAUAUUAUUUUGUCAUCAUCAUUGUUGAAAAGAGAGAAGUAAUACAACCAUAUUAUUGAAAAAAAAUAGAGUAAUUAAAUUUAAUGAGAGAAAAUUUUGAUUAAAAUAAUAUAAAUUAUUUUUAUUUGAAGAAUUUUUUUAGAUAUAAUUUAUUUGUACUCUUCUAUUUGUCACAUAGAUAAAUAGAUAACCAUUUAAAUAUUAAAAUUAGAUGAAUCAUUUGGUAAUGCUCGGAGAAUUAUGUGCUUAUUGUACAAUUCUCAAGUCCUUAAUUCAAGUUGGAUUGAGGUUUGAUUUGUGAUUCCGUUUAUCUUCUUCAAAAAUAUUGGCAUUAAGCUGAAUUGUUGUAAGGCCCCUAAGAUCGCUUAGUGAUCUUUAAUCUCCCUCUUUUUUGCUAGACUGAGGCCAACACAAAUGGUUUAGGAGGGUAAUCUAGCUUUUUGAUUGUUGUUAUGUGUGUUAAUUACUUAAUUGUGGUUAUUUGGAUGUUUUUUCGUGGUGUCUUUGUUAAUCUUUUAGGAUUUUUUGUUCUAAUUUUACGUUGAGCCUCAAAAUAUUCUUUAGUGUUUUCUUAUUUUUUAGCCUAGUGAAGAUUUUCUUUACUUUCUCUCUCUCUCUCUCUCUUUCCUAGCAAACGUCAUUACUAUUUUAAAAUAUUAUCUUUUCAAAUUAUGCUGUGUACUUUUAUGAAAUAUUAUUUAUAGUAAUUAAAGUUAAUCAUUAUUAUUUAUUAAUGGAAGUGUUACUGUUACUCUCCAAACUAACAUAUGACUCAUGGGUUCAUUGUGGAAGUUUAGUAUUUUUUUUCAAUUUGAAUUAAGGUAAUAUUUGUUUUUUCAAAAUGUGAAUGGAGUGGACGUUCUUCUGGAUGGAAUUUAGACGAAUUUCAUGAGAAUUAAUAUAAAUUAGUUUUAAUAAUAAUAUAAUUUAUAAAUAUUAGUUAUAAUUUUAUAUAAUAUGAGUCGUACUCUUAAAUAAUAAUAUCAUGUAAUAAAAAAAAAGUUUAGCUGCGUUUAACCGAUAUAUUGACGUAUGUUUAAAUUAAUUUAAAAAAGAAAGUAAAUAAAAAUUCGGCAUUUUUUUUUUUAUCUUUGUAACCUAAACGCCGAAACUGACUUGAGCAAUUUCCUUUUCCUCGACGAAAUCGAACCCGCAAACACUUUCUGAUUAUUGAAAUCUCGAUCGAUCAAUAAUUGAUCGAAGAUGCCGAAGAAGAUGGGAGUGAACAGCAAAGCCGAGGAGGCGCGUGCUCGCAAGAGUGCAACGGAAUCGGAACGAAAGGAGCGCGAGGCGAGGGAGAAGGAGGAACAGUACUGGCGCGAAGCCGAGGGAGCAAAGUCACGCGCCGCGAAGAAACGCGAGGAGGAAGCCGAGAAGCGAGCCGAAGCCGCCGCGAAGAAAGCGGAGGCGCGGCGCCUGGCGGAGUUGGAGGAGAAAGAGCUCGAAAAGGCUAUGAAAAAGCCGGACAAGAAAGCGAACAGGGUUUCGAUUCCGGUACCGAAGGUGACGGAGGCUGAUCUGCGGAAGAGGCGCGAGCAGGAGCAGGCGGAGUUGGCGAAGAAGGCGGAGGAGGCGAAAAAGAAGCACAGCAGGACGGCGGAGGAGGAGGAGUAUGAGCGGAUGGUUUUGGUGACGAAUACGAAUCGUGAUGAGUCGAUUAUCGAGGCCAGGAGCGUUGAGGAGGCUUUAGAUAAGAUGAAGGUGGCGGAUAACUUGCCGGUCGAUAGGCAUCCAGAACGACGGCUGAAGGCGUCCUUUAAGGUGGGUACUAUAAAAAAAUUGUUUUUUUUUAAGUCUUGAUUUGUUAAUUAUUUAUGAGCUAGCUUUUAGUUGCAUUAGGAAAUUGUUAUAGGUUAUUGUUUGAUGAUAUUCAUUCCAAAUGAAAAAUGUGAACAAAUAUAUUAAACUCUGUUGGAAGGUUCAGUUGUUUAGUUUAAAUGAAUUCGUAAGCUGCAAAUUUUAAAUCCAUGUGGCCUGUAAUCCUUGCAAUUAGAAGAUUAGCAACAAUAUAGUUUAUGUUACAAGUUAUGGCUUAACUACACAAUGCCUAGUUUUUACAUUUGGAAGGAAAAUGGAUCAUUAUUGCAGUACAAGUAGGUUGAAAUUAAAGCGUGGUGUCGCAGGACGGGGAUGGAUAUGAAUACUUCUUGCACAGAUAAUAUAUAUUAGUUUUGCCCUUUUAGUUUAGGAUGAUAAUGCAAGCCAAGUGUAGGAAUUUGAAUUUGGCACCUCAAAUAAAAUUUGCCAAGACUUACCUUAUUCUGGAACUAGCGUGCUGCAUAGCUGACAUAGCCGUUCACUAUCCCUUUGGGAUAUACUUCUUUGUUCUGGUUUUAUUUGAUAUGUUUACUCAUUUUUUCAGUUUUCCCCACUUUCUUUGUAUAAUCUCCCAGGAAGCUUUCAUUUUUGUGACCACUUUUAGUUUGCCAAUUUUCUGAUGAAUAUUUGGGGUCAAUCUCUGAAAAACCAAAAUCCUGAACUAUAUUUUCUUAACUGUUUAUAUAGUGUCCUCUUAUUGUUUUCAUCCAGUUACAACAUAGUGACCAAGAAAUCUCAUUUUUGUUUUGAUUUUGUGCUUAUGAACUUGUACAGGCUUUUGAAGAAGCUGAGCUCCCCAGGCUGAAGGAAGAGAAACCAGGUCUUACUCACAAUCAAUACAAGGACAUGAUAUGGAAGCUUUGGAAGAAAUCUCCAGACAAUCCUCUCAAUCAGGUUAGUCUCAGACCUUGGAACCAUAUUUUUGGCACUGUUGAUAGAUAUUGGUUUGGUACUAUUUUAUAACUUGAUAUCAUAAGUAAUUCGUUAAUGUAAUAGUAGUUUGUAAACCUAGACCCUCUGUUGGCUCCUCUAUUGCUCUGCUGUGUCAACCAUCUAGGCCUUUGGGUUGAUAUGUCUAGUUGUGUUGAUGUCGUAACUAAACUAUUUAUUUGCUGUUCAUUAGUACAUGUUUCCAAAUCUGAGGUGGGCUUAUCAUGAUUUUUUUUCCCUCCUGUGCAGAUUACGGAGUGAGCAUCCUACAUUGCAUUGUUUGGAUCUUCAAGGUGGUGUAUCAGGCGAGUUCUCUGUGGGGCACAUUGUUGAGGAAUGUUCAAUUUCAUCUGCAGUGGAUCAUUUUGUACCGUAGAGACGCGGUUAUUGCAUGUGAGGUGCCCGGUUAAACGGAAUAAAAUCAGAGUCAAUUAACAUUGGUCUCUAGUCAUAAGUAAUCUAUUUAAGUCUCUUAUUAUUAUUUUUACAUGUAUGUGGUAGAUUCCUGCCCCCUUCCCCUCGCCACAAAGUUAAAUUAAUAAAUCACUAAUGUAUAUGCACAUAAGUACGUUCUGUUAUAUGUGAAUACUAUUUUUCUUUGUUUAUAACAUUGAAUUGUUAGCUUGGUAGUUCACAUUCUCUACACAUAGGAAUUGGUAAGACUUGGCUUCAUGUGGAUGGUGAGCCUCCCAUGGCCUGCUACUUACAUUAGUUGAGACAAUGGUCUUUGGUGAAGUUCUUAGGGAAUGUUGUCACGCGAAAUUUUUGGCCUAAAAUGUUGUUACCCUAAAGGAGGGAGUGAUUGGAGAAUUCCUGCUUCGGUAGAAUUUUUUUAACUUGGUCAUUUUGUUUUCUGUAGUGAAACUUUGAAGUGAUAGCUGCAGCUACCUAAUCUUCUAAGGCUUUAAGUCAGUUUUCCAGAUUUUGAUGUCGUAUGACUAGCUUUUGUGAAGAAGGCAUUGCAUCAUAGCUCUCUAGGAAGCCAUUAGUUCUGUAGGUAGAAACACUAUGUAUCUCCACUCGUCAUUUCUGUCAUUUCUGUAAUUACUGGACCCCGGAAUUAUAGUUGUGAUGUAUAUCAUUUUUAUUAGUAUGACCAUUUUGAAAUGCUUGUGCACCUUUAUUAUAGAGCAAACUCUGCGAUUUUAUUGUCUAUCUCAGCUGCGGACAUCAAAGUGCUUUGCCAUCUCUAAAAAAUGGAUGGUGUUUGUUUCAUCAGAAAAUAUGAUUCUGGCAGAUCAUACUGCCCUGCAAUUCAAAAUACAACAAUUUAAAUGUGAUUCAAGUGGUUUCUGACUUUCUAUUUGCUGAACUUUUAUUUUAAUGUGCCAUUCAGUGAAAUUUGGACUCUAACGUUAACUUGAGUUGUACUUAUUUUUAAAGAUUUCGUGUCAUAUGUGCUUUAUAAUAGCAUAUAGUUGAGAUUUAGUUAUUUAUAUAUAUAUAUAUUUAUUUAAAACCGUCAAUCAGAAGAUAAAAGCAGAAUGAUACGUUGGUAAAUGCCAGCAGCUUAAUCGAACAAUCUAUUUCAUAGGUAGGCCAAAAGAAUCCACUCGCAAAGUGGACAAAAAGCAAAAGUGGGUUGUGGCUUCAUUCUUAGUUCUGUCUUAAAUUGUUAGAUUUGUGCUCUAGAUGCUGGUGAAAUUGAAAUUGAAGAAAGAAAAUUCUCAAUAUGCAGCCAUGCCUAUAUGUUCCUUAAUGUUGUGACGUGGUUAUUAAUAAGCAUACGACGUUAGGUGCAAUAUGUGUGAUUCUCAUUGACGCCCUGCCCAACCAAAUGUGAAAAAGCCAUUUUAACUUUUUCAUAAUGAAAGAUGCGAAGCACAUGGGGAAUUUAGACUUAAUUACCACUACGAAGAAUUGGAGUGCUCUAAAUGUAUUAUUAAAUUUUCGUCAUUCUUGUUAAUGAAGCAGGAAAUGGAAAAUUCCCUUGCUGUUAUAUCAAUAGUCCAUUUCUCCUCAAUAAGUGCACCCCCACCAGCUAUCUCCUAUAAGAUCAACCACCAGGUUGCUGUUUGUUGAACAUCAAUAAUAGAUACAAUCACGACAAAGCAAAAGUCACUAUUCCCAAUUAAUGAAUUGGAUGCAAUGUUCUCCUUUUCUUGGUUCAAAAUUUAUGGCAGUCCGAAUGUCAGAUGGAUAUAUUGUUUGUUCCUGAAACUAAAAAAUGUGACAUUGUUUAUGAUGGUUGGGAAGUUAAGCAUUGAGAAGAAUUUCUUUUCAGUUUUGAGAACCAGAACAUUGAAGAAAAGAACAGUCAUUUUUGGUCUCAAAUCUGAUCACUACAGUAGAGAGAUCCUUCUGCAGUUGCUCACUGUUAUUGCGAAGCCGGGGGAUAAUGUGUUAGCAGUUCAUGUUGAAGAACAGAAUGAUACUCUUGAUCUCAACACUUUUCAUAUCCAUGAAGAUUUAUGCAAGUCCAAGAAGGUAUCAGUAAAAUGAAAAUAAAAUGGCAUUAGAAAAGAUUGGGAUAAUUUGUCUGAUUUUCUUUUUUAACCAUGGCAGGUGGAUUUUCUUGUUAAAGUCUGUAUUGGAGAUUCUUACAUUACUGAGCUAUCAAACCAAGUACGCAUUAGCUAUGCGACAAUUCUUGCACUUGGAUGCAGCCUUUCAGGGUAUUCAACAUUUUAAAAUGAUAACCAAAGCUUUUUGUCUUCUUUGUAUGCGCCUAUCUCUGAUGUGAAUUAGGAUUAUGUUAUGCAGGCUUAAAGAUUCAGAAGUACUUACAAGAUGUCUUAGGGCGUUGCCUCCAGCUUGUACCAUUCUUGUAAUGGAUAAUCUGGGAAGAAUCCUUGUCCAGAGACAGGGAACUUCGCAACAAGGAUCUACAAAUGUGCUACUUAAAUCUUCACUUUCUUCUUCAUCGAAAUACCCUGCAUUUGGGCAACCAGCAACAACCCGGCAACUACAGAAGUCGCUGACUGCACCAUCUUCCUCAACUUCAUCAACGACAAGACAAGAAAGUGAUGUUGGAGUAUGCAUUGCUCAGGAGACUGUGCAGGUUCCAGAAUCCAUAAAAAGGAAAAUAUUUGAGAAACUGGCAGUCUUAGAAGCUGAGGGAUCCAGUAGACGUUUCACAUCACAAGAACUCUGUCAUCUUACUCAUAAUUUCAGCCCCAAGAUGCUGAUAGGACAAGGAGGGAACAGUAAGGUCUAUCGCACCAACCAUGUGGAUGGUCAGGUAGCAGCAGUAAAAGUCCUCAAAUGUACGAACUGGUCAGAAGAGGAAGUUCUCCGAGAAGUAGAGCUGUUAUCGAGUAUAAAACACGAGAACAUAGUUCGGAUAAUUGGAUACUGUCAUAGCAAGGAAAUGUAUGCAAUUGUGUACAAUUUACUAAAUGGAAGCCUGAAGCAAUAUCUGAAACAACUCAAGUGGAAUGAGAGAAUGGAUGUUGCAAUUGGUGUGGCAAAGGCACUUGAGUACCUUCAUCAUACCUGUGAUCCUCCAAUCAUUCAUAGAGAUGUGAAGUCGUCCAACAUUCUACUCUCUGAGAAUUUCCAUCAUCCACAGGUAAGUUUUAGCACAACUUGCAUUCAAAUAAUUGCAUAUUUUGAUGCUUGGGCUAAUGGAAGACAGUUUCAUUCUCGUGGCACUGGCAUGUAUCUGGAUUUUUAUAUCUUAGCUCUCAGAUUUUGGAGCAGCAAUGGUACAUCACCAGUCUCAUCAAGUUUCAGAAAAUGUAAAGCCAGUAAAUGUUGUGGGGACUUUCGGAUACUUAGCUCCAGAGUACAUGAUGUAUGGAAAGGUUGAUGAGAAGAUCGAUGUGUACUCCUACGGAGUUGUGCUGCUGGAACUUAUCACAGGGAAAGAGGCGAUUCAAACAAACAAGGCAAAUCGUGAAAGCUUAGUACUUUGGGUAAUAUGAGAAAUCACUUGACUCGCUUAUAGCUUUUAUACUGCAUUGAAGUGUCUAUAUUUGAAAGGUUUAAGAAUAUGUGCCUAGUAUUAUGUUCUUGCAGGCAAGGUCUUUGCUCAGCAGUGGCCUAUGUGAACGUCUAAUUGAUCCUCAGUUGAAUGAAGAAUACAACAGGGAAGAAAUAGAAAUUGUGAUGUGUGCAGCACGGCUAUGCCUCUUGCAUUCGUCUUCUCGGAGGCCAACAAUGAAGACGGUGAACUUUCUUUUCCUGAUGUGAUGAAUAAUGAGCUCAUACUUUUUAAAGCCAUAAAAUUUGUUCAACUUCCUAGCGCUUACUUUGAAUUUGGUCGCUUAGGGGGUUUAAAAUUUAAUGUUUUCUGUUUGAGCAGCUAUUGAAGUUAUUCCAGGAGCCAGACUACUGGCUAAAGAUGAAAAGGGAGAAAGAAGAGCUCCUUAAUGAAAGGAGAUCAAACGGACCCGCGGAAACAUUGUGAUUAGUCUGGCUUUAGUAGUAUCUAGACAUUUCUCUUUCAACUAGACCUAGUUUGUCUUAUGUCUCCUGUUACAUGUUAUUUUUCAAUUUUUUACAAAGAUGGUCAAGAUCAGAUCAAACUGUCUCCUAUCGUCUUUCCCAUAAGGCAUCAUGCGUCAAAAUAAAGGUGAGAUGAAACCCUCUCUCUCCGGUAUCAUGUAUGUAAGCAAAUAAAUAUUCUCAGUUUAUACUAGCUGAUUUUGAUGCGGCUUUGUCAGUGUAUUCUCACAAAUUUGUACAAAAGCCUAUUUUCUGUUUUAAUAUGUGACAAGGUAUGCAGGUAACACUUUUUUAGUGCAGGAUUUAAUACCACAGUGGCAUGAUUAAAGAAACAGAAAUUCCCCAGGACUGCGAAUCAAGGUUAAGCUUUAACGACAUUCAACUGUGUCAUUGAGUUGGCAUAUUAUUCUUGUACAAGCAUAUCAUGAAUGUAUUUCUACAGUUCACUUGUUUGUCGUACUCGCAAUGAUUUUAUUUCAUUGGUCUAAGCUGCUGCCAACUGCGCAAAGUUAAUAGGGGAAACAAAUCUUGGUUCACCACCGUAGAGGGUCACAGCGGCUAGAUUCGAAGCAGCCUGUGUAGGGUGGAACAAAUCCCAGAACAAGUUUUGGUUUCUGUUCGAACAAAGAUUUGCUUUUGGAUCACAAAUUGAUUGUGCAUUGAACCUCCCAGCUCCACAGCACGCAGUUUGCACAUCCGUAAAAUCUGAGAAAUCAAACAAAAGUUAAUUUGAGGAAUUUGUCAAAACAAAAUGAAAACCUGUAACAACAAUAUAAAUUAUGCGUCAAGAAACUUACUGAAUAGAAAAGGGUUGUUUAAAACAUUUAUAGUCAUUUCAAAUGUGUUUCCAAGUGAAUACUUCAUGUCCUUGUGUUCUGAACUGAGCUUGCACAAGAGAGAUUCAAUUGAUGCGUGAAAAGCUCUUGCGUACUCAUUCAAUAUCUCCAAACAACCGCCGGUACUAUUGUAAAUCCUUUGAGAUGGGCAGCAUCCAAUUGGUGGAACACUAAUGAUUCCAAAUUUCCUUGCCCCAAGAUUGAGUAGUGCCUGAAUUAUAUAACACAAGUUUAGUUCCAAGUACAAGCGUACAUACAACUUUUGUUUUUGUGACUUCAAUGUGAUGAUGAUCAGAAGAAAUCUUACCUUCAGGUGCUUCUCAUAAGCAAGUCCUAAAGUUGAAAUGAACGUUUCUUUAGGCAUGGUACUACCAGAAUGGUAGUAUUCAAAAAUAUCAUUGCUAGCGGUACUGAUGAAGACCAAAGACUUUGAGAGAAAUUUCUUGGCUUCUGAUUUACCUAAAGCAGCCAUGAGAUGACCAUGGACUGCUUUAAAUUGCUUUCUCUGCUCCGUCAAUGGGAUGACAUUGGUCAGGUUGCUAUGUAAGUCAUCAAUUGGAACUCUCUCUGCUCCGAACUUCAUCAUUGUUGGCUGAAAAUCAGAUCAGUAGAUAAAAUGGGUCUUAAUCAAUGAGAGAGUUCUCCAAAGAUUACACACACACACACACACACACACAGAGAAACACACUACUAGUAAGAUAUAUUUACCAUUCUUUGUCCGGUUAAAUCAAGAAGGCCUGAGCCUCCAGAGGCGAAGCUUAUACCCCUGAAACUAUGCUUCUUGACACCAGCUGAACUUUUUAUUAGAGAAAGAAAAGGUGGUGGACUUCUCUUGUGUCCCAGUAGCUUGGCUGAACAAGAAAACAUACUUAAUGCGAUAUUGUGCCAGUAGUGAACUUUACACUGUGAUUAAUAUGACACAUUAAUUUACAGUGAAAACUAUACUAACCAAGAAAAUCAGCACUGUUUAGGCCAUUGCUGAACCUUCCAGUGGGUCUUGCGUGAGGAAAAUCUAUGCCAUUGUGAGGAAAAUUGGCUCUGAAUUUGCUGUGAGGCAAGAAGUUAUUGGUUCCAACAUCAGCCGUUGAGUCUCCAAAUAUGAAAAUCGUCGGCACCUCUGCACUUGCUGAGAUGAGAACCAUCAUAGUCAUGGCCAUGGCCAUGGCAAAAAGAACCAACUUCUCUGCCAUGAGAAAUAGACUAGUGAAUCUAUUCCUCUCUCCCUUUUUCUACAUUAAAGCACUUGAGAUGUUCAACUAUUUAUAUACAAAAUAUAAAUAAAUAAAUAAAUAAAAGAUCUGUAAAGGUACAAACAGAUGCCGAUAAGUUGGUAAAUUUCCAGCGAGCACAUAGCACACAAAUUUUACAAAAACAAAGUGUGAAGAAACCAAUUAAUUUGAAGAAUUUUUUACAUUAUAAUGACUCAAAGGUGCUGCCGUCUGUGAAUGACUUAUUACCAAGUUCUUAGCUGUUUGGUCUGAUUCUUGAAUUCUGGUAGCAACAAGCAAUAAAAUCCACAGUUCGUAUGAUAGAAACAAAGAGUCUCGUCCGUUCACAUACAUUUUCUUACAAUUCUUUAUUGAAUCAAUGCUUCAGUGAACGAAGUUAAUGGGGGUAAAAGAAGACAAUUAGAGAUGACAGAAAGAUGAAUUUAGAACCGUUCCUUGCUUUUCUUUUACAGUAGAAAAGCAAAUUUAUAAUAAAUUUACUAUGAACAAAAUAAUUGCUACACUUUGAUUAUUACAAACCAAAAAUACAAAUUUUGCUAAAAAAGAAUAGGACAUCAAGCUGGGGUCAUGUCAUACGUAAUUGUAAAUGUAAAUUCAACAUCUCGUUCUUUAGCAGAUUCUCUUAUAGAGAUCUUGUGUGUUUGCCUUUGGCCCUGCCGCAGAGAAGAGCAUUCUUCGGAAUCGGAUACUCAUCCCUGAUUGAUUCAACAGGUGAAUAAACUCUCAAAUAAAAUUGUUGUCCGAGAUAUUGCCGUGCCCAAAACUCACUCCUGACGUUCCACAUUCCCACAUUAUCAAGUGCUACAUAAAUAGCAGUCCAUGACUUGGGAUAUACCUGUAACACACCAAAACAAGUAUUUAUUUUCUGCAACAUUUCAGGUGAUUAGCAUUAUGCAACAAAAUUUCCUUAAGCAAACAUCUAACCUGAGUUGUGCAACGUGAGACGGCAUCUCUCAAAUUGUACUCAUUACGACUGGCCGGUGUCCACACUCCACCAUUCAUUCUGCAAUCCAAAAAUAUUCCAAGAUUAGUUCACAAGCACAUUAAUAUUUUUCAGUUCAGUAUGCGUGCGGAAUCAUUCUUACCCGACUACCCAGAAGUUGUAUCCAUCAAUGUGCCAGCUCUGUACAAUAUUUUCAUGAUUUUGGAACACAAUUUCAAUAAAGCCUCUGAAGUCAGCACCCAUAACUGAUGUGUCAAGGUAAAUGUUACCACCGGUUGGCUGAUCCUGGAUGCUACCGACGCGAAAAACACCUCCAAUUUUGAAGUAAUCUGCUAACUUCAGGGGAGUGUCAGCUGGGAUGAAAGACACACUGUUAACUGCAUAUCUCUGCUUGCCAUUGACUUGACCAGCUGAACUUUCUAGCUUGAUAGUUCUUGAAAUGUUAAUAAGACCAUAGUGGUAUGAUCCUUGUGGGUUUGGUCUUGGUCCACUUGCUGUCAAAUUAGUCCUGUAAUGUGACCGAAAAUAAUCUCACUUGGUAAAAAUGAUUAUAUAAAUAAAAAUAUUUUCGAUUAAAAAAAAAAACACGCUCGAAUUACCUAAUUGAACGGGCCUGGUUAAGAGACCAAUCAAUUUGGGUGGUGGGCCCCCCGGGAACUGGGCCGGAAACUGGGUGGGCCGAGUUACUGUAGUGGAGGGUGCCAGUGCUGGUUAGGACCUUGUUGGUGAACCGGGUCGAGACUGCAAUGUAGAAAUCCUGUGGGGGCUGGUCCAUGGUAACAAGCACAGAGUAGGACUGACCCACGUGAACAUCAAGGGAUGAAUAAGUGGUUUGGAUGGUGUGGGUUCCUUCAACUUCAACAAGCUUCAUCUUGUGGCCUUGAAUGCGAAAAUUGAGAGAAUGUUGCAGGCCCACAUUUGAUAUCCUGAACCUGUAGGUUUUUCCUGAAAUGUCCCCAAAAAAAGAAACAUUAUAAAAAAAGAAACAAGAAGAAAAGAAAUGAUUCAAUUCAAUGUAGCCACUAGCCAAGUUAAUAUGGUCACAAGCUGUGUAUGAUUUGAAAUUUACCUUGCUCAACUGUGAAAGAUGCACCAUUGGAUCCAUGACCAUUGAUCAAAAUGCCAUCAGGGGAAGGCAGCCUGUGGCCUCUAUCCAGAACAGACUUCAAUUUCUGUAUCAAGAACAGUAGACCUGUUAGGAUCUUUUGCACGUGGGGGAAUUGAACUUAAGACUAUAGUUGUGAUAUAAUGUUAGAGGCUAACAACAGUAUCAAAGACAAGUGAAUAAAUUGUUUCACUUACAUUGUGAUUGGCCUUGUACCAAUCACCAAUAAGAACAGUGAAAUCUCCAGCAGGUUCAGGGAAUGGAACAGGAAUCAAGGGCCUGCUGAGAAUCCUGAUGCCUCCAAAGCCACCAGCUGCCUUUUGAAAGCCAACAGAUGGGAAGUAAAAAUAGCUUCCGAUUUGAUCUUUCACUUGUAAAAUGUAAGUGAAAUUUUUUCCUGGAGGAAUUGGACAGGUGGUACCGUACACUCCAUCUUCAUAUGAAUUUCUCCUCUGCUGCACGCCAUUCCUGAUUCAAUUUGCCAAUCACAAUGCAAAGUUUUAGCCAUAUUAACCAAAAAAAAAAAUUACGAAAAGUAGUAUGACACGACUGUUUGAUAGGAAACAUAAGAGUGUUGAUUAAGAUCUUUUAGGGGGUGGACGUAUGUAUUCGAACCGGUAACUCUCAAAUAAAAAAUCGUCAACUCCAAUGCAUGGAUUAUUCAAAGUUCAAAGAUCACAGAAAUGCUAACCAGGAGAUGAGGAAAGGCUCUGGUAAGCUGUUAUGAACAUUGAUGAUUAGAUUGUCAUUGGUGACAGAAUAAAUAUCAGGCCCUGGAAACUGUCCAUUAAUAAGAAUACCCUGGAAACAAAAAUGCAAAUCCUGUUCAAUAAUUUUUCAGAUCAAAAACAUCCAAAAUAUGAUCAAAACUUUCAAAUUUUUACAAACCUGUUGGCGAACUCCAAGUGGGUAUAUGUCACCAUAAGUUACAUUCCAUGUGAAAAACCUGUAAGGACUUUCAGCCCUGGCAACAAUGGCGAACAUUGCCAAAAAAUAGACAACACAUAGCUGCCAAAUCAAAGCACUUUUUGGCAACAUUUUGGAAAGAAACCGAAUCAAGAAGUAAAGAGUUUGUGUAAAUGAAUGACCAAGGGAAGGUUACAGAAAGCACACACUUAAAUAUGGUUAGUGGUAACUGAAAGAUGACAUGUAUUUAAAGAACAAUUCAAGGAGGGAAGCUUAUAAAGAAGUAGAAGCCAAGCCAAGCCAACCCAAAAGUGCUUCCUGUCACAUUACCAAAUACAAAAUGCUUAGUGGGGCAGCAAUAAAAGCAGUGCUGGGCCUGUCUAAUAUUAGGAUUUUUCAGCCAAUGGGUGUCCUCCACGUAAGCAAAAUUUGGGUUCUAAUGACCUUGUAAGCAGCUUAAUAAGACCGCGUUUGCUUGCUUUCACAUGCACAGUACAUAUUGAGAUGCAGGUGUGUGCCCGUGAUUUCUGACGCGACACACGGUAUUUACAUGUGCCCAUUUUCUCGCUCAACUAACACGCCACGCCACCUUUUGGAGGAUCCGCACUUGGGGCAAUGGCCAUGGUCAACGGUGGAGAUUGAUUCAUUUGUUAAGACCCACUUGGAAUCAAGGGUUAUAAGUGAUGAUUGACUGUUGAUAUAAUUUUACGCGGAAACUAUGAUGGUAAUGUGGAAAGUUCCUGAAAUUGCAUUUGCUGAUUGCAGAUUGCCUGGCUGACAGGGGAAUGACAGUGAAUAAAUUAAUGGAAUUUUUGUUGAUUAAGAUGCUGCUUUAUCGUGUUAAUUAAAAUUAAAUAAAUGACUCAUUUUAUAUUAUUGUUCUGCAUUCACAUUCGUGCCAAAGUUGAUUUAAUUUAUAAAUGGGACUUGCAGUUAUUCUAUUUUAUGGACUGACUUUUCUUUUGUAUAGAAGUUUACAAUAUCUGUAUAUUCUUUGCUAUAAAUUCCAUGCAUGGGAAAAAAAAAAUUAAAAAAGACAAAAGGGUUAGUCAAUAUUCCAGUAAGCCACAGCUGGUUGAGGCCAAUCAUCAGUCAAAUAUAUUGUGCUUUCUUAAUUUUCAAAAUACAUUCGGUUUGGAGCUGUAUGAAAGUGCUUUCUGUGAGUAGCUUCCCGGAAAGUGUUUUUUGUUUUACUUAUGAAGCUUGAAGAAGCGUCUCAUCAAUAGAUUUUAUAAUUAAUAAUAAUAAUUUAAAAAAAAAUCAAGUAUUAUUCUUUGAUUGCAAUCCCUUUUUCUUAUAACUCUAUCCUCGCAAUUGUAAGGGCAUGAGUUCGAGACUUCACAAUGUAUUUAUAGGUUUAAUUUCCUUCAUUAAUUUGAGUAUUAAUAUAGUAAUCUCAUAAAAGAUGAAUGCUAAUUUGAGUAAUAGUCUCGUAUAAUUUUUUUUUUUUAAAUCUUUUCCCCCACUUUAAAUCUAUUUAGCCUAAAUAUAACAAAAUGAACAAAUCAAUGUAUAAAUUUGGUUAUCUUAUAAUGUCUAACUUGCAAGGAUGAUGAUGUACUCGUUGAUUUUAACUUAUCUUGUGAUGAUAUAGAUUUAAUGCUUUUCGUGUUGUAAAAAACAUCCACAUAUAUUGAUGGUGGAGAACUUGGAAUGUAAUGUGCUAAUCAAUUCUAUAAGGACACGGCUAACCCAUUUUUUUUAUUGUUGUUAAAUCAUUUCAAAAAUGGGUUCUUUUCAUUAACUUAUUGUUGAUAAUGACCUUAUUACCAAUAACUUUAAUACACAGAGAAGUUUUUAAUGUCAUUAACAAUCGACCGCACGUACAUGGUAGUGAAUGAUGAUCGAUUCAAACAGUAGCAUCAAUAUUUUUUUUUUUCAAAAUUUUGAACUUAUUAAUUAGUCAUUUUCUGAAUUCUUACUAUUUUUAAGUAUAAUAUGUUUGCUUGCUUAUACUUCUUGGCUGUAAACAUUCUAUUCAUAACAAGCUUUAAUUAUUUGAGGUGGAUGAGGUCCACAAUUCAUAUGCUUCUCCGCAAAUAUAAAUAGUUGGUGGCCUUGCAACGAUUAGGCUAUUAGGCGCAAAUGAUGACCCAAAACAAAACUUAAUUAAAAGUCUCAACUUGAAGGACAGCAGCGCACUCAAGGACUCUCCCAAAAAUGAAUUUUUACGUAGUGGAUAAUUAUAAACUAUUCUAAUAAAAUUGUCUCUGUUUCUAUUCUUUUCAAAACUUAUAUAUAUAGUAGUUUUUUUUUGUUUGGGAUCUUAAAAUGUAGGAAAAGUUUAAAAAAACUUUAAAAUCGUGGGAUUUUAAAAACUUAAAAUUAAAAGCGCUUAAACUACACAAUUUAUAUAUUUAUUUAGAUUUUUCCACACUUUAAAAUUUUAAAUUAGAACAUUUUUAUAUAUUAGUAGUUUUCCAAUCCAAGAUCUUAAAGUAUGAGAAAAAUCUGAAAAAGCCCUAAAAUCAUAGGAUUUUAAAAAUUUAAAACUACAAGCGCUUGAACAACAUAUUUAUGCGUUUUUCCAAACUUUUCCGCACUUUAAAAUUUCAUAUCAGAAUAUAUAUGUGUGUGUGUGUAGUUUUAUUGUUGGUGCAUGGUUUAGAUAGCGUAGAUUUGUUGGUGGCAGCAUAACGCCACAAGCAAUGGAUUGGUGUCCAACAAGAUUAGACAAUAUUUCAAUAGUUUUCUUUCAUUACUUCUUAGUUUUCUAUGUUCAUUAAAAUAUUUAAGUUAGAGUAUACCUUUGUGAGUUGUCUAUUUUUUAACCGAUAUGAAAAAAAUGAGAAAAAAAGAAAAUGCAUUCUUUUAUUUUAUUUUAUGUCUGCGAGUUACUACUUAGUAGGGGCGGAUAAUACAUUUUAUAAAAUCAAAAUAACUAAAUAAAUUUUAAAGAAUUGAGCUUUUUACACAUGGGACAGACUAAAACUUUUCAAAAUCAAUUGGAGUAUCUUCGUAGUUUCAAAACUUACAAAACUAACUGUUACAAAAUUCAAAGAAAAUAAGAUCUUUUUUUUUUCUUUUUUAAAUUACCCUUUCAACUUUUCCAUAGGACGUGCCCCAACUGGUGUUAGACGGAAUCUGUCAUGAUAGUAGUGAAAAUAACAGAUUUCACAGAAAACAUGAGGGAGAUUACCAAAAUUUCCCCAUUUACAUUAUAGAAAUAGAUUACAGGCCCCAACUUUAGUUUCUCACACUGCAGUCGCACAUUUCUAGCCACAAAAAUAAAUAAAAAAAGACUUUUCUAUGUAAAAUGUUACGUGGACAAAACAAAACAUAAUCCAGAACUAGAAGAUUGCGUUUCUUAUCCACUAACAAAACACACACACACUGUCUUUCCCUGUCUUCAGAUUACACACAACUUGAACUCGCCAUUGAUGUCAAAUACUAAACGCUGAAAACUCACUCCAUACGCAAAAAUAUGUGCAUGAUCAUAUGAUAUGAACAAGUAAACCCUAGUACCCAGUUCAGCUCGACUCAAUCCGACAUUGGUAAUUAAUAUGGGGGACUCUCUCUUACUAAACCAAUCACUCGCCCGCCUCAAACUCCUUCCCAAAAUCCCACCUCCCGCUUCUCAAUUUCUUCACAUCAAACCGCCACAACCCCACGGUAAGCUCCACUCCACUGCUUCUUUUGCCAUCCAAAACCAACAGCAGACGCAGUACGGCACAACAGAUCAAAACGACGACGAAUCAUACGGCGAAGUCAGCAAGAUCAUCGGCAGCAGAGCCCUCGAGGAUGCCACCGGCAUGGAGUACCUAAUCGAAUGGAAAGACGGCCACGCCCCCUCCUGGGUCCCACAGGACUACAUUGCCAAAGACGUCGUUGCCGAAUACGAGUCUCCCUGGUGGACUGCCGCCAAGAAAGCCGACGAUGCCGCGUUGAAGGAAAUCAUCGAAGCCGGCGACGGGCGCGACGUCGACGCCGUCGACAACGACGGACGGACUGCCCUGCUGUUCGUGUCCGGGCUCGGGUCUGAGGCUUGCGUCAGGGUUUUGGCGGAAGCUGGGACCGAUUUGAACCACAGGGAUAGCGGAGGCGGGUUAACGGCGCUGCAUAUGGCGGCUGGGUACGUGAAGCCCGGUGUGGCGAAGCUCUUGCUCGAACUGGGAGCCGAUGCUGACGUGGAGGACGACAGAGGGUUAACGCCGUUAGCUUUGGCUAAGGAGAUCUUGCGCGUUACGCCUAAAGGGAACCCAAUGCAAUUCGCGAGGAGGCUGGGGCUGGAAGCCGUGAUUAGGAACUUAGAGGAGGCGGUAUUCGAGUACGCUGAGGUGCAGGAGAUUCUGGAGAAGAGAGGGAAGGGUGAUCAACUGGAGUAUUUGGUCAAAUGGAGGGACGGCGGCGAUAACGAGUGGGUCAAAGUAGGCUUCAUUGCUGAGGAUUUGGUGACCGAUUAUGAGGCUGGCCUGGAAUACGCAGUGGCCGAGGGUGUGCUUGGGAAGAGAAUGGGGGACGAUGGGAAGAGAGAGUUUUUGGUUAAGUGGACGGAUAUUGAUGAGGCCACCUGGGAGCCCGAGGAGAACGUUGAUCCUGAUUUGAUCAAGGAGUUUGAGGAUAGUCAAAGUGACGGUGCGGUCCUGUUAAAUGAGAAUCACAUCGGGGAUGCAGUUGGGGCCCGGGCCCAAUUAAGUGAAGGCGAUGCAGCCCCUGAGUCCGCUAGAGUUUAGGUGUUUGGAAGCGAUUACUCGUAGUGGCUUGAUUGUUAUUUUCUAUAUUUAUGAAAGCAAAUUAUAACUUUUUUUAUUCUUCAAAAUUUUGCUUUCAUAAUUCAACUCAAUUGAGUUAUUGACGAAAAACAAACUCCAAUUCUAAUUAUACAAGAUCAACCAAUAAGUUUGCUUAAAAAUUGAAUUAUGAAUCGAUUUACAUUCUAUAUCUUCAAUAGAAACGAAAUGAAUCAAUUGCUAAAUCAUUAUUACUAGCUACGAGAUGACAUAAAUCGAAUAUUAAGCCUCAUAAAAUAUAAGGGGGGACUUUGAACUCUUUAUUUUUUAAAUUUUGAAAAAGAGAUGGGUUAUCAUAGUUCCCUACUAUUACCUCUUUUAAUUCAC